CUUUAUUCAAAAUAUAGACUAACGUACAGUUGAUGAAGAAAAAGAGAAUGAAAAUGAAACAAUAGUUUGGUUUCAGAACAAAGCUUUUAUUGAAGGACCCUUUAUUCAACAAUACAAUAACUUAUAGGAUCAAAGGGCUAAAAGAGAGGUAAGUUUGUAGGGAAACGAACUUGCAUCCAUUGCUUCUCAUACGUAACCAAAUGGCUCCAACCUAUCUCCUCCAGCAAACCCAGUUUCAUUUCGUACAGUUUCUUACUGGCUGUCUCGUUCUCGUUUUGGAUCAUCUCAUCAAGAACCUGAAAGUACCAUUAUCAAUCAAUUUUUUUACAGUCAAGAACACACCAUUUGCAGUUUUUCUUGCUAAAUUUGACGAUUAGAUAAACGUGUUUUACCUUCAAUGCAGUCCCGGGUCGCGAGAGCCGUUUCUCUCUUAGAACAGUAAGAGUACAGAACUUAGAUGAUUUCACGUCUACCCAUUUCGUCAGUUCUUUGUAAUUUUCUUCAAAUUUAUCCUUUUGGCUACUUUCUUCUUCUCCUUCAUCUUCCUUCUUACCCUGCAAAGCAAAUGAGUAGUGUGUAAUUGCCCAGUAUUUGCUAACAAAAUGCUAAUGACACUAUGUGUAGUUUCAAGACACCAACUAAUGCAUUGAUGAUAUCUACAGUCAGAUAAAUUUAUCAACAGUUAACGAUAGUCGAUAAGAGAAGUGAGAUCAGUAUUUGGUCUCUCGCCUUCAAAUUCGCGAGUCUCGCCAUGGCUAUCCCUUUUUGGUAUAGUGCUUCUGCCAGUUGGUCACGGGUCGUCUCCAUCUUUUUCUUCAAAUUCUAAUUUGAACAACAGGUGGUAAUCAGAGACGUAAAUAAAGCAAGUAGCUAGUUAAGAAUCUUUGUAAGAAAACGCAAUAAAUAAGACAUCACACCUCUGCUUCCUCGUCUUCUGGUUCACUUUUUUGUAGUAAGAAUCUUGCUAACUCGUCUACGUCAAUGCUGAGUAUUACUUCGUUUGCAGCAUCUAUAAUCUGCAAAAAGACAAGGGAAUAGGAUUUACUAUCUAUAAACGCGCAAGAGAUUAGUAGUCUGAAGAUUAUAUUUAAUGCAUAGGUCGAGAAAAUAGUGCAUAAUUUCAACAUUAGUAACUCAUUUGAAACUUUACCUCUUCGUGAUGGCUGAUUUUGUCCCCAGCUUCAGACCGAGACAGCAAACUUUCUAAGAUCUUAGCAAGCAAUGGGGUAGAGUUUGGGUACUCAGACUGCCAGGGAACAUAUGCUCACAGUUAAUCUAACAGUAUUUCAGAUUUGCAUACUUUUUACAGAACUUUCAAUUUAAAGUAGCAUCAAUCAUUAUUCGUAAAGAAAAAGGCUUUAGCUCGCAAACCUUGAGACAGGAACACAACUUUCUCCAUUCGGAACGAUCUUCCUCAGUUUCUUGUUUUAGGUUCCCAAGAAAUUUGAUCUUUAUGUCCCGAACCUGAUUACAAGGAAAUGCUUUCGUAAAACAAUAGUAGAAAAGAACACCCACAUCUUUAUAUUCACCAGCAAGUACUCCAAUCAUUGAUAUAAUAGGAGCAUUUGACCACAACGUUGAGCAAGAGCCUAUACAAAACAUGCUUCUGCAAAUAAUACCUCUUCUUCCAAGCGUUCUGAAACUGAUUUACAGCUAUUGGAAGCAGAAGCCGCCUUCUUAUCUUCCUCAGGCUAUUGUAUAAAGAACAAAAUAACAAACAAGUUCAAUAAAACUGGAAUACAAGGAAACAAAUAGAUUAAGCUCAAACAAAAUUUGAGCUCUUAUAGCCAGAUUUUCCUGCAUUACUACAUCAAGUAUCACAAGCCAAUUGUAACAGACAAACCAGAUCAGAAAAGGUAGGGUUUUUAGAUACCUUAUUUGGUGGAACCACAUAUGAUAUCGGAUAAGAAACAGGAUUAUCCUUUGGAUUCAUCCCUUCUUUAUCAUCAAAAGACAAUUUCCCAUAUGAAAUUUCUCCCACCAACACAGAUCCUUGUGGAGUAUUCUACAGGUAAAAUCAAAAUUGUACAUUUGAAAGAGAUACGAUGCAUCCAGAACAUUAAUUAUACCAACAAUCUACUAAACCUUGGGUAUCUUAUCCUUUGUUGGUGGGCCCAGGUAAAACGCUUCCUUCACCCUGUAUGGUGAUAAAUGAGGUGAGGAACACGUUCAGAUUUCAACCAAUGCAGCAGUCAGAGAAAUAUAAGCUAGUAAAAAAACAAAACCAGUACCCUGGCAUUAGAACAGAAGACUUAAAGGCACCAUUUCCUGUGACCGGACCAUCUGGUUCAGAAUGUAAGCUCAGCCGAACCUCCUGCAUCACCAACAAAAUCGACAGACUAGUCAGCUUUUCAUGAAUUCUAGUGUUGCAAAAGUAUAUAUAUAUAUACACAUCAGAAAACUGGCAAAAAUUGAACUCCAACUUUGUUCCGUAUUUCUUCUUUCUUUCCCAGACAAAUAUUACAUGUAGCUUUUCAAAAGCUUAAUUCACAAUCUCACCCCUAUAUUUCUUUCAAUGAACACAAUGAGCAGCUUCAAUUUUUCCAGCAGCUGUACAUUUUCAUGCCUGGUGAAAACAAUUAGAUUUUAGAAUAGAAGACAAAAUACGUAAAUAUGCACUGUAAAACAAAGUUGUAAAACCACAUAAUAAUAUCGUUUUCAGGAAGUUGUCUAAUUGUCAUUUCUGCCUGGGGAUUAGUAUGUACAAACUCUACCCUUCAAUUUUUAAAACAAAGUGCAACCAUCAAAGAUUUAGCACAAACCUCAGAUACAGCUGAAGUUUAUAUUCACCCUUGGGAAGUUUAGAAGACUCAGGAUAAACGUCACCCAUUGCAUAUACACGCUGAAAGUAUGCCAGGACAGCGUGUUAAGGCAAGAAAAUAAUAUAAAAUUAACACAUAAACAAAUUUGCUACACACACAAGCAGAAGAGCGUGUUUAAUAGACAAUGACAAUGAGAAUUUUACAGGCUUAUCUAUCUAUACUAGUACUACCCAGCCUUUUAGGUGGCAGUUAGAAUAGUACCUUGUUGGCAUCAGAGAUCAUAUAGAAUUGGGACUCAAAUUUAGUGUCAUAUAUGCGAUUGUUCAACAAGGGUAUAUACGGUUUCACUUCAGCUGCCUCUUCUAAUUUGAACUUGUAGCUGCAGAAACAAAAUAACUUGUUGACUGUAAAAAGUUUUGAUAAAGAGAUAGGCAAGAAACAGAAGGAUAACCCACGUCAAUGUCAAUGCUAGUAUUUGUUUGCCCGAGAGUAGUCUAUCCCGGCCAGUUGCUAGAGUCUUGAGUUGUGCAUCAACGGGUUGAUAAGGAAUGCGUAUCUGCAGUUAAAACAGAACACUGUCCAUAAGAAAUUCUUAAACAAUCACAGAAACCGGAGAAAAUACAAUCUCCAAAUAUGAUAUACCUUGUUCAGAACAGCUAUGGGAACGAGUUUUUCAGAUGCCAAUAGUGCUUCAGCUUCAACUUUUAUUGGUGCUUCACUUCCAUCAAGUAUCAACUCUUCUUUAUUCACACCAAUUCCGUGGAAUGCAAUCUAAAAUAUCACAAAUAACUUGCAUCAACUCAUGUCAAACAAAACACAAUGUACUCAAUAUAGCUGGAAGGCGUGAGCGACUUGAACAUAGAACUUCGUUCAUAACAUUAUGUCUAUUCACCGUUAAUUCGAUUCCAAAACCAUUCCUAAAUGAGAAUACACCUGCAGGAUUGAUUACUGAUAAACCAAAGACCUAACAUCUAAAGAGAGGCUAAAAUUGGUAAGGGAACCAGAUUGCAGAAAGUAAUAAGCAAUGCGUUAACAUGGGCCAAAGAUAUACCAGAAUGAUGAACUCAAAAACGUCAGGGAAACAGUAGGGGGAAAGGGGGACAAAAGAUCUAAAUUAAUAAUUUGGAGUUCAUUACCUGACACAUGACGACACAAAAGACAAAACAAAACACAAGCAUCACAGACACCUAUAUGUAAAAUUCUGAGUUCCUACCUCAAAGUCAACGAUAGUUGGUUCACGACUUCCAAGGCCACUGGACCAGAAUUGAGCUAGAGCUAGUUCCAUCGUUUGACCACUAACUACUGGAAACGCAAAGCUUUUAGCAGACGGAGAUGCGAAUGUUGUUGCGUUCUCCCACUUGAUAGGCCUUCGCAACGGGCAAAUCUGCAAAUUAAGAAACAAUUAGAACCAACAUUAUCAAAAACUUGAAUUAUCCUUAAAUGUGCCCUACCUGAAGCGUAUCAAUAUAAAAUCUCCGUGUAGUAUCAAACCCCGAAGUUCGUAUCGUAGCUUCAGCCCAUGUUGCUCCGAGUGGUACCUCGAUAAAUCUUCGUUCAAUGUGGCCUACAGUUGGAAUUGUUUAAAAAGGAAAUACCAAACAAAAAUAACUGCUGUUUGUUUGUAAAUCACAGAUUACAAAGUGGACAGACGAUAACCUGAGAUGAAAGACAUUUGUUGAAAUGAAAUAACUGGAGGUCGACUUGCCACAGUCUUGGGAAUUAUUAUUGUUACUGGGAUUCUGAAAAGAGGGCCACGCUGUGGAGCUUUGCAAUCAAUUCCAUAAACUUCAAAGUAAUGCACACCAUCCUCCAGAUUUGUGGGGUCCACAACAACGCUGAAAGGUGAUUAUGUAUUCUUACUACAGAGAUAACAAACCGAACCAGCUAGAUAUAGGAUUAAGAACACUAACUUGAAGCUACGUCCGUUAUGAGUGAGAAGGAGAUAAUCAGGAACCCGCACAAUUCCUUCAUUUGUGGAAUGCAACUCGAGACAUUCCUCAAACGGGACAAGUUCCUUUAAAUUACUUGCCCCUUCAUGGAACUUCGGCUCAACUUGUACCGUCCACUGGGAAGUCAAAACGAUGCUUGUUUCAAAAACAGAUACGAGAGAAUACAAAGUUCAAAAGUGAAAUAUACUACAUCUGGUAGGACGUAAAGUUCGCGAAGGAAAAUUCUAACUCUAUGCAGUGCAUCUAAAGACCUUAAUAUUCCAGAGAAAAGGACAAAAUGGUGUGUCGUAAGAAGAUAAUGACUUUAUAAAUAGAAUGAAAGUUAGCAUGCACUCGAGCAUAUCCUAUGAUAUAGCAACAGCUAACCUCUUGAACCAGAAAAAAAAAGCAACAGCUAACCUCAGUCGACUGUCUGGAAGCAGUAGGUUCCCGUAGGUAGAUGCCCCGUGAUGUUGGAUCUGCGUUUUAAAGUUCAUGACUUGUAAAAGGAAGGUUGAUGUUUUAUCAAAACACAAAAAUCAACCCCUUCCCCACAAAAAAAAAGCACGAAGGCCUUUAAUAUUAGCAGCUACUCACACAGGAAGGCCUUUAAUAUUACCACUAAGAUGCAUUAGCAAAAAAAUGAUGGAAACCAACACAUUCAGUUGCCCUCUUUAUCGUCAAUGAGAGUGUGGGAUAGAUUUCAGCAAGAAAAAUUCCAGUACUCAUCUAUUUAGAAAACUUCAAAAAUUGUUUUUCUUUACAUACUUGUUUUCCCCGAGAGAUUGACCUUUAUCUGAUAAAAUACGCAUGGAUAGUCCUUAAACUGCUUCAAGUAUUCAUAUGCCCUGUCAUAAUAAUAAAAUAAAUCAGAACUAUUAAAACAUGACGUCAAUUUAAAUGAAGGGUAUAGAACCUUACUUAUCAACUUGCAUAAGCCCUUGUCCAGUAGAUAGUUUAUCUUCAGGUAGAUCACCUACAGGAGUUGAUGUAUUCUCAAGGGCCCUCCUCACACUGUAUGGGCUAACUGGGAUACCCUCAGCCUGCAGACACAUGAAAGAAUUCCAGCAGCUGAAAUGCGCUGAAUAAACGAGAAAAGAAACAUAUGUGGCAGAAGGAAAAAUAAUGUCGAAGAAGAAACCUUCAUCGCACUUAGAAGUAACGCAAUUGCUCCACACGCAGAAGGAGAUGACAUCGAUGUUCCAUUCAUGAGCAUGCGUCUUUGAAGCGUCCAUGUAGGAACAGGAGCAACAGCCCCACCAGCAGCACUUAUGCAGACACCUAGAUCCCCAUCAGAGGUUGGUCCCCGGCUUGACCUACAACAUAACAAUAACUAUUUCAUGCUACCUACAAACUGCAACAGAAUGAAUCAAAAGAAAGGAAAAAGGUGAAUAUACCAAGUGUAUUCAAGCCCUUCACAGGGAGGUUCCACCACGGAAUGGGCACCAGCUGCCAUUGCAGGAGAAACAUAUGCACCAAUACCAAUGAUACUGGAAGUUGUUCCACCAGGUGCACCAACUGUUGUUAAUGCUGGGCCGUUGUUACCAGCACUACUUACAAAUAUUAGGCGUCUCUUGUUCACAGCCUAAAACAUAUCAGAAUGUCAACAAACGCAAGAUUAAAAGCAUAAAACUCAAGCAACUAAGAGCUGCCUAACAAAGAUAAAGGUAUGAAUGAUACUUCAGUAACAAGAUCAACAAAGCGUCCAUAGUCUGGAAGUAAUGCUGCCUCUCCAUAGCUCAUGUUGACAAGAUCACAAUUAUGCUGUGUCAUUAUAGCAGAAGUCAGCGUACAAAAAAAAAGUAUUGACUUGAGUCAAUGCAAAAGCAGUCACAUGUAACAGUCCACACAGAUAUGAAAUUCCUCCAUACAAGCUGAUGACGCAAAGUAGUUCAAGAGAAAAGAUACAAUUUGUUUUGUUCAAACUACAAAGGAUAUAACUUUAGGAAGUUACAAAAGAACUUUUUGGCUAAUGGUAUACUACAAUCAGUUAAUAAUUACCUCCAGUGCAGCUAUCAAUGCCCGUGUCAAGCCAGUUCCGGUCUCCAUUGACCCUAACCGCGAAUCUCCAAUUUUGCAUGAUAUUAUCUGCGCACCAGGUGCCACCCCAUUCAACAAGUGCUCCUAACAUACACAUAGCACGAGAGUUAAUUGAUUGCAUAAUUAUCAAAAUAAAUAACUUAUACAUAUAUGUGUGUGUGUGUGUGUGUUAGCACCUCGGGGUGGUGUGCAGAAGCUAUCCCAGCAACAUGAGUGCCAUGUGGAGAACUAUCAGUUACAAUGCUCAGGACAUUUCCCUCAUCAUACACAUUAGCAACAAAGGAGCAAGCAUCUAGUCGGCUAAACACGCCAUACUUCCGCUCAAUUCUGAUUUACAUAUUAGAAUGAGAAAAAUACGUAAAAUUUGUGAACUCCCAAGCAAAAAGUUCCUGAACUUUAAUAAGGGAUAGAUCCCUAAAGGGAGACUUGCCGGUAAUUAGUCAAGGGGGAGAAGUCUGCUAGUUUCCCGCAAUCUGGAUCUUCUUCGAGACUCUGCGUAUCAAGUGCAACCCUCCAUACUUCUCCAUCAUGCCACACGACAGCAUCAAUAACAGGCCCUUUGUCUUCAUAGUUCUACAGAGAAAAAAAACAAUGCAUUUACAGCACAGAUUCAAGAAAACAGCGAACACGUAAACAUAAUUACUAAAGGAAAUUAUCUAAACUUACAUCAGCUUGUUUCUUUAGGUAAUCAACUCUGCUUUGGAAGUCUUCGCGCGUCUUCUUCAGUUUCGCAUCAUCCACCUUGCUGUGCUUCUGAAGGCAAGAUUAAAAAACAAGGUUAAAAUAAAUUUGAAUAAGACUGUCAGACUCGCAAAAUUCACAAUACAGCAAACCAAAUUCAGUAUCUCCGUAGCACCUGAUCGAAAUCAUACAGAUUCUUGACAGCCUUUGCAAUUUCUUCCUGAUUCUUUUCAUCCCAGGUUUUUCUUCUUUCUUUCUGUGUGAUAAAAAUACAGAUAGAAGUCUUAGAUCAUUUACGUCAAAUUUCAGUGUAGGAUCUUGAGAUUUAAUAACUAAUCCAACAGACAAAAAAAGAGAACACAAUUCUAAUGGCUACCUUGACGCGAGAAGUUAAGGUAUCAGUAAAAAGCUCGUAAACCAACUUGCAACCUACACGCCAUUCUCCAGUGGGGUUCUUCCAUGAAGAAUUGACAACCAACGGUACCCCUGCAACAAAUUUGUUUAAAAACAAAAGAAAUAAUCAACGUGUGUCAACAUGAGCAAGAAAACUAUCAAGCGGAACUCCUAAAUAUCUCUUUCUAGAUCAAAUCACUAACCUGAUGCUCCACGAAUAAGACCAUCUUCAUUGGCUUUCACCACUGUGGAUGUAUCUAUAUCCCCGCUCCCAGUGCUGACGGAUACAAUAAGGUCACAGCCACUCAGAUGAAAGAAAAGCAUAUCAGAUGCAUAAUCUCAAGUAAACUAUGAACAUACCAGUCAAUGACGUCCAGAACCUUGGGUUUUCCAUCAGAGGUUACGUGCAAGCCAGCAGCAGAAGGAUCAAAACCAGAAUCUACGAAAGAUACAAUCUCAUUUGAUCAGUUCCUCAAUCAGAAUUUUACCAGCGAAGUUACAAACACAAACGAGAAUCACGUCUUCGAAAACCAAGCAAUCUCCCUAGUGAUCUGAUCCAAUACAAACAAUCUAACCAAGCCUAAUCGAUAAGGCUCCAUAAACGUAACAGACGAUUCAACAACUGAAGCGAAGAGUAAGUAAACAAAGACGGCGAGAAGGAAGUACCGAAGAUAGCGAUGACUACGCCACGACCGUCGUACUCAGGAUGAGCUUCGAUGAAGCGAUCAGCGCCGAUUUCUUUCUUAGGCAUGAGAGAAGCGAGGAAGGUUGAUUCGUUCAGCUUGAAAUCAGCUACGCAGGCAUUAUCAGAUUCACCAGCGCCUCCUCCUCCUCCUCCGCCACAACCGACGCGAGAAGUCUCGGAAGAAGAGCAAGGCAUCGCCGAGAAACCACUACGUCUUAAUCGAGUUCCACGAGAGCGAGAACGGCUUCGGGAAUUGAGUCUUCGAUGGAAAAUAAAUGGAAGAGAGAGUGACGUGGACGAAGAAGCCCAAUAAGAAGAAGAAGAAGAGCACGACGGGCCUCCGAACAACGCGCCGUGAAUCUGCAGACUCAGAUCCAUCUUCGGGAUGUGUGUUAAUUAGAGUAGGGGUAAUUUUGUAAAUUAAUCUGAGUCGCUCCUACUUGUGACUCGCGAGUGUCCUUUUGGGUUUAGUAUGUCAAUGGAAGAGGUGGCUGGCUUACUCCCCACUGGGUGGCUUUGCUUACUCCAACAAAGAUAACGAAAUUACGUUGGACUUCACUCUAUUUUCUUACAGAGUUCGAACCUUUGUGGUGACUUUAAAUUGUACAUCCUGGGUUUAUGUUUUGCUGGCCCUGAAAUAUAUAAAAAUUAAAGUCAAAAUAAAUGUUUUGUUUCGCUGUAUUGAGAUUUGAGAGCCGCCUACAUUGCUCACUCGUGUAUAAGAUUGUUCUCCUCAUUGUUGCUUUCUGUUUCAUUGAAAAUGAUUGGAAAAUCAUCCAAUUUUUUUUUUCUUUUUUUUUUGGUAAAAUAAUUUUGUGUUUUCUUGCUCCGUGAAAUGAGAUUGCUUUUUCUGGUGAAUUUAAACAUGAAACUGAGUAUUAGUUACUUGUUGGAUUUGUGACCUAUAUAUUACUCUUUUUUGUUAACACCAAAUGUUUAUAUUAAAAAUUAAACGUCCAGUAAACUAAGUCGGUUAUGAACAGAGAAAAACUGAUGAAAAAUAAUUUAAAAUAAGUCGUAUAAGCUUUAUCUAGAUCAUUUUUUUUUAAUUUUUAUUUCCUAUAUCCAAACAACUAUGAAAUCUUGAAGAGGAUUAGGCACAUGUGGUUCUGAAAAAGUUUGAUAAAUCGUUUUUUAAACAAAUAACAUGUUGUUCUGCAAAAAGGACAGAGAUGAAUCUAUUUAUAAGAAAAUAACUACAUGAAAAUUCACGUUUCACGUAACAAUUUAAUCAAACAAAGCGGCAAAAACAUAUAAAUUGCGCAGUCUGGUCUCACACUUUCAUCUGUUGCAAUCCUCCUUCUUCGAUGAUUGCAGACUGGGCGGAACUCCUCUCAUGGAUACGAGCUCCACCGGAAAAGAAGCAUUCACUCCUUCGGAAGUUGGCUGCUCAAUCUACGGUCUUCCAUCUUUGGAAGCAAAGAAACAAUAUCAUCUAUAAUCACACUUGUUUGACUCCUACAGAGACCUUCAGAGUUAUUGAAAGAGAGAUGAGGAAUAUCAUAUCAGCUAAAAAGGAUCACAAGCUUUUCAAAUCACUCAUGGUUCUUUGGUUGCGUUGAGUGCAGAUUUUAGUCCACUAGAUUGACUGCAUUGUUUCAUCUUGUUUUUUAUUUUCUUUUUGCCAAGAUGGAUCAACUCUAGAUAUUACCUUUGUAAAAUCUACUUUUCAUUAUAUGAUAUUUACAAUUUAGCAAAAAAAAAAAACAUAUAAAUCGCAUCAUUAUGGAAUGGUCAUCCUACGUAAUUACUUUUAACAAAAGAGAUAUCACUUUACCAUAUAAUUAUAAGCUUAUGCUAGACUUUUUCUCUUUAUUGCAUUUUUUUGUUAGGAUAUAUAAACAUCCAGAUAGGUACGAAUUUUUUAAUUUAUGUAUACAUGCGGUUGUGACAGCGACGACGGAUCCAUUUAUAAGACUAGUCAUUCAAUUUAGUGCAUCACCAAAGACUUCCAGAACGUAAGAACCGGUGACACGCUUAUAAGUAUGACCAUAGAGUUGACAUCAAGCCUAACGACGCAAACGCUUCGUUUCUUUAUUAACAUUAUAAGUUUUCUAAAGAACAGAGGAUUAUAUAAUGACUUAAUUAAAUAUAGGAUGAUUAGGUGGAGCGAGCUAUCUGUUGCAGAGCGCAUACGAGUCCUCAUUAUAUAAUACAACUUGAAACCAUGAUCAGGAUCAGGUACAUGUGGUUCUGGAAAAAGUACAGUGAUGAAUCUAGUUAUAAGAAAACAAAAUGUUACAGAAAAACGUUUCACAUAACAACUUAACGAAGAGCAAAACAUUAAAUCACAUCAUCAUGAUCAUCUACCAGCUUUGAUCUAGACUAUUUUCCCCCUUUAUAUAUAUCCAAACAGUAAACAUAUACGAAUUUUGAUUAUGAUUCUGUGCAUGCGGUUGUGACAACGAGGACGAAUCCAUUUUUAACACUAAUCAUUCAAUUCAAAGCAUCACCAAAGACUUCCAAAAAGUAAGAAUGAUGACACGUUUUUAGUAUGCCGUAGAGUUGACAUCAAGCCUAAUGACGUUAACGUUUCAUUUCCUUUUUAACAUUAUAAGAGUUAUCUUAAGACAAUCAAAUAAUGAACUAAAUAUAUGAUAUGGUCCAUUAAUAUUUUUUGUCAACUUUAUGGUUCAUUGAAUUCAAGAAUAUCAAACGUUUACUUUUCUUUGUUUCACAUUAUAGCAGCUUAAUAUAUUUUAGAUUGGUCCAUGAUUCUAGUGUCUCAGAUAUAUGUAUAAACGCUUCUAACCUUUUAUCAAGGAAUUAGUAUUUUAAACCUAAUUUAAAUUUGUGGAACUCACACCGUUUACGUAGAUUUUGAACUCAAGUCUAAUUGGUCAUUGUUAAUAAAGAAGACCUUGUUAUCCAAAAAGAAAUACCGUAAAAUAAGGCUGUAAAUUAAUAGUUUAAUUCGUUUAAAACUUAAGUUUAUUGUACUUAGGUAACAAUAUCCAGCUAUACAGCAUGAACCUUGACAAGCAACCAAUCAAUAGUCUUACACUAUGGAUAUAUGGCGUAAAAGGAAGACCUAUCAAAACGCUAUUUUGGGCUUAUUUCUUAUUUAUUUGUUGUUUUGGAGCCAUGCAGGUCUACAUCUAGUAAUGCCAAAAUAAUAUUUUAGCAAGUAAUAUUAUUUGUGUCUUAUUAUGUAAAAUGUUUUCUAUUUUUUGUUUUGUUUUAUUUAAAUGUUAAACAAUAAUUUUAUCAAACUAAUCGGGAAUAUCUGAAACAAAAACUAACUAAUUCUUCAAGAAAACAAUACUAACAACUAGUUCAACUGGUAGGUUUAAAUGAUGUUUAUUAAAAUACUGAAUUAAUUAUUAAAAUAAAAAAUUAAAAAUUUAUAUUGAACUUAUUAUUUCAUGAAAUACUUUGAAAUCAACUAUUCUAGUGAUUGUAUUUGAUGGAGUUUCUUAGUUAAAAAUAAUAAUUAAAUUUUAUUAUUUCACAUGAAAAUUUAAAGUUGUUAAAAAAAUUAUAUUAAUUUUUAAUUCACAUAAAAUCAUUUAAAACCCACUAAAAUCAAUCACUUCAAAAUCUAAAUUGAAUACACCUCUAGUUUCUAACAUAAAUCAAAUAAGAAUGAUAAAUUUAUACCAUACCCCAAACUAAUUUCUUUUACAAAUGUAUCACUAUCUGGUUUCAAUAACAAUUUUUGUUAAAAUAUACUCCAGUAUUUACAAAUUUUAAAAAUUGCUUUUUUAGUAAGAAAGAACAUUUUGUAAAAUGGGAGGAGAAGAGGAAGUAUGUGACUCCACGUUUAAAAAACUGCAAUAUUUUUGAUAGAACGCGUAGUUCUCAUAUAUGGCUGUCACUAUUCCACAAUCACAAACUUUGAAAAUGCCUACAUUUUUGACUCUGGCUUAACGUCUUUGUUUGAGCUACUCGUCAAAAAUAAUCUUAUUAAAUUUCUAGUGGCGUUUAUUAAAAAAUUACAUUCAAAUAUACACCACCAAAACUGAAAUCUAUUUAAGUCUUCUUUGUCCUUCUUCAUUGCAACUCAUCCAGUUUGUCUCAAGAAACUUUCUAAACCAGACAAAGAUCUAGAACAUUAUACUUGUUCUUUGCCUGAAACUUCAAACACAAGAAAUAAACAAACAAACAUGAGAGACCUAGCUUUGUGUCUGUUUAUUUUCAUCUUAGCUAAACAUGUCAGUUCUGUUCCCACAAAAGAACAGUUUCAAAGCUGCUUGUCAACAAUCUCCAAAAACCCCAACAAUCUCACUAACCACACAUCAGACUCCAGUCUCCACACCGCCUCUUUGAAGACUUCAUCUCCAAGCUCAAACAUCCUCAACUUGAAUUUCACAAGCCUAAAGCCGAUCCUGACCCUCAAACCAAAAUCCGAAUCCGAAAUCAAGAAAUCAAUACUAUGCAGCAAGAAACUUGGCGUCCAAGUAAGAACCCUAAGUGGUGGUCACGACUACGAAGGCCUCUCUUACCUCUCACUAACACCCUUCAUAAUCAUCGACCUAGUUAACCUCCGUACCAUCACCAUCAACCUCACGGAAGAAACCGCAUGGAUCCAAUCCGGAGCCACACUCGGCGAACUCUACUACAAAAUCGCCAAAACCAGCAAGGUCCACGCAUUCGCCGCAGGGAUAUGCCCAAGCGUUGGAGUUGGUGGGCACAUCAGCGGCGGUGGGUUCGGUACAAUAAUGAGAAAACACGGUUUAGCGUCUGACAACGUUGUGGACGCGCGUUUGAUGGACGUCAACGGGAGAAUCCUCAACAGGAAAACGAUGGGAGAGGAUUUGUUUUGGGCUCUAAGAGGAGGAGGAGCAGCGAGUUUCGGUGUUGUGUUGUCGUGGAAAGUUAAGCUCGCUAGGGUUCCUGAAAAGGUAACUUGUUUCAUAAGUCAACAUCCAAUGGGAGCUAGCAUGAACAAGCUAGUUCAUAGAUGGCAGUCCAUAGGAGCAGAGCUAGACCAAAACCUCUUCAUCAGAGUUAUAAUCGACAACAGUGUAGAAGGUGGUCAAAGGAGAGUUAAAACUACUUUCCAAGCUUUGUUUCUUGGUGGAGUCGAUAAGUUGAUUCCUCUGAUGAACCAGAAGUUUCCUGAGAUAGGAUUAAGAGCUCAGGACUGUUCUGAAAUGAGCUGGAUCGAGUCCAUAAUGUUCUUUAACUGGAAGUCAGGACAACCGUUAGAGACAAUGCUCAACAGAGACCUAAGAUACGAGGAUCUUUACUUCAAAGCAAAGUCAGACUUUGUUCAAAAGCCAGUUCCUGAGAACGUUUUCGAAGAAGUGACCAAACGGUUUCUCGAGCAAGAGACUCCACUGAUGAUCCUAGAGCCAUUGGGUGGGAAGAUAAGCGAGGUAUCAGAAAGUGAGUCUCCAUAUCCACACAGGAGAGGGAACAUUUACAACAUACAGUACAUGGUGAAGUGGAGAGUGAACACAGUCGAGGAGAUGAACAAGCAUGUGACGUGGAUGAGAAUGCUUUACGAUUACAUGACUCCUUAUGUCUCUUCAUCGCCUAGGGGAGCUUAUUUGAAUUACAGAGAUCUUGAUUUGGGAAACAACACAGGAAGCAAGACUAGCUUUGAAGAUGCGAGGAUAUGGGGUGAGAAGUAUUACAGAGGUAACUUCAAGAAGUUGGGUUUGGUUAAAGGGAAGAUUGAUCCAACGAACUUCUUCAGGAACGAACAGAGUAUUCCUCCUCUGUUUUGAUUUCUCAAAGGACAAAAACCAAAUGUAUUGAUAAUGUAUUUUUUUCUAGUAGAUAUGUGUACCCAAUAACAGUUGAUUCAAAGGCGAAAUUGAAUAGAAAAUAAACCGGUUUGAUUUCCAUUUUCUAUAACCAAACUAUAAAAGAAUUAUAAAGUGACAACCGGUUUAGACACCAUUGUCAAAAUAUGGUGAUAAGUUGUAUAUAGUAGUAGCAUUAACAUUUAACAGUGAAUCACCAAUUGCUGAGAAAUUCAAGAACUUGUCGAUCAAUUUGAGUUCUUCAACCAGAAGCUACCAGCCUCCUAAUUUGUUAGGUCCUUGGAUUUUGCAGUGUGAUCUGCAUAUAAUCGUGGAGAUGGUUAUGAAUUUAAUUAACCUACUUCUAAAGACAGUGUCACUUCAUAUUCCACGGAGAAACAAACGACUUGGUGGAUAUAUUAAUGAGUAUAAACUCAACAAUCACACUCGAGACAUCCUUUAUAGUCAGAACGGCAGGUUUGUGAGAAAUCAGAGGUCUUCGAUCGGGGUCCAACCUCAUUCAUGUGGCAUGUUUGUUCUUCUACAAUGCUCCUCUGGCAGAAUAUCAAAAGAUAUCGUCAGAGUAUAUGACAACCCACCAAAAUGGAAAAUCAAAUCAAAGGCACACAUUGACCUUGGAACAUGAGACAUUGCUGACGAUAUUGUCAUCACAACUGGCAUGGGAUCUGUACCACUUUGAGCAUAAAGAGAAGAAUCUUUACUGUCGCAACUUUACAAGUGCAGAAGAUCUGAAGCUUGUUAGGAUCCCUAAGAAGAAGGAAAAACUUGAUGUCAACAGUCCUCCUCUCAAGAAGAAGAAGAGAACAAGAAUGAUUCUUGACGGUACCCCAAGCUCCAUCAAGAUGCUUUGAUGUGAUUUGCAUUUUAUAAUCAAAAUUAAUAUAAAUUUAUAAUUCUUGAUUAUUCUCCAUGAUUGUUCUUUUGUAUAAAUUUUCCGUGAUCUUUGUAGUUAUUUCUUUCUAAAAUUGUUACCAUUUGGUGUUUUUGCGAUAGAAAAGGAAUAAAUAGAUCGAGUUUCUUUGUUUUAGCAGUUCAUCCAUUUUCUCAACAUACAAUAUAUAAUACAAACAUUUUAAGAAUGGUAAACAUAUAUUAACACACUCUGAUUCUAAAAGAAUUGGAUGGAUUGUUUUUUUUUUGUUAAAUAAAGAAUAGCAAUUUGUUUGAAUUGUUUCAUGUGUGUGUCUAUAUGAAACAAGGAAAAACAAUUCCCAGGUUAGAAUAUGAGAUCAUUUAGUUAUUUGGUAAAGUCAUCACCAAUUUUUAUUUUUUAAAGGUUCUGUUCUAUUUUAUAUUAAGAGUAUUAAAACAAAUACGUUUGUAGAUAAAUUUGUUUGAAAUUUUUUUAACACGUACGUAUUUUCUGUUUUAAAUUAAAACUAGAUUUUGAUCCGCGCAGGCGCGCGGGUGUAUAUUUUGAAAAAUAUGUUGAUAUUUGUUUUUCAUGUAAUUAUUAGGAUUUGGAAAAAUGAAUCCGAGGAACAUAACCGAUACCGAUCCAAAGAUAUAGUACCAAACCCAAACAUAAAUUGAUUAAAUAUUCUAAUUAUUCAAAAUUUUGUUAUUUAGAGAACCGAAUCUGAUCCGAACCGAAGUAUUUGGGUAUCCGAAUUUAUCUAAAAAUAGAUUUAUAUACUUAUAUAUAUUAAUUAUUUUUAGAUUUAACGUAUAUAAAACAUCAAAAAUGAUACUUUUAAAUUGGUUUAAAUACUUGAAAAUAUAUAUAGAUAGUCAAAAGUAAAUAUGUGAAAUAGUUAAAGUAUACUCAAAUCACCAAAAAUACUUAAAAUAAUUAUUGAUUUCGUAUCCAAAAUUUUAAAUCAAGCCAAUUGAUAUGUUAAGCUUAAGUAUUAUGACAUAUGUUAUUCAAAUUUAUACGUAAUAUAUUAUUUUAUUUAUACAUUUUGAGAAAUUUAAAAUAUAUAAUGAUUUAAGACUUUAAAAAUAAUUUAAAUUAGUUAUCCAAACCCAAACCAAACCCGCAAAGAUCCAAAUCGAACUCAAACCAAAAUUUAGAAACAUUCUAAUAAGGCUGAAAUCUUUGACCCCGAAAACUCAAAAUACAAACCGAUCAGAACUAAACCCGUAUGGGUAUCCAAAAGCCCAUCCCUAGUCAUUAUUAUAUAUCGUAUUUUAUCAUCAUAUAAUUAAUCGUAUUUUAUAUGUACCAUCAUAUAAGUAAUCAUAUAAUUAAUAGUAUUUUAUACAUACCAUCAUAUAAAUAAUUACAUAUAUUAUAUUUUUAAAACUUAAUAUGAAAUAUGAAAACCAUAAUUUGAGUUGGUAUUUCAAAUUGGGCUUUGUAUUAUAUUUUUCUUAUAUAUAUUGACAAUAUUUUUUUAUAAUGGUUAUUGAAAAAUAGUUUAGUAAAAAUCCAUUUUUGAAUAUAUGUAUAUUUUUGAAUCAAUUUUUGAUAUAAAUCAAAUUUGAAUUAUUAUUUUGAUUUGAAAUAUGUAUAUAAAGUUUAAAUUUUGUUUUAUGGUUAGUUUAGAAAAAAAAAUUUUAGGGAAUUAGAUUGACCCAUUUUGGUAUAUUUUAAAAGUGGCCUAGAUAACUUUCAAUUUUAAAAAAAAACAUAAGCCCAUUACUUUUUUUUCUUAAUACUACUAUCCUUGUUUUCAAACAAAAAUAUUUUUUUUAAAAGACUACAAUCCAUGUUUCCAAACACUCCAAAUUUUUAAAAGUCCUAUUCAAGUCUCCAAACACUCCAAUUUUGUACUUGAGUUUUAAUAAGAUAGAUAUCAAGUUAGAUAUUAAAUAAUCUAAACAGUAAACUUGGACAGUUUAGCCAUUUCAUUUAUGAAUAAGUGUAGUUUGCAAGAAAAAAAUAGUGUAGUUUUCAAAUAUAAUCUCAUUUAAAUGUAUUUUUCCAAAUUUUCUCUAUUUAUUUUCCUAUGCAACUUGAGCCAAGUUGUAAAACUCAGAGGGUCUUAUUGGAUCCAUGAUUUGAGAGGAUUUCAUUUUUUUUUCAAAUCUACUCUUAUUGUAUUUAAAUUCAAUAUGAAAUUCAAUUUUUUUAGAUUAGUCAUUUGUAUAAGUUUUCCCAAAUUCUAAAUUAUUAAAAAAUAGAUUUUGUCAAUAAAAUAUAUCAAAUGGGAUUUGGUGGGUUUGGGUGAGAUUUUAUAGUGAAAAAGUAAUGAGUCGAAAUACCAUCUCCUAUUAUGGUAUGUGGAACUUAAAAAAAAAACUACUUGACAUUUUUAAAAAGAAAAUCAAAUUGUUUGAAAUGAAAAGACUAUUUAAAAAUCAUUUUUUUAACUUUCAUAUAUUCUAUAUAUUUCAUAAAGCGAUAAAAUAUUGAAUUAUAGUACUUUGAAAAUAAAAAUAUUAUUUUAAUAAAUAUUUAAAAUUUUAAAAGUUAAAAAAAACUCUGUUAUUUCUUCUAAAAAAUCUUAAAACUUGUAACAAAUAUUUUUAAGAUUAUUCAAAUCUCGGAUAGAGAUGUUUUUGAAUUUAUUCAAAUCCUUGAUUCAGUAAAAGCCCCUUCAGUUUCUUUGAAAUUUGGAAUUUGAUAUCAUUUGUCACCCUCUUUGUAAUGACUAUAUUUACUCAAAGAGAAUGACUUCUAUUUGCUUCAUGUCUGCUAGUUUCUUCUUUUACCUUUAACUGCUACCAUGAGUGAAAGAAUCAUAUAUCCCUGUAUCUGUCCCACCUCUCUUUUUAGCUUUCUCCUUCUUCCCGGUGAGCUUUGUUGGUGGACAAAAGUUUGGAUUAUUCCGGGUUUUGGUCGUAACGUACAUGACAUAUCUGUUUGGUCGGAUCAGCUUAUGUUUUAUCUGCCUUAUGUAUAACUUAUUAAGUCCUUUGAUACCCAGUCUCAUGCUUAACUUUUCCAAUGACUCCAAUAUCUAUGGGAGUUUGGUUAAAGGAAUGCUAGAGAUCGUGAUUAACCAGAGUAAUUUCAAAACGAUCUUGAUGCUUGGUGCAAUUCCUAUGUUGAUUUAGGCAAUAACACAAGCUUUUGAAGAUGCUAGGGAAUGGGAUGAGAAAGUAUAUUACAGAGGCAGUUUCAAGAAGUUGGAUUUGGUUAAAGGGAAGAUUGAUCCAACAACCUUCUCCAGGAACCAAUUGAGUAUCCCACCAAACCAAAUGUAUUGUUAUGUAUUUUUUUCCAUAGUAGAUAUGUACCUAAUAACAGUUGACUCAAGACCAAAUUGAAUAGAAAAUAAACCAGUAUGAUUUCAAUUUUCUAUGACCACACCAUAAAACAAAUACACACACCACUAGAUAUGUUCAAAAUAUGGUGAUAGAUCGUAUACAGCAUCAGUUAAAACAGUCAUUUGAAUCACAUGAUGAAUCAAGAAGUGAGUUUUUAACACACUGAGAGAAAGGCAAAACGAAAAUCUCCGAUUUAAAGCUUCUUCUGAGCAGCCUUUGUACCGGGAAGUGUUCCAAAGACUCUAUCCCAGAGAGAGGAAGUGAUCCCAUAUCCUUUGUCCUGGAUUCUGAAGUGAUGAUUCAGGUGGUAUUUCUGUAAACCGUAUACCAAAAACUCAGUCAGAAAUUCAGAGGAAUAAGUUUGAAUGCCACAAAAAGAGAUUCUUUUUUUUUUUAAUAAGGGGAUUGAUUUUACCUUAAGAUGCUUGAAGGUUGGUUCUUUAGGUUGACCAUGGUGCAGAUAGUAAUGAGUAACAUCAUACAUCACAUAGCCAAACAAAAUGCCUCCAAGCAUAGCAGGAGCUGUAGCAGGAGUAGCUAUGAGGUGGAGAAGCUUCCAUAACUAACAGACAAGGACAAGAUGAUGAACAACAUCGUAAUAAGUUCACAUUUUGAAACAGAAAAGACUCAUAGAUACUUACUGGAACCAAGAGAAUGGCUGUUGCGGUAGGAGGGAAGACAAGACGAAGGCCGUCUUGUGGGUGCUUGUGAUGGCAUCCAUGAAGAAGAUAGUGUGCAGUGUUUGCCCUAAACAAAACAAAAAAACAGAAUCAGCUUAGUGAAGAAACAUGUUAUGUUUAUGUUGCAUAAUCAUGAACACCGAACUAACCAGUAGCUCUUGGUUUCUAUAUGGAAAAGGAAGCGAUGAAGCGUGUACUCGAGAAGUGUCCAGGUGAGUACGCCAAAGGCAACUAUCAAACCGAUCUGGGGAAAUGUCAGUCCCUUCCUCGCGGAGAUUGAAAGAACGUAGCAGACAACUGGAAGCCAGAUCGUUGGGAUUGCCCACCAAACCGUGCGAGUCAAGAACUGCUCAAAGUUUCACAAAGAAUGGAUAUAAAUAAAAACAAAGAGGAUGAUGAUAUACAUUACAAGAAGAUAAAAAUAUUAAAUAGAAAAGAGUUGUUACCUCCCAAAAAUCACUCUGGAAAAAACGAGGACCCUCUACACAUACAAUAGGCUGAUGAAUCCAUUCCUGAUACUCUUCCCCAAGAUGACCAACCUGAUGAGAAACAAGAAAGUUUAUUUUUAUCAGGACACUGAUGAUUUGAAGGUUGAAGAAGAAAGUCCCCUCUUGUUACUUUGUCUUAACGAUCUAACAUGAUGAAUACAGAUAAAAUCUAUGCCUCACCUGAAAGACAAGUGGCUUAUCCAAAUCGACUGUGAAGCGUUCUGCGACCAUCUUUGCCCACCCUGCUGAGACUCCUGGCUAGAGAAAAAAAAAUUAAAACUUAAAUUAGCAUAUAACACAUGUACUGUUGAGAACAAAACAUAGAAGAUGAACAGUAUAUAUAAUCAAAAGGUAAACCAAAACUCAAGACUACUACUUAUUUUAAAAUAUGUAACUGGUAAGUCAAGAAAGAAUUGGAACUGAAACUGCACUCAUUCAAAUACAUAACAUUGACGGAAACAUCACUCAAAAUACAAAACAUUGACGGAAACAUUACGCAAAAACCUUCAUCUGACAAGAACAUAUUAAAAGAAAUCAAAUCUCUUCUCAGAAACUCUAUUUCCAAAGCUCGAUUUACACAAACAAGAAUCUCAUACUGAGUCAAUGAAUGAUCCAAACAAAAAGGUUAUCUCAUCAACAUACCUAAAGACAGAGCCAAUCAACGAAAACAACAAUGUGUUAAAAGACCGAAACUUUCAGAGAGAGAAACAAAAUCAAACAUCAGAUUUUCUAGGAGACCAAGAAACGCGUCAAAGGAGAUGACGAAAUCUAGACGAGGAGAAGAAACAAAAAAAAAAGCCAACAUUCUUCGGAAUUUACGAAGAAAAAGGUCCGAUUUUUUCGCGAGAAUGUGAAAAGAUCUGAAUCGAGAAUGAGAAGAAGAAAGAUCUGAGAAGCUUUUCUUUACCUUUGAAGAAGAAGAAGCGCUUCUCUCUCUCUCUCUGGGAUCGGCAGAGACUCGCUUACUCUCUCCAAUGAAGGGGAAGGAACAAGAACAGCAGCAACACUCUGUCACACAACGAUGGGUUUAUUAUGCUUCUUCUCUUGAUAAUGUUCGGCCCACGUUUUCUCUCUUUUUAUUUCUGGCUUUUUUAUUUAUUUUUGUUUUAUUCCAUUUUUAUCUUUCGUAUUUACGGUUCUAAUUUUAAAAAAAAAACGUUCAACCAGAUCAUUAUUGGCUGGCAAAAAAAUUAAAAUAAGGAAGGGCUUAAAUUUUUAAGGAAGAUGUUGCAAGAAAUAGUAUUUUACUAUUCUUAUAUGCUAUUCUGUAAAAAUAAAUUAAAAAAUUGAUGUUUACUGUAUAUACAAAUUAAAUAGUUUUUCUUCUUAAAGUUCACAUUUAAUGAAAUAUCAUAUACUAUGUAUGGAAAGGAUUUUAAAUGGUUACUUUUUGUCUGAUUUUGUUAACCCCCUUAAUUAGAUUUGCUAAAAUUAAAAGUCCCGUAAUAGUACAGUACAGCGCAUGCUAGUUGGUUUGGGUAUUAAAUCUUGAGAAUUUCUAAAUAAAUGUUUAUAUAAUAUGAAUACUAGGUGUCUUCAUAUACUAUAUGCAGAAAUAGAAAUUUUAAAAUUUGAAAUAUUUAAAAAUAAUUUUUUUUUUGAUUUUUAGAUUUUGUUAUUUGCUUACAAUAUUUAAUUUAAAAUUUUAGUUUAAUUAUAUGUAAAAAUCAAGAUAAAAUAAAAAAAAAUAUUUAAAUUUAUAUAUAUAUAUAUAAAUUAUAAUCUUGUGAAGAUUUUUUUAUCUUUUUUUGUUGAAAUAGAUUAAAUAAAAAUCUAUAAAAUUAAGAGAAAUUUUGGUUAGGUAUAUAAUUAUCAAAAAUCAAAACUAAAUAAUAUUUAUAAAAUUUGUAGAUAUUAAAAAAAACUUUAAUGAGAUUAGAAAAUUACAAUUUUUUUAAAAAUGCAUAAAUUUUCGAAGAUUUGUUUUUUUAUAAAAAUUAUAAAAAAUAGAAUUUAAUAUUUCAAAAAUUGUAAAAUAUUAUUAUAUUUCUAGUUCAACUAUUAAAUUAUUUAUGUUAUAUUAAUGAUGAUUUAUACGUUAUUAGCAUAUCCUAAAAAAAUUUAACAAAAAAAUAUAAACUAACAGUAAAUAUAAAUGUACAUGUCAUAAUUAUAUUUAACCUAUGUAAUUUCCCCAUUAGGUUUUCCAGAAUAACAUACAAACUUUAUCAGCUUGUUUUUUAUAUAUAAACAUAAUGCUCGUUUCAUAGAAAGGGAAUUUUAUUUUUCACUUCUGAGUUAGGACAAAUUUCACAGCAAUCGCAUGAUAAAGAUUUUUUCUCUUUUUACCAGCACGAUGAAUACGUAUAAACUAUUGUAGUUAACUGAACUGUGAUGAGAGAAGAACACGUUAAAGCUCUAAUAGGAUAUCAUAUUAUAUCAACUCUCUUUUUUUGUAAAGUUUGAGAUAGUCUAAAAAUCUUUUGUAUCAUAUCAACUCUUCACAAACACUAAAUAUAUUCUUCUCUCAUCGCUGUAAUAUAGCCUAUAAUCAAUCAUAUGAUUCAUGUGCAUGUAGGCGCAGUGCAAUCAGUUGCAGCAUUGAUUCGUAAUUUAUCCAGACGACUACUGCAUGUAUGACUAAUUUUAGUUAAUCAAGCAUUAUAUUUAUUAUUAAGUUCUUAACUUUGUUGAAUUAGAGUAUUGGAUAAUUUUCUUACAAGUAAUACUACACAAAAUAUAAAUAUCCGGGAGAUAGUCUAUACGUGAGAUGCACUUCUCAUCCAAAAAUUAGGUAUGUGUUUUUAAUAGAUUCAGAUUUAACAAUUUUCGGUUUAAAAAAAACACAAAUAUUAAUAAUAUAUGAACUUAGUAAUCGGUCCCAAACACAUUAACCGAUGAUGACAAAUGGUUUGAAGAAAGCAUAAAUGAAGGAAUCAUNNNNNNNNNNNNNNNNNNNNNNNNNNNNNNNNNNNNNNNNNNNNNNNNNNNNNNNNNNNNNNNNNNNNNNNNNNNNNNNNNNNNNNNNNNNNNNNNNNNNUUUUUUUUUUUUUUGUAGGGAAACUCGAAGCCGUGAUUUCUCUCUCAAUCCAGGUCUUAAAUCCUCACCACCAUUGCUAACAUAACAUUGCUUCGAUUCUCUCUAAUCAUUUUCGUCGCGUCAUCGUUCGUAGUAACUUGAUUGUUUGAUUAUGUGUGAAUGUUCCUUACGUAACUAACUAUAUCGUCUUCUCUUUGAGUGUUUGUUUUAUUCGCUUAACCGUUUUAGUACUUUGGCCAUCGAUUCUCAAUCUGUCUACUGUAUUAGCUCUCUACAUGAAUGGAGGAACAUUGAUCCUCUUGUGUUGUUGUUUAAUUUUCUGUUACAGCAUCUUUGUAUUUGCGUGAUUGUUUUGAUUAAUUGUGAUAAGCUUGAGAGAGAGAGAGAGAGAGAGAGAGAGAGAGAGAGAGGGGAGGAGGAUUUACCGGGCACCAGGCUCUCCGCUUGCGGCAAUGAGCUUGUGUGAGUCAAGGAGCAUGAUCUUGUCCUCGUUGUUCUUGUGGACAAGGAUACUGUGAACCGCUCUUUUGUGGUGUUAGUUUCAAAUGUUUGAAUGACUGUUUGAUUCUGGAUUUUUUUUUUGUAUUUAUCUACCUACUGUUUUUGGCUCUACACGUCUCGUGAUUUUUACUGUGAAUGUAGAAAAAUUAGUCUGUUAUUAUUAUUAUUUUUUAGUAUUUUUUUCUGCUACAGCAAUGGCGAAGUAUAGGAGGAGGAAGUUUCUGGAGGAGUCCAACGGCGCUUCUGGAGAGUUCCCCGAGCACGGGGCCAUCUUCAUGUCCAACAGCUCCACCAGAAGGGAAUGCCUUAGACGAGAGCUUUUCGGUUUGCCGAUGGGUCAAGCUGGUUUUGUGAAACAUGUCAAAGCUGGGAUGUUUUUGUUUUUGUUUGAGUUCGAGAGUAGGGAGCUACAUGGUGUGUUUCAGGCUUGCUCCGAUGGUGCUAUCAACAUUGAGCCUGGUGCUUUCUGCUCUACUGGGAAACAGUUUCCUGCUCAGGUACAUACUUGGGUUUCAUGUUUUUUUUUUUUUAAAUCCAUAGAGUAUGUUUUGGUUAUAUUAAUAUUGUGUGUUUGUGGUCCCAUUUGCUUAGGUCAAGUUUACUGAAAAGUGGCGUUGUAGGCCACUUGGUGAGAUGGAGUUUCGUCAUGCGAUUAGUGAUAAUUACUUUACUGCGAAAAAGUUCAACUUUGGACUCUCAAAGUCACAGGUGUGUGGUUGACUAUUCUACGGUAAAUCCAUGCAUUUUUGGUGAAUCUUUAUGGUUUUGUCUCCACUUAUCUGUGUUUGGUUAAAUUAUUCGGAUUGUGGUUUGAAAAUGUUAUUUGUAGGUUCAAAGUCUAUUGAAGUUGUUUAGCUUGAAGAAGUUAGAGAGAUCAUUGUCCACUAGAAAACUAGAAAGUAGGUUGGGAAAUGCAGAUGGUGGUCGCGGCUUUAGGGAUCGUCGUGCAGAAGAAACUGAGGGAGAUGUUGACCGUAAGCUUCCCUUAAGAGUUACAUCUGCAGGAGAUGCUCGUGGUCGUAGGUUAUCAAAAAACUAUGGGUUUAGGGAUGAAUCUGAUAGUCGCGUCAAAAAAGAAGAGAGUGACUACUCCCGAGAUGCGUCUGGGGUUUUUAGGAGACUGGGUGAUCCCAAAUCGCGUGGGUUCGAGGAUAGAUAUGACCCUAGCAUGAAAAAUAGCUCUAGGACAGAUGAUGACUCUAAUUAUUCGCUAGUUAAUGGUCGAAGAGUCCCAAAGAACUUGAGUCACCCCGCAGGUGGCUGGCUAGAAAACGAGUACCAUGAAAGAGACGGCUUCACACAUGAAAGUAACCACGAGGAACACCCUACUUUUGAAGAAGAUUCAGCGGUUCCUGCUCAAAGCUCAGUACCUCCGGAAUCAGACACAGAACACUAUGACCCUUGUAAUCCUGGGAUCAUGGGAGGUGCAGCGAUGGAAAGCUCUAGGUAUGAUAUUGAUGAAGAACCGGACUACUACAUUCCAAUGCCUACUGAACAUCCUCAAUACCAAACUAGCACUGGCAUAGCUGGAGCAUCUCGUUCUGAAUAUGAAUCUAGAUAUGGUCAUCUUGGUCAUUCUCAGCUUCCUGGUUUCCUAGCUUCUGAAGAUGCCACGGAGAACAUGAUGAUGAACUCUGAGAGGCCGUCUUACCCCAGCCACAGCAUCUACCCUUCCUUUGCUUACCCUUUGUCGACAGAUUUGUCUCCUAACGAGGAAGUCAACUAUAAAAUUGCAGCAUAUCAACACCAAGAAGAACUUGGAGGUCAUGCUUCUUAUUCGGACGAUAGGGCGGCAAGGGAUCCCAGGAUUUACCCUUCUUUUGCUUAUCCUUCAGAGCCAGGGGAUGGAGUUGAUUUGUAUCAAGAGAACAGAGCUCAGAACAAAGUUCAAGAUCAUCAACAACAUGAAGAGUUUGGCAGUGAGGCUUUUGACUCUGACAAUAGGGUGAUUCGAAUGAAAGAUGGUGUUAGUCCUGCUGAACCUGAAAGAAAGAGAGCCAGAAAAAGUGUCUUUAGUAGGCUUGUUAUGCCUCCAAGAGAACCUGUUGCUGAAAAGGAUCCUUCUCCGGUCGCUGAACCAGUCAAUGAGGUAAUGGCGUUUCUAAACGAAUGUCAAAAACAUCUGAUGGAGCAAAAAAGACCAGAUACAGCUGAUCCUGUAAGGUUUGUUAAACCCAAGAAGAAAAAGGAAAAGAAUCAUUCAAAAGAGGCACUUGACAAUGGUGCGAUGAUUCCUUUUACCGAGACUAGUCCUGGUGAUAUGUCUGAUUGUGAAGAAGGGGUGGAACAUAAGCAACCAUUCAUCGACUUUAAGCGUCGUAGCCAAGCUGAAAAGAGCAAUCUAAAUCAAGAGUGUAAAGAGAGCCUCGAAGAUUCAGCUCCUCAGGACAAGAAAAGGAAGCUGCUGAGGCCAAGACUAAUCGAAGAUGACUCGGAAAAGAAUAGAGGAAACAAUGAUAAUCCUAUUGAAACUGACACGGCCCCAAAGUCAGCUACUGAAGUCCCCCUCCUUGAUCUCCUUGCACGGUUUGGUCAAUAACCAUUCACACUGAGAUGGAAACAUGGAAACAGUAAAGGACAGAACAAGGCCUCUAGGAGAGGAUAUGUAUCCAAUUGAAUGUGGGCGUUGAUCCUUGGCAGUUGUCUUUUAGUUUCUUCCUAAGAUGAAGGUGGUCAAUCUUUUUUAUCUGUAUCUUCAUAAACAUGGUGGUCAUAUCAUAUCUAGUAGCAUUGAACAAUGCUUACAUGCUUUGGCAAAAGAGCAGUUUCAAGUUAGGAUUGCUUUGGUUUUUUUUUGAUGGGAUUGCUUUCAAUCUCAUUACUAGAAUUUUGUAAAUGACUUUGCAUAAGGCAAUUGGUGAAGAGGAGGAAUCUCAAUUUUUAGGAUGAGACAGAGAUUUAUUUGUGUGGUUUAUUUUUAUUUCAUAAAGCAAAGAUAAACCAAUAUACAUGUCUCCUCAAGCUCUCAACCUCAAGGCUGCUAUGGAGAGAGACAGAAGUAACAAACAUUAAUGUAUCUAGUUCAUAGCGUUUGGUCCAAAGCAUCUGUUCCUAGUAAGAUCCCAAACCCAUUGAAUCAAAUAUUUUCUUCUUCCAACUCCAUUCACAUUAUACACACUUCUCCACCUAUCCUUGUACACAAUCCCCAUAUACCCACCUCCACCUCCUGAUCCAUACACUCCCAAACACAAAUCCGCUAUCUCGGUCGGCGCCAUUGCAUCUUCUCCUCCGUACCAUCCGUUCAACAUAGGGUUACUCGACACUUCCGCCAGCUCAUGAGCUAUCACACUGAUCAUCCCAUCGAUUCCCACCUCUCCAUUUGGUGGUUUCAUCUUCUCUCUGCUCACAAACCCGCUUCCUGGAAACGGUUUAGGCUGCGCAAAAGGGUACGCGCACAUCUCCGGACACUGUUUCCUACUGUUCCCGACCCACACGUACGGCACCGUUGCACCAACGAUGGUUGAGAAAGUGAAGUAAUGGAACCCGCAGAUGGCUCUGCAGAACUCUUGCAUCUCUACAUCGUCUGAGGUCAGGACCAUGUACAAGCCGUUGAGAGAGUUUAGUGGUAGCUUGUUGGCGACGGCAGUUCUGAUGAUGGACUGGACAGAGAAGCGACUGAGUUGAGAUCCAUGAGAGUAGGUUGAGUCGUGGAACUCUCCGGACAAGACAAGUGUUCUGGUGAUGUUGGAACCUGUUUGGUCUCUGUAAAGCCUCACCGUCUUCCACCAGUCGAAUACUGAAGGAUACCGUGCCGGUGAAGAGACGGAGUAGAUGAAGUCUCUGAUUGUAGACUGGUGAGUUGGGUUCCAUCGACCGUACCAUAUGAUGUAAAGACUAGUCUCAGGCGAGGAUAUGACCGGACCCAUGUGGUAUUCAAGGUUUACAAGAUCGGAGGAGCCUUCGUAGUUCUUGCUUUCGUCGUAGAGUUGUCCAUCGGAUGUGAAAGAGAGUGAGAGGAAGAACAAGAAGAUGAGAGAGAUCAUCUUCUCAGGGGUUUUGUUUGUGAUUUGGUGAGUGAAGAACUUGGAGAUGUUAUUGGUGUUAUAAAUAGAAAGGUACAUGCACUCCAAAGUAGAAGAUAUUAGAUUAGAAACUCCAUUUGUAUGUAAUUUUUAAGUUUUAUACAUUAUGAUAUAUGUAUAAAUCAAUGAGGCUGUCGGUUAAGUAGAACUUUUAAGCUUGAUUGGUGGCACUGUUAGGGUUAGACAUAGAGCCCCACUUGACCAAAAGCAUGUUUACCACUAAUGAUUUCUUGUCAAAACUAAUGAAAAGAGGUACUAUGACCAUUAUUACAUAAAAUAGUAUAAGAUCCAAUAUCGGAAAGUGAAAAGCUUUAGAUGUUAGCCUAGAGAAUAGAGUAACGCAUUAACAUAAAAUUUCAACAGAGUUGGGAAAUCAUCUGGCAAGUUAUUUAAAUCAAAGAAAACAUUUUGUAUAUUCAAAUCUAAUAGUAUAACUUUUGAAUUAUAUGCUAUUCAUAAGUUUUAGUAAAUCUACAAAAUUAACAUGAUCAGUGAUCAAGAUUUACCAUCUAUCAUCGCUAGUCAAGUCACUUUUACAGUUUGACUAAACCAAUGGAAAGUCGUUAAACCUUUAAUUUUUAGAUUCUUGACAUAAUAGUAGACAUUAUGCUGAACAGUUCUAUAUGUAUUAGAUUAAAAGUUUAAAUAAAUUUAUUUAUAUUAAUCUGUAAUUGCAUCUUAUAGAACUUGAACAACAUGUUUCUUUCUUUGUACAAAAACAUUAAUGAAUUUUGAUCAAACACCGGAUUAGAACUUCUGUAUUUGUUUAUAUUUAUGUCUUAUUCUAGUAAAAAUAGGUUUAAGAAAAAUUAUCUAUAAAAAUUCUUUUAGAAAAUUUUAAAUUUUUUUUCUCAACUUGGGAUCCUCCUGAUUUUCUGAAAUGAAUUACUUAAAUUGACAAAAGUUUUAUCCCCGUGGAAAGCGACCUUUUUGCUUUUAACCAACCAACGCUCUUUUUCCAGAUAUGCGGUAGUCGGAACUGUGUUCUAAUUGGCUAAACCGGAAAUCAAAAGUCAAAACUUCUUAACCGUUACUCGGUUUAAUGUCCCACAUGGGUAUUAGUAUUACCUUUGAAUUUCAUAGAACUUAUGUUCAUGCAGUUCUGCUACAGUCUUCGAAUGUUAUUUUCGUACUUAAAGAAUAAUAAUACUAUGAACAAUUACGACAUAAAAUUUUUAGGGGAUUUAAUCAAUCGCCAUCAAACCAAACCGAACCGGGAACUGGUAAAGGGGAUCCAUUUUCGGUUUACUCCCCUUAACUUUCAGCUAAAAAAAACUUUGGUUUCUUUAGUUUAGGCUCACCAAGGUGCAACGAGAUGCUAACCUCAUCUUCUUCUUCAGAACUGCUCUUUAAAGCGACAAGAUCAUCAACUUUGAGUUUCUCUUGCCUUUGACUAGUAGAAGUAGACUCGUUAAACGACAACGGAGCAAUGAACACAUGUUCCUCUACUUCAGGCGUUGGUUUGAUAGCCUCUUCUAUACGAAACUCAGGCGGUAUAAACGGCUCAAAGCUCUCAUCUUGUUUGUCUCCUGAAGCAACCGGGUCCGGUGGUGAUGACUGGCAAACCGUUGAACCAAUGGCUGUAACCGAAGUGUUUCUCUGUCCUCUAGCAGCUGCUUUACACAAAGCCAAAACCAAUAAGGACAUGAAAGUGUGGGAACGUAAUGAAACAUGAAAGAGUUAUAAACCUUCGAGUUCAUGGUUUGAUGUGAUGAGAUCUAGCUCCAAGAGAUCCAAAAGCCGACCAAGAUCGACCCCGCUUGUCCAGUUCUCAGGUUCUCGUCCUGCUAUCAGUUUCAGCCGUCCUCUGUUUGCUGUACCACCCCAAAUGAUCCCAACCGGUCGUGGUUUCUGACCGUUUGGACUAGUUAAGAGUAUAAGGCUUCCACUGUCACCUUCGAGGUCAAAAGUCUGCUGGUUCUCACCAAUGACUAGAAAAUCAGUGAGGAAACAGAUCCCUUUCUCGUCGUUGUAUUCCAAAGCAUAAGCCAUAACGGUUCCAGUGGUGUAUCCAGAGCUUCUUCCAACUUUAACAACUUGUUUACCGAUAAGGGUAUCAAUAGGUGAUUGCAAGUCUAUGACGUGGACGUUGCCUAUCUCACCUAUGCCCUUUAUCACUGUGGUUACAUUGCUCAUACUGAAAUUUUCUGCAAAGGGAAUAAAUGCACCAUCCGCUCUCACAAAUGUUUCUGCAUUGGGAUGGAUACAAAACAAUGGUCAGUACGAAACAAGGAUGUCCAAUGUCCCACAUACAUUGACUUGUAAUCAUGGUUCUAAAAAUCGGUUUAGACCCCGCCGAGGCAUUUGUUGCCGUCACCUCGGUUCUAUCCAAAACGAUUUUCUUAAAAUAUGAUUUUAUCGGUUUAAACUGUUUAGAUUUGUUAAAAUCGGACUAAAUCGAUCUAAAUUAAUUUAACUCUAUUAAAUUAAGUAAUAAAGUUAGUGCAAGUCCACAAAUUUGUAUAUUCUUUUUGUAUAUUUUGAUAAUUCAUUUAAAUAAUUUUAUAAUUAAUCCAAAAACUAAAACAUCUUAUAUAAAUAUAAAAUACAUCAAUUGUUCGUUAACCCCUAAUAGUUUAUAAUUAAUCCAAAUAACCCCUAGUUACCACCUAACAAUUUCUUGAACAUUGCUUGUGAUGGAAAUCAUAACAGGAGUACCUGGAUUUGUAUCAGCAAAUAUGCCGUACCACUGGUCAUCUGUAAUAAACGAUGUUGCUCUCUCAACUGCACCGAGGUAGACACCCGGUCCAAGGCUUGGAGGUAAAGGAUGAAACAUUUUCUGGCUUGGAUAGUCCAAAUCAACUGCCACAUGCCGGUUAGUAAGGAAACCGACCUGAUGGUUACCGGUUCUGCUUCUCACUAUAGCUCCCAACGUUCCAUACGUUUCUUGGCUUGCAACCUACACAAUGGAAAACAAAACUGAGUCUUUACUUUUGAGUUUUUGCAGAAGAGGGAGCAACAAUAAAAAGAAGAAGAAGUACCUGAGAACCAGAGCCGAUGCAUGGAUCACUUCCUCUCAAACCAUCUACAAGUUCAUUAUAAACCUGUUCCUUUGGCGUUGCAGCAGGAGCACCGUAAUAUUGGAACUCCACAACAUCUACAUCGCACCAAACCCCUCCAGGACCCUAUUAAGAAACCAACACAUCACCUAUCAUGCUCAUGUAUGUAGAAUGGAAUUAAAUUUCAAAGAUAACUAAACCUCAAGAGCGGAAGGAAGACACUGCAUUGGAUUAAGCCAUUGCCUAUGAACUUUCCUAGCAACAAACACGAGAAUCGCCGGAGUAUUUGUCAGAACACCACGCGUGAUCCUGAACCCAACUGCAGUACCAAGACUAAACCGGCGCAGGAUUUUACUAUGAAACGCUCUGAUAGUCAUGAGCUCAAGCAAGGUAGUGGCUUGCUGUCCUGAAGGCAACCUCCCAACGAUUUCAGGCAAAACACCUUUCUGGAGAUUAGCAAAGUAGUUAGCUCGGUCUUCCACAGCAUUGUUGAGGCGGCUGAGAGUAGGCCAGGAGAAGUAAGGGGCGUUGCUCUCUCCGUGCUGGAUGUUGAAUGCGAAUGGAUUAAGAGAAGAUGGGCUUGAAGAGGACGGAAGACUCAUGUGGUUGCAGUGAUGGUUGGUUCUCGCCAAAUCCGAAGCAGAGUCAUCUGAUUGAGAAGAAGCUGACUGUCUGAAUCUCUGACCCCAACCUCCCAAAGUCAUAGCUUUUUAGCAAUCUCUACUGAAGCAAAACAGCAACACCGUAACGUCUCAGCUCUGUAACAAAGGAAGAAACAAACUUCAUCAAUGCUUAACACAAUAAAAAAUGGUAUCUUUACGAAUAUUAAUAGCAAUAAACCCAAAUCGUGUUCUAUGAACCCUAGAAGUGGAAUUAUCUUCAAAGCUUUGAACUUUACAAUCGGAAAGAAAAUAAUACGCAAAUCUAAACAAACCCAGAAGCUAAAUCGUUCAAAACAACAAAAACGAUGAUCUGAAUCAAUCGAUCAAGUGAAAGCGCGAAACUCACCUACAGGACAGUUCGUGGGAGUAUCCGAGAGAGCUUCAUGGGGAGAAGGGAGCAAAGAGGGAGAGUUAGCAGGGAUGAGAGAGAGGUAGCUGCUGCAUUUAGAGGGGAGAGAGAGAAGAAUGGAAGAGGAAGAGGAAGAGGAAGAGGAAGAAGACGAAGGAGAGAUAGCAAUGGCUGCAUAAUAAUAAUUUUAUUUGUUACUGUUGAUUGAUGGUGGUUGUGUAUACAGUAACAAUACAAUUAUUUUCCUUUUCUUUAUUUUGUCGACGCAUGGAUAAUUAUUAUCUCGAACAAGGAAGCGUGUUUUACGUAUGUUAACACGUGUGUGCCAUACUGGAUCGAUAUUCGUAAUUCGGAUUUCGCCGAUUCGUACUAAGAUUUAUCUUUGUAUCUCAUCGUGAAAAAAAAAAAAUAUUGUUGUCUUACCAAUCAAAUCUUUUCUUUUGGGUCAACAGACUCAAAUCCAAUACAAAAAUUAUAUACUUUUAAUUGUUUUCCUUAUGGUUUAUAUUAUUUUCCAGCAAUAAACUUUUAAUUUAAAUUUUAAGUCUUGAAUUUUAGCCAAACAUAUAACCGUGGGCUAAAGCCCAAUACAAAAAAUAAAAUUGAAAAACAACAAAAUUUAUCUUCUUAUAUAAAGGGAAAUUGAGAUGUAUAACCUUCAAACAAAUUAUAAUUCAUUUGAUAACUAAAAUACCUAACUUUCAUCUAUAGUAUAUCUAUAUAUAUAAAAUACAGUUUCCUCUCUCCUUAGACAUGCCACAUAGGAUUCCAUGUCAUAAACUAGAAAGCUGAAAACGCAACACGUGUCCUCUAUACAAAACUUAGCGUUUCAUUAACUAGCGAUUAUAUUUUUAUUGGGCUUAUUCUGUUUUUUUUUUUACCCUGUCUAACGGCCCGAUAGACCACAUGAUUCAACCCUAAUUGUGAUUUACGCAAAAGAUGAAAUUUAAGGUUUCUCUGUUCUUUGGACCUGAGGCGACUUUUGAUCUUGGUCUGGUUCACUGAAACGCACCCAGAUAUUUAUUCAUCGUCUUUAAUCCUUUAUUAAUUCAAACACCCACGAUCUAGCCUUGAAUGCGAUCUUCCAUCAUGGUGAGGCUGUCUAACUAAGAAUAUAAAUAGGUAAGUAUUCUUCAUCUCGAAACCAUCUUCUUCUAUCCGCGCCAGUCUAUCAAUCUCUUCAAUCAUAUACUUUUUCUAUUUUUAGUGUUAUAGUUCCUCACAAGAAGAGAGAUCUUUUUUUUGGGUUCUGCUAUUCUUCUUUUCUGUUUCUGAAUUUUUAAUUUAAAAUUGAAUUAAUUUGAUGAUGGUUACACGGCCGAUUGAUACGUGAGUUUGAUAUCAUCCAAAGUCUCAGUUUUUUGUUUUUACUUUGUGGUCUUCUUCUUCUUUUUUGAACCAGAACUUUGUCUUCUUCUUUUUUUUUACUUUGCCUUUUUAUGUUUGUGUGUUUAAAAGUUCUUGGUUGAUCUGUUUAAUUGGGGUUUGUUGUUAUUUUCAGUCUGUAAUCUGUAUAUUUCUUUAUGUCCUAUGGUUCUAUGAUACUGAUUGUUUCUAAAACCAGCAGGAACCAAAUAUCCGUGAAGAAGCUUCGGCACUAUAUUGUCUACAGGAGAUAACAAUAGUGAGUCUCUUUGCUCUUACCUUUGGAAAUCUCUAAAUGUUUUUGAUAAGUUCUUUUAAAUUAAAAAAAAAUUACUACAGAUACGUGAAGGCAAGCGUUUGAAUCACAAGCCAAAGACCAAAUACCGUUUCAGUAAGACAUUUUGUAUUUCUCUGUUUUUGACCUUUAAACAUAUACAAACUUCACCAUAAAAUCUAACUUAUUUUGUAACUCACUAUGAUAUGUGCAAGCUCAUUCAAGGCACCUCUUCAUAUCUACACAUACACUACAUCAGAGUCUUCGGUUGACAUCCUUUUCAAUUCAUCUUCACCUUCUGCUGCACCCGUAACAUCUAUAUAUAGUUAGCUUUUGGAAACGAUGAAUAUUGGUGUACAAAAUGAUAUUGGAAAAGUUAAUGGAGAACUUAAGUUUGCUUUCGUAAAUUCACCAGUAUACAUUAAUUGGGGGUGCAAAAGGGUUCAUAUUAUGGUCUUAUAUCAAAUGAGUAACAGUAUAUAUACAAAGAAUCGUGCAAGCAAAGAUAAGAUCAGGAAAUUGUAGCGAUCGCCGUCGACUCGGUUACACGCAUUAAGAAACUGGAAUGAUUCCUAGGAUUCCGAACAGGACGACAGCAACCGCGAGUGGCCGGCCUAACCCAUCGAAUAACUACUUUAAAUCAAAUUCACCAGAAAAUUAUUAGAAUCACAAAAGUUGAAGAUCGCAAAGCUGGAAGAAGACAAAAGUCAAACUUUUUUGUUCCCUUUAUGAGUUAAUGCGGAAGAUGACGGAGAUUGGUUUUAGUUUCAUAACUUUCGUUAAAGUAACCAAGUCUUUUCAGAUAUGCUAUUUACACGAGAACUACAUAUGGUUUAUGUUAGUCAUGAAACGUCUGAAUAAAAUAUUUAUGAGGAUUAUGAAAUUAACUUCAUUAUCGUCUCUAGAUUUUAUUAAAGUUCAUUAGUGUUUCUACAUACGGAAAAAUAUGAGGUUCAAGUUCUAAAAAAGGAUUUAUCAAAAAUUAUAACAAUUAAUGAUUAAAUAUUUCUAUGAUAAUGUGAUGAAAGUUAAACGUAGAAGGAUGAAACAUGUAGAAUUAUUAGAUCUCAAUCUUUAUAAAACAUUUAUAAUUUAAAAAGCAAGACCAACGAAAAUUUUAAAAGAGUGUAUUUUUUGUUGAAAAAAUAGAGUGUAUUUAAUAGACUUAAAGUAAAGAAAACUAACAAAAUAUUGACAAAAGCCACAACAAAGAAAAACAACAAGAACUAAUACGAUAAGAAAAACAAUAGUUUCAAAUAUAUAUAUAUAUAUAAUAUUUCAUUUGACAUCAACCUAAAAUAAUAUUUUAUCACAUAAUUAAUAAUAUAAUAUCAAAGACAUAAAUAUUAAAAAUAUUUAUAAGAAAAAAUAUAAUCUAAGAUUUUUUUGUAUUAAAAAUUAGUUUACUUAUUAUCAAAAUUAUCAUAAUUACAGUAGAAUAAACAGAGAAAAUAUGUGAAACUAUUAUGUAUUCAUGAACAUUUUAAUAUUAAGAUGAUCAUGAUCUAUAAAAAGAAUAACAAAACAUAAUAAUAUAAUAUCAAAGACAUAUAUAUUAAAAAUAUUCAUAAGAAAAAAUAUAAUCUAAGAUUUUUGUAUUAAAAAUUAGUUUACUUAUUAUCAAAAUUAUCAUAAUUACAGUAGAAUAAACAGAGAAAUAUGUGAAACUAUUAUGUAUUCAUGAACAUUUUAAUAUUAAGAUGAUCAUGAUCUAUAAAAAGAAUAACAAAACAUACACAAUAAAAGUUAAUAUCACCUUAAAUGUUAAGUAAGCUAAACAUUUUUAAAUACUCUUUAACUGAUAUAUUUAUGUAUUUUUGGUUACUAACACGUCCGGAGAGAGAGAGAGAGAGAGAGAGAGAGAGAGAGAGAGAGAGAGAGAGAGAGAGAGAGAGAGAGAGAGAGAGAGAGAGAGAGAGAGAGAGAGAGAGAGAGAGAGAGAGAGAGAGAGAGAGAGAGAGAGAGAGAGAGAGAGAGAGAGAGAGAGAGAGAGAGAGAGAGAGAGAGAGAGAGAGAGAGAGAGAGAGAGAGAGAGAGAGAGAGAGAGAGAGAGAGAGAGAGAGAGAGAGAGAGAUUAUGCUAAUAGUAAAAAUAAGUUUUUAAGUUAAGAAAAUAGUAUAUCUAAUAUAUAUCUCUUGCAAAUGUAAACCUAAAACACAAAUCAUAUAAAAAAUAAUAAUUUUGAUUACAAGUAAAGUAUAUCCCGCCCGUAGGGCGGGCCGACUCUAGUCUAUUAUUAUAAAGAAGUGUUUGUUUCUCUCACAGGCCUCCACGUCAUCAUCCAGAUCAGAAAGUCGAGGUAGUAGGAACUGACACGUGUCCACUAAUUGAUCCGGUGCGUUUAGUUUUCUGUCUACACUUAACAUUCCGUGGGCUUUCGUGGGCUUGAUCUUUCACUCUGUAUUACCCCUUUUGUUUACCUAUUCUCACUGAAAUUAGGGUCCACCUCCGCACGGAAAUUAUUCUCUGCGUUCUCUGAACACCGACAAUGGAGUCUCUUGAAUUUGGGUCACUCGAAUCGACGCUAAAAAUCUCUGUAUUGGUGCUCUCGCGUCGUUUGGUCUCCUCUUCAAGUCAAGAAAAACGUUCAGAUUCAUUGCCUUUAUGUUUCCAAUCCUGCCGACCCACUACGCAGUAAUUAAUAAUCCUCCUCAACCGCCUUUGUUACUCCGAUUUUCUGAUCCUAUAAAUAUGGGUGCAAAUUAUAACAAAUCUCAUAGCUUGCUCCACUUCUUUACGUUCUUAAUAAUCUUUUAAACACAUGCUAUGGCAAUGGCGAACUCCAGAUCCUGAUUUUUGUGUUGAAGUUCGGUGGUUGUAUUGAGGCAGGCGUGACGAUCUUUUUCGUUUUUAGGAGUUUAGUAGUGUUAAGAAAGGAAUGGAGCUCAUUAGUGUUGACAUGAGGAUAGAUCUUUCUGAGCUGCUUCAUUUUGUUGGAAGCUAAAAGGUUUUUUUCUCUACUCUUCUUUCUGUCAUUAAGGAAUUCAAUUAAGGCGACCACUCCUAAUAUUGUGAUUUCAUUUCUGGCUUUUUCCACAGGAGAAACGAACGACCAGGGAAAUUAGACGAAUGCUUACUAACAAAUGAGAGAUACAGAGGGAAAACCAUCUUAUUCAAGUGCAAGAACUAUGUGAAGGCUGAGUGAUUUAUGAGAACAUGUUUUGACAUCAUGGAGAAGUCAGUUGCUUCAGAAGAUCAGUCCAUAGCCUUCCUAAUUCAGUCAGUACUUCUCAACUGAACCGUUAUGAGGAAAUAUCAAUUAAGGCUCAAUGAAUCUGUGAGAAGUCAUUUGGUAUAUAGAGCUUUCCUCUCUCCGUACCAUCGUCAUAUUUUUGUCAUCUAAACAUGAUUCAAUAGAGUCUUUGUUGGAAACCCCAUGCAGGUGAGGCGAUGUACUGUUUGGCGUCGAUUCAGACGAUGUUAGGUAAAGACGAUGAGGAAGUACUCGGUUUUCUGAAAAGGGUGUUGAUGAUCCAAGAAACAUAGUAGGGUUCAUCACCCAAAAAAGAUUGUUACUCUCCAGAAGAUUGUCCAUCUUAUGGAGAAGUAGGAGACGAAAGAUGAGAAAUAUAAGUGUAAAAGAAGACUGGCUUUACAAGGAGAGUCGUAUUGUGAACAUAUUUUCUUACUCUGAUCUUUCUUGAACAAUGGCAGAAAGAUUGGUCUGGUAAUGGCCAGUGAUGUUAAAAAGUUAUUUUUGUUCUGGUAUAUACACUAAUACAACAUCUGCUUAUAUCUGUGAAAUUUUGCAGCAGUUAUGCUUUUAUUGAAUCGAGCUAUUAAUGACUACGUUAUAUUGCAUUUUCCUUUGUAGCUAUUCCCAUCUCAUGCAAUAACAUGUAACGUUAACAUUGUUCAUCUCAUGCAAUAUCAUGCUAUUCAAAAUUUUGCAGCAGUUGUUAAUUUUUCAUGUGGAAGUUGCACUAUGUCGGUUUUGUUGAGUUGGAUCAUAAGAACGUGUUAUCUGGUGGACAAAAGUAUACAAUUCCGGCAGCAAGCUUGCACAGGUGAACAAACACACAAAAACAACAAUUUUUGUCGUCUAAAAUAGUAUUCAAUAACUGAUAAUAUUGGGUGACAGUAAGACCUUGAUACUACCCAACAUUCAGUAAUUGAGAAAAGGCAAGCUAAGAAAUCUAUACUAUACUAAAAGCAAUAUAUAGUGAGCAGAGAGCAUGUCCACGUCGACAAAAAAAAUCGACCAAUAGGAAAACAGUUCUCUGCCACGUCAGAUACACGAUGACAAACCCUUAUUUUUCCAAAAUCGAAUCUCGGACCUUUCUCUUCGUCUUCUCCGUCGUCUUCGUUUCAUGCAUUUACAAUUAAUCGUAAACCCCACGGGCCAUUUGCUUUUGGAAUCUAUGUUUGGAGGCGUCUUUUUUGUGCAUGUGAAUAAUCUUCUCUUGCGCAAAUCUGGAAGUAUACUCAUGAGACGAAGGCUUGCACUGCGACUUCACGUGCCUGAUCUAUACCCUCAUGAGGACGAAGCUCACGGAGGAGCACGUGAAGUCGACCGUCUGCGACGCGGUCGAGAUCGAGAGGGAGUUUGUGUGCGACGCGCUUCCGUGUGCGUUGGUGUGGAUGACCCGUGAGCUGAUGAGUCAGUAUAUCGAGUUCGUGGUGGAUAGGCUUUUGGGUGCGCUUGGGUAUGGGAAGGUGUACGGUGUGGCGAAUCCGUUUGAUUGGAUGGAGUUGAUUCUGCUUCAGGGGAAAACAAACUUCUUUGAGAAGAGAGUUGGUGACUACCAGAAAGCUUCUGUUAUGUCUAGCUUUAAUGGAGGCGGCGCGUUUGAUAAUCAUUGAAACUCAUGGCUAGGUACUAUUGCCAAAUUGCGAAGCCCUUUUAGUCCUUAGCAGCCUCAAGGUUUUUUCUUCUUUCACUCAAAUUCUUGGACUUUCUGUAGAGAUUUGAUUAAUAUAAUGGACUGAUUUGAGAUUUAAAUCUUUGAUUCUUCAGGUUGCUUUGUAUGUUGGUGGUCUUUAUAUUUGUGGAAAGGUUGGAGAUUAUGAUUUAGCUUUUGAUUUGCCUCUAUAGUUUUGAACUCUUUUCAUUAUAUGAACAUGUUUAAAAAAUUUGCAGAUUGGAUGGGAAUCUGUAAUGAAAAUGGGACAAGACACACGAGAACUGUUCUUCUAUGAAACAUUUCUAUAUUACAACCCUCUCCUUCUCAUUGUAAGUCUUUGUCUAAAUCAGAAACUCAAACCCUUAACGUGUGUUUCAUUCCUCUAAUAUAUAUUCAAUUACUUUCAGACAAUGAUGGUUUGGCUCUGGGGUGUUAAUCUGUGGGUGUUUUCUCGAACUGGAGUCGAUUACGCAGCAAUAUUUUAUCUAGGACCAGAUCAUCAUAGUCACAAAGAGAUAUGGAAGGUAUUACAAUUCCUUAGUUACCUACCAUCUUUAUCCAAUGAUUUUCUAAAAAAUCUGAGGGUGUCACAGUGUGCUAGGUGGAUGACGACGACAAUAUUAACUAGCAUGACUGCGUAUCUGUAUCUACAUGUCCUUGGCUGCUUCUCAACCAGUGUAAUAGAUGCAUCUUCUCUUAUUUUUAGAGAUAUUUUGUAUUCAUUGUGUUUCAUAGAGUUUUGACAUUUUUUUUCUGAUGUUUUCCAGAUUGUUUUGUAUCUCUCUGCUGUGAUCAUUCUCAUCACCCCUUUCGAUAUCUUCUACAAGGUAGGUUGAUCUCGACGAUAAAACAUUUCGAUCCAAGUGAUUGCUCCUGCAGCAGAAAACGUUGAGGUACCAACCAAGAAAGUGGAGGAACCCGUUGUGGUUACUGAACAGGCGGAAGAAGUCGUGGCCGCGACAGAGUCUGUUCCAGCUCCAGUCGGCGUAACUGAACAAUCCGAAGCACCAGUCGAAGGAACGAGCAAGGAAGUGGUUGUGGAAGAGGCAGAGAAAAAAGAUGAAGAGACUGAGAAGAAACCAGAGGAGCCAAAGGUGGAGGAGGAAGAAGACAAGACAGAAACUCCGGUCAUUGUGGAGGAGGCAAAAACAGAAGAGAAGGAGGAGGUGACUGAAACUCUGGCGGUUGUGGAGGAGGAGAAGAAGGCUGAGGCAGAGGAAGUUGUGGCUGCUGGUGAAGUCGCCGCCGAGAAGACUGAGGAGUAAAGCGGAAGAAACUAUAUAUGCACCUUUGGUCUCAUUUCGUUAUCUUAUUAAAAUAUUUAUUUUAUCAACAUUUUAUAAGUUUCUAUGUUCUGUUGUGUUUAUUAUAAUGAACUCAGAUGUUUGGAUAAUUUGAUGGUUGCUAUAUUGCUUACAUGCUUGGUCUAGCUUCUUUUUUUUUGUCAGCAAGCAACUACUACUUGCCUACUUGGUCUUAGCUACAAAGUCCAAGCCAGGGCAUGGAAUAUUAAAACCGUUUUGCGUUUACAAUUGGUCAAAAGAGAGUAUAAUUGAUGAUCCAAGUGAUAUACAAAUCUUCAAAUUUCUUUCCGUUUUUCAAAAUGAAAACAUAAUCCAACAUUUCCAAAAAGAACACCGACCAUAAGUGGAUCAUCACAGAUGAUUAUUCCCAGGAGUUUUUGAAAGAGUUAUUAAAAAGUAAAGAUAAUAAUUUCCAACAUACCACUAACUAACAAAAUAUUCGUAGUAUAAAUGGAAAAAACCAUAGAACUAGGGUAUUGAUCAACCAAAAAAAAACUGAAUAGUUAUAAAGUCAUGUUCGGCCCAAUUCACUUUACCGUAUUAUUCAGGCCUAUCUUUAAUCCAAAUUUAUGUUUUGGUUUUACUAUAAAAGUCUAAUUCCAUUCAUUAACUGAGCAUGACUCGCGUUUAACUUAGAAAAUAGUGGUUUACUGGGCUAUGAGUGCGGAACAUCAUAUUUUUUCAAUUCGAAUAUAUAUAUGUGUAUAUAUUGGGUACAAAAAUCCAUAUGAGAGAAUGAAAUUUCGUAAUUAAAAAUUGAUUAAAUAUAAAGAGUAAAAAAACAAGGUGUUAUUAAAUAUACAAACUACAAAUUAAAUAUGCUCAACGCAAACACACAUAAAAGUGAUACAUCAUAUUUGGAUAUAUUUAAAUAAAUAAUUUUAAAUAUAUUAUAUUCUUGGUAAUUUUAAAAUUAAUAAAAAAAAACUAAAUUAUUAAAAAAUUAAUAUACAAAUAAAGCUAAAGCAAUAUUUUGUAACGUCAAAAUAAUAAAUGAAUAAAAAUGUAUUAUGUUAAUAAAAUAGAUUUUAGAUUUUAAAGACUUCUAUUUCAUGUAAUAUUACAAAAUUCAAAAAUUGUUUAUUACAAUUAAUAUUUUACCUUUAGAUAUAUUAAAAUAUUAUUCUAGAUUGAUAUUCAAUUGUCAGUUUUCAACUAUUAUACGUAAAAAAAUAUUAUUAAGUACGCUUAUUUUUCUAAAAGGGUUUUUAUAUUUUAAGUAGGUUAUUGGAGUACUUUUUUAUUCGUGAAUUUAUUCAAGAUGAGAUUCCGAUCUUUUAAACUAAGUUAAUAUAUGUUCUAUACAUAAUUAUAUUUUUUUACAUAACUCUAAAAUCUCGGACUUGAUUCUUCAUAUUUAUUAGCUAAUUGUGUUACAUAUAAUAGAAUACUUACUUCAAACUAAAAAUAUAAAAAAAAAAAAAAUUAAAAAUUAGUUAAAUAUAAUUUAACAUACAAAAAUUCACAUACAAAUAAAAAUGAUAAAUGCAACAAAUUUAAAUAUAUUAUCCGCGCGUAGCGCGGAGAAAAGAUCUAGUCUGUUUAAAAAAACAUCAACUAAUUAAUUACAUAAUAAAAAAAAUAGUUGAAAAAACAAAAAGACUUGGUAAAGAAAUGGCAAGCAUUAAACAAAAAUAUAAUAGACAAAUCGAAAUGUUAUAAAUAAAUGCCAAAAUAGAUGUAAGCUUACUGUAUCCAAAUAAAUUUGGAAAAUCUAACCUAUAUUAAAAGGGUUAUAUGAGGAGUAGAGAGGCUGUCCACGUCACCUUGAAAAAUCAACCAAUGGGGUUUGUUCGUUUGUCCACGUCAAACAAGUUGAUUUUGGGCUUCUAUCUUUUAUUGAUCCGUUCAAAAUAAAAGAAAGCCCAUCCUCAUUAAACCGUAGAAACAAAAUCAUCCAUCGACAGUGGCUUUCGCGAUUCUUCUUGCGAUCUAAAACGGUUUGAUUAAUUGCUGCAUGAUAAAUCCAAUUGAUUCACUUCAAAGGAGAGGCCUCUCCACGAUUCAUCUUUUUCUUGAACUCAUCUUCUCUUUGUAUCCUUAAAUCAUUCUCUGAUGAUCGCUAUAAAUCUCCCCUUCAGGUCUGUUUGAUUCUCUAUUGUUUUUUAUUUGUUAAUCUGAUGUUCUGGGGUCACUCUUACAGUAGGUUUGGUCACAGACGUAGCUCAUGCUUGCUGCUUAGCUGAUGAAGUCAGCCAUGGCGGUCGCCGAGGAAGGUAAGCACGACAGAUGAGUUAUAUAUUUUUUAUGGAGUAAUUGAUAAGAAAUUCAGAAAUAAAUACAUUAGAGGUGAGUUAUUAUAUUUCUGAAUCUAUUUAUUUUAAUGUACUAGAGAAAAAGCCGGCCAGACAAACCGGAAUAUAGCCGAAAAACGCCACUACGAUGAUCUCUAGACUGACUGUUGGCUUUUUCUUGAUAACCCUUCAGAUAUUUACAUCAUCGCCUCAUCGGGUAAGUAUGAAAAAUAUUCUACCAUGUUCAUCUGAUUAGAUUAAUCUAAACUCCUUUGUGUUGACCUGAGGCCUUCUGAGACCAUUUCAAUGUGUCUGCUUAUAAUCAACAGACUGAAAAUAAUUGGUUACUUUGUUGAUAGCCCACAAUGAAAUGUAUUGCUGUCAGCAUAAUGACUGAAGCUUUGGUGGCACUUAUAUCAACACAUUGUGAAUUAUAUUUUAAACUAAUAUAAUCAACGGACUCAGCGUGUUUGUUGCUACUAGGAGCAACCAAAGCUUCAGAUUCGUUUAUGCCCCUGUGUCUUUUCGAUUCACUGAUCUAACAAAAUUAAAUGAGCUAGGAGAGGCCAGUAAGUUAAUCACGAUGGAACAGUUCCACUUUUGAAAUUGCUAUCAGCUGAUGAUGUUUUCUAACACGGACACCAAGUUGCCAGGUAUGUUUCAUUUAUCAUCUCUCAAACUCCUUCAGUCGAAGCUUUCAGUAUCUUUGUCUUAUUUACUCAUCUCUCAAUGUUUUAUGGAUGUUGUUGCUAAAGUUAUGGAUAUCACUACUGCUUACAAUGAAGAAACACAAAGCAUUCACAGGUCAUGCCCACAGCCCACUUAUCCUUCUAAUGUUGGUAAACUCUUUGAAAAAAUUAUGUUGGUGUUAAUUGAUAUGAGUUUGCACUCCUCUCUUCCCAAACGCAGGGAUACCACGUUCUGUGUGAGUGUCUUUGACAGCUUAGCUAUGCAGCUUAAUGCAAAAAAAUUUGGCAAUGAUGUGGCCUUUUUCUUAACGCUACCUUCGGAACCCAUUUUUUACUUCGACAGCGAGAGAACUGCUGGCGAUAGCUACGUCAAAGGGUAAGGUUCUUUGCAUCAGCUUUCUAUUAUUCAUGUGUUUAAGCUAAAAAAAUCCAGUACUGCUACAUUGUGUUUCAGACAGGGCUUUGAGGAGUAAUGACGGUUCUCUCUCAACUGCUUUCGAAUAUGACAAUGUGAAUAAUAUUGAGUCAGUGACACUAUCUGAGCGAAAUGUUUAUGUCCUUAGUUCACCACCACAGGUUAUACUCCAUCUUAACAACACACUCAUUGUUUUAAAUCCGCCUCUAACUAACUCAAUCAAUUGUACCAUGUUCCUACUGAUUUUAUUUCGUUCUCUUUGCUUUUUAAUUUAUCUUCAUUAUCAACUAAACCCAAAAUAUAACCUGAAAUUAUGAAGCUAAUUCAAAUUUGUGAAAUAUGGAUCUGAUGGUAAAGCACUAAAGCUGCUCCAAAAGACAGAAAACCUGUAGCUCCUGACGAUUACAUGUACAUGAAAAUGUGAGACUUCUUACCCUAAGUUUAAUACACACGCAGAAAAAGAUAGAUAUAUAAAGAUGGUACUGAUAUGCAUUAUUGACUAACUUUUUUUUGUUAUCUUCCGAUGCAAUAUGUAACCACUGACCAUUACAAAGCUUCACAGCAUGUUGGAUGGCGAAGCCAACCAGACAGCAGUUCGUAAGCUAAUCCAAAAAUGCUACAUGGAAGAUUCUAGCAGCCGCAGUCUAGGUUUGCUUUCUCAUGUCAGACCCUACUCUUUUAAGGGUUGUUGGUCUUAUAAGGCUGCAUCACUGAUGCUAUGGAUAUAUACAAGGAAGCAUGUAAUUCAAUCCAGUCUAACCGAGUAGAAGCUGAAUGUAUUUAGGAGAAAAGUUAUUGACCCAUUGACCACAGUGAAGGCAUGUGUGAAGAAUGAUGGUGUAGCCAACGCGCUGAUCCAAUACCAGUGGCGUCCAAAGUCGUAUAUCACUGUUUGUAGUUUGCCAGAAGAUUGGGAUCUUGCAGUUUCCACAUCGAAUAGUCCAAAAGCUGAUUUUGGCAUGGCACAUCAGGUGAUUUAGCUGUGGACGCUCACCAAGAAGAAAUCGAAAGAGCUAUCAGUAAAGUGACUGUUGACAUUCAUGGUUCUUUUGUCUCUAUGUCGUCUUCGGUCCAUCCAUAAUAUGAUCUACUCAGGUUUAUUAAAUUUCUGAUUGCCAUCACUUUAUAUUUUCUUUUGAUUUUCUAUUGUAAAUUGGUGUAAGAAAUCAAAUUAAGGAUAUGCACUACAAUAGAGAAGAUUAUUUUGAAUUACAAGACGGUUAGUGGAUAAAUUUGCUAACUUUUUCUAAAUACAUCUACACUGAUCUAUCUUGCUUGAAAGGUACAUUCACGCAAGCUAAAUUAAUUAAAAUGUCCCUCUUUAAAAUUGUUUUUAAUUAUAACCAGAUAAAUGGUUCAGCGAGACGGACUCGACAUCAGUUCGAAAUGGUGGAAAAUACUUGGUGAAUUUUCAUAAAGUUAACAAAAGUAAAUCCUUUUCACUACAAUUACGCCAUGUUCAAACUUACGUUUACAUCUUGACUUUAAAAAUUUAAAUGCAUGGCUUAAAGAUUAUACAACGACACACUACAUUUAGCGCCCAAAAAUUCGGUUUACUCUUUACUAGCCCCGAGCAUAUUUAUCUAAAACCGAAGAACCAGGCUGAACCAAACCAAAAAACGAGGUUCGUUUUGAAUUUGGAUCCUAUCAAUUAUAAUAGUGAAUCCUAUAUCUCUAAAACCAGAAAACCAUAACCGAAUCAUGAACCGAAUGGAUAUCAGAAUAUCUAUAAUAUAGUUUAUAUAUUAUAGACACUAACUAUAUUUAGUUUUACAAUAAUCUAAUAAUUUAAAAAUACUAUUUAUAACUCGAGAUACCAAAAAAUUUGAAUUUUAAAAAUUUAUUUAUCCAAAAUAAUUAAAAUUGUCUGAAUUAUCCUAAUUUUAUCUGAAAACCCAAAACCAAAUCUGAUCUUUAAUCCGAAAAAUCGAUUUUUUUCACUUUUAACCCGAACUAACCGAAAAACCGGAACCAGAUGGAUUUCAAAGUUAUAAGCCGGUUCCCAACUUUGUUAUCCGUGCCGAACUGAAAACCCAAAUAACCGAACCGAAAUUGAACCAAACUUUUUAAAUAACCAUACAGGUCCUAAACCUCUAGAACCAAAAAACCCAAAAAAAACUAAAAGAAUAGAACCAGAAUUGAACCGAGAACCGAAAACCGAAUGUCCGUGACUACUCUUUACUUUUGUUUUUACACUGAUUUUUGUUUAAGCAUUUUUGAGACUACGUCUAUAAAGCUAUCUUUAAAAAAAAAAAAAAAAACCUUUUGUAUGUUAAAGUUCCUUUGUUUUCAUUUAAUUUACCAACACAAUUACCAGUGAAAUAUAAAAUACGGUUACAUCACACACAUGCGAUCUACCUACAUGAACUUCGACGAAUCUCUUCAAAACUAAAAUUGGUUACAUUACAUCCCAACACACAUUAGUUUGGGUCGGUUAGCUCAGAAUUCGAUUAGAUUGGGUCAAUCAAAAUUUUACCAAGGUAAACUGAAAAAAAUAUGGUUCGGUUUGGUUUCCAAAAAUCAUUGCGAUGUAUCAAUAGAAAUCAUUGCACUAAGUCAAUAGAAAUCACUGCGAUGACCAAUAGGCCUCAUUACACCAAUAGCAAAUCUGCUUUCCAAAUUAGACAACAAACCUACCCAAAAAAUUUAUAAAAAAUUACAAAUGUUAAUAACAGAAAUGUCAAAAAAAUCUGUUCUUUCUAUGUACUGUCCACAUCAUACUAAACAGUAUAAGUAUGUUCUCUACAUAAAACAUUUAAGUACACUAUUUGUCUAAAUUCCAACUAAAUUAAUUUUGUUACGAUUAUCGAUUUUUUAUUAUAUUUUUAUUGAAUCAAUUAAUCACAACUACUUAUGUUAUUCCAGUUUAAACUAUGCAACUAAAAAACAAAGUAAUACACAACGGUCUCUAACCACUAUCAAAUGGAUCGAAAAAUAUCAUUUUCUUUCAACAUAUUUUCAUUUUCAUAUUUUUGAAAAUAUAUUCUUUACUAAGAUCAUAAAAUGUUGUAAAUUCAUGUAAGAAUCAAACAUAUGAACCCGGCGCGUAGCGCCAGAAUACCAAUAGUAUAGUAUAAAACUAAAUUUAAUAUCAGUUGUCGAAAAGAAUUAUAUUAAAAGAUACAAUAUUUACAUAUUACCACAAGAACAAAAAUAAAUAUGAAGGGAUAAAGAAGAACUUUUAAGACAAAAUAUAGCAAUCAAAGAAUGAUAAGUAACAUGUAAUCUAGAUAUAUUGAUGGUUUUGUUUUGGCAGUUGCUUGCGGCUGGAGGUGGAAUGUCAGUGGAAGUUUCCAACAGAGGAGUGAUUCCAUUGGCUUAGAACAUCAUUAAGAAGAAUAAAGUCGGAGAAACUAGCACUUACUUGGAUGGAGUCUACCUUCUUUUCACUUGCUUAACUAAAACUUGAAUCCAUUUCUCCAAUGGAGACUGCUCUUACUACUGCAGUAUAGCCCAUAACGACAGUAUCCGUUUUUCUUCCUUCAACAUAAAGAAGAAGUACAACUGAAGAGACGAUGAACAUUGCAAGUGUGUAUGUGACCAAAUUUAGGAUUCUAGAUGUUCCUUCUGAAUUAAAGUAAACCUAUCUUUAUUUCGUAUGUGUCUUUGUAUCAUUUGAAAAGUGCAUAUUUUCUUUAUCUACAGAGUGUGAGAAACUGCAAUGCACUUUUUAUUAUAUUAGCUACUCAAACUCUUUCCUUUGAUAUGAAAAGUAAGUCUGGAUUUGAUGAUCGACUAUAUAAGUUUUUACGCAUACUAUAAACACAUGAGGACUAAUUACUUGGCAUAAAAGAAUAGCUUAUCAACAUUCUUGAACUUGGGGAGAGACAUCUGAGAAUGUAUGCACAGUAUAUUAGGUAUAACCGCAUAAGCUUGACUUAAUGAUGCGUGGAUUCUAUUCGUUAUGUCCCAAAUUUUUUUGUUAUAGCUGGAUAAGUUAGCAAAAAGGCGAAGAAAUAUAUUUUUUUAUUCCAUUCCAAUCGAUUUAAGAGCAAGAGAAAGAGUCCAUACUGCAUUCAUGCAUCUCGGUGGAAAUACCCAUAUAGAUGCAAUGAUUUUUGAAUUGUGACUUAGAUGUUUACGUCUCUCUAAAAUUUUGUGUUUCUUAGAUGUUUAUGUCUCUGUAAGAUUCAACAAAGGUGCUCGGAUUGAGGUAUGUUUAUCCGUGACUUUUCUUUGAGUCAAGAGACUUCAAUUUUAUUCGAAGUUAUUUUUUUUUUCUCUGUAAGGCAGCAGCUACGCUCAAUUACUAAAAAAGGAACAAAAGGCAGAAGCUAGGUGCCUUUUUGACAUCACACCAAACCAGGAAAGGAACUCUUUUAUUCAUAUUUGUUUUUUGAUUUUCACUAUAUGAUUCCAUCCAAAAAAGUAAAUAUAUAUACGCAACAGACUGCCCAUGAAUGAAUAUAUUACAAUUGCUGACAAACAAAUAAAUAAAUAAAAUGUAUAACUAAAUUAUAAAUAAGUGGAGCUUAACAGUUUUUAGUGAAAACUCAAAUACAAAAGAUAUAUGAACUAAAGUUUGAUUAACUUUUCAUUGAGUUUGCUUACCACUCUAUAUAUUUUCUGAUAGUAACAAACAAAUUUUAAAUUUUAAUACUUACAAAUUGUUGUGUGCAUGGUAAAAUAAGAAUAGUUUAAAAUGUUUACUUCUCUAAAUAUUAUAUGUUUACAAAAAAUAAAGCACACAAUCCGCGCGUAGCGCGGACACGGACCUAGUUUCUCUAAUGAUUCUAGGAAUCAUUGUGGUGAGGACAUAUAGCUACAUUAAAUGUUGUAAAACUUCUCUUUUAAUAUAUACUAGAUUUUGACCCGCACGCCCGUGCGAGUGUUUCUUUUAAAAAAAAUAUGAUGCUAUUUGAUUUUUAUGUCACUAUUUAGGGUUGGGCAAAAAAUUCGAAUUCGAAUAAUUGAACCGAUCCCAAUCCGAAUAAAUAGUACUAAAUCCGAACCGGAAUUGAUUAAAUAUCCGAAUAUUCAAAAUUUUGGUAUUUGAAGAACUGAAACCUAAUUCGAUCCGAACCGAAGUAUUUUGGGUAUCCAAAAUAGAUUUAUAUACUUAUAUAUAUUAAUUAUUUUUAGAUUUAAUGAAUAUAAAAACAUCCAUAAUAUAUAUGAUACUUUUAAGUUCAUUUAAAUGCUUGAAAAUAUAUACAAAUAAUCAAACGUAAAUAUCUUAAAUAGUUAAAAUAUACUCAAAACUCCAAAAAUACUUGAGUACGUUGCGUCCUCCUUCUUUGCAGACGCUUCUCGAGGGAACUCCUGAGUCUGCGACGGUUCCGUACACUUCUUCGUCCGGUGCUGAUUCCGAAAGCAAAAGUAAAUGUACCUUUAUCCAUUCCUUUACAAAUGCUAAUUUUUAUUUGUUAGAAAAUUAUGCUGCUUGAUUUAGUUAUGUUCUUGAUAAGCCAUGAAGAGAUGCGUUAUGGUGGGAAGAAAAUAAAGUUAAUUUACGUUCUCUUUGACAGCUUGAUACUCAUUGUUUUCUUUGGUAACUGGUGGGAUGUGGAUUCCAGUAGAUGUAUCGAGGAAUAUCAAAUAUGGUCUCGAUAUGUGGACUUUUAGGCUUGGGAAAGUUUAGGUAACUGUAGAAAGAGCCCUGGAUUGCUUGUUCUGGUAGGUUAAAUUGCUAGCUUCCUCUGUGAAUGUGUUGCUGAGUUUACAUAGAUAAGUAAAGGGAAUCAACUUCUAUUCUUAACAGUCUGGUUGAAGGAGUUUCACCGUUCAUCUCGCUUUAAUUGAAAUGACCUUGGAAGAAUCAUAGGCUAUUUUUUUUUGUUUGGCAGCUAAACUAUUUACAUUUCUUGUCGAUAUUAAUGGUCUGAUGUACUUUUGUUUAGCUGCCGACAAAAGUUCAAUAACUCGGAAGCUGAAGCAUGAUGUUAUUGAAGGAGUCAAUCAACUUAUCCACGAGAUUGCUGGUUGUCAUGAGCAGAUCGCCGAGCAAGCUGUUGAGCACAUACAUCAAAAGUACGUUUCGUCUCUAUGCCAUUAAUUUUCUGUAACAUGCAAUAGAUAGGGGACCAAAAUGCGCGUUUGUUAAUGUCUUUUCUUGAUGAUAACUUAUUUGAUCAGUGAGGUGAUUCUAACCCUGGGUAGCUCAAGAACAGUACUCGAGUUUCUGUGCGCUGCAAAGGAGAAGAAAAGGUCAUUUCGUGUAUUUGUCGCUGAAGGUGCUCCAAGGUUUGGUGACUCCUUCCCCCUAUGUCUCAUCAUUACCAUCGUUCACACCAUUUAACGCAGCUAUGUCUUCGUUUUGCCUUCCUUCCAAUUCUACUCUAUUUGUAUAUUGUUAGGUAUCAGGGACAUCUAUUAGCAAAAGAAUUGGUAGCUAGAGGUCUGCAGACCACUGUGAUCACUGACUCUGCAGUGUUUGCUAUGAUAUCUCGAGUGAACAUGGUACGUAUAUGUUCAAUCCUGCCCAAAUCUAUUUUUUUCUUGUCCCUAAUAGAUCUCAAAUGAUGUGAUAAUGCACAGGUUAUAAUUGGAGCUCAUGCAGUGAUGGCCAAUGGUGGAGUUAUAGGACCUGUUGGAGUCAACAUGGCUGCUUUGGCAGCAAAAAAGCACGCAGUCCCAUUUGUGGUUCUAGCCGGUAGUCACAAGGUUUGAUUUCAAGUUGUUUUUUUGGUUCAAACCAGUGAUUCCUCUCAUAAACCUUAAAACUUUACUUAGAGCUUUUAUAUAUAAUAAACAGCUAUGUCCACUCUAUCCUCACAAUCCGGAGGUGUUACUAAACGAGCUGAGAUCUCCUUCUGAACUGUUGGAUUUUGGUGAAUUCUCUGAUUGCCUGGAUUUUGGAUCCGGUUCCGGGUCUCCCCUUCUUCAAGUAGUCAACCCAACCUUCGAUUACGUCCCACCAAGCCUCGUCAGUCUCUUUAUAACCGACACGUAAGUCUCAUUUGGUUUCCUCUAGUUAUUAGAUUUUUAGAUUGGCCAUUCUCACGUCUCUUGUUUGUUUUGGUUAACAGGGGAGGACACAACCCGUCUUACAUGUACCGUCUUAUUGCUGACUACUACUCCGCUGAUGAUUUGGUGAUGUAGCAGCAAUAAAGAACUAGUUUUUUUGGUCAUUUGACCACACAACACUCACUUGGUUGGGUCGUUCACAAAGUGGAAGGAGGAUACAUGUACAUUGUACAAAACAGUUGCUCAAUGGUAGUGAAUGAGAAAAGGGAAAACAUCCUUAGCGUCUGUGAAAUUGGUCUGGCCCAAGUGUAUUUUUUGCCGUGUUCUACUUCUGCUCAGUCUCAAAACUCUCAAAUGGUGUUUAUUGUUUACUUGACAAACUUUUCGUCAACACAAAACACUUUCUUUCAUUGUCUUUUUGUAUUCUUGCCAAUUACGAGAGAGUUAUCAAUUAAGGUUUUGGGUGCUAUUACUCGAGUAGAAUUAAUCGUUAAACGGAUUCAAAAGACUCAAAGUUUCUAAUGCUGCAUUGGUUUAGUCCGGUCCAGUUUCAGUUUUCUAAUAACCGGUCACGUGAGAUUCAAAACGCAAACCGAUGACACUUGAUUUUCCUUGUUCAAUAGCCCUGAGUGCUGCUAAAACCCUAAACUAACCAUUUUUAACGGCCUUCUCCUUCUCCAAUUCGUGCAUGCUGAUACACAUCAGAAACUCUCGAAAGAUCUCAUCUUUAGCUCGUCAUGCUCUUCAUUCUCCUAAUGCCUACUCCUCCCCAUCUCCCCAACCGUCUCAUGCUGCGGCGGCGGCUCGCGAUGUCGCGCAAUUACUAAAAACCCCAAAUUGGGAGAAAAACACCACUCUCAAAACCCUAGCUUCCCACUUGAGCCCACACAUCGCUUCCCAAGUAAUCUCCCUUCACAGCAACCAAACCGGAACCUGCGUACGUUUCUUCACAUGGGUCUGCAAGCACUCCUCCUACUGCUUCCACCCGAAUCAGAAAACCCACCUCCUGAAACUCAUCGUCUCCUCAGGUCUCUACCAAAUCGCGCAUUGCGUCACCCUCGCGUUGAUCAGAGAGUUCAGCAAACACAAGAGAGAGAUCCUGAGACUAAUGGAUUGUUUCGAUAAUCUGAGAGACGAGGCUGGGUUCAGAUUAAACUACCCUUGUUACAGCGCGCUUCUGAUGUCUUUAGCUAAGCUUGACUUAGGCCUCUUGGCUUACUCGACUUAUAAAAAAAUGGAAGCUGAUGGCUUUCUCCCUGGGGAGAUUGAUUACAGAACAAUCGUCAACGCUCUCUGCAAGAACGGCUUUACUGAAUCUGCAGAGAUGUUUAUGUGCAAGAUUGUUAAAAUCGGGUUUGUGUUAGACUCUCAUAUAUGCACUUCUUUGGUUCUUGGCUUUUGCCGUGUGUUGAAUCUUGGAGAAGCUCUAAGAGUGUUUAACGUCAUGUCUAGAGAGGAAGUUUCUGAACCAAACUCUGUUACUUACUCUAUACGGUUUUGAUCGAUGGGUUGUGUAGAGAGGGGAAGGUUGAAGAGGCUAAUGGUGUUUAUCGAAAGAUGGUUGAGGAUGGGGUGUACCCUAGCGUGGUGACUUACAACGCGUUGAUUAAUGGUUAGUGUAAAGAUGGGAGGAUUGUUCAGGCUUUUGAGGUUCUUGCUGUGAUGGAGAAGAGGGGUUGCAGAGCGAAUGUGAGGACUUUUAAUGAGCUUAUGGGAGGGUUGUGUAGAGUUGGGAAACCGUUUAAGGCUGUGUAUUUGUUGAAGAGAAUGGUUGGUGAUGGUUUGGCGCCUGAUGUUGUGAGCUAUAACGUUUUGAUCGAUGGGGUUUGUAGAGAAGGGUUUGUGAAUGUGGCGUACAAGCUUCUUGGUUCGAUGAGUUCGUUUGACGUUGAGCCUGAUUGUGUAACGUUCACGGGUAUGAUAGAUGGUUUGUGCAAGCAAGGGAAGGUUGAUGUAGCGAGUUCGUUCUUAAGUUUGAUGAUUAGAAAAGGGAUAAAGGUAGAUGAAGUUACGUGUACAGCUCUCAUUGAUGGGUUCUGUAAACUCGGUAAAACGAAGGACGCGUUGUUUAUUGUUGAGACGUUGUGUAAGAUGAGACUGUUGACUACUCCUCACUCGUUGAACGUGCUUCUCGACGUGCUGAGUAAAGGCUGUAAAGUGAAAGAGGAGUUAGCGAUGUUUGGGAAGAUUAAUAAGCUUGGUUUAGUUCCUUCUGUGGUGACCUACACAACACUUGUUGAGGGGCUGAUUCGUUCAGGCGAUGUUAGCGGUUCAUUGAGGAUGCUGGAAGCGAUGAAGUCGAGUGGCUGUUUGCCGAAUGUUUAUCCUUACACGAUCAUCAUCAACGGUCUUUGCCGAUUUGGAAGAGUGGAGGAAGCAGAGAAGCUUCUUGCUACUAUGCGAGAUUCAGGAGUUUCUCCGAAUCAUGUUACUUAUACUGUAAUGGUGAAAGGAUAUGUGGAUAACGGAAAGCUAGACCGUGCUCUAGAGACCGUUAGUGUUAUGGUUGCAAGAGGAUAUGAACUUAACGAGCGUGUCUAUUCAUCUCUGCUACAUGGACUUGCGUUAUCUCAGAACAAGCUAAUAUCAAUGGUUGAAGAGCUAGGUGGAUCAACACGCGAAGUAUAUGGUUUCGUUGUCACACGUCUAUGCAAAGAAGGAAGAAUAGAUGAGUCCAACGAACUGAUCCAAACUAUGCUCAAGAUAGGUGUUUAUAAUGAGAAGGCGAUAGACACUGUCAUAGAAUCUUACUGUGGCAGGAAGGAACAGAGCAAGUGUGUGGAGCUGAUCACACUUGUUCUUGGAACCGGGUUCGUCCCGAGUUUCAGAUCCUUCUGCUUAGUGAUUCAAGGUUUGAAGAAGGAAGGAGAGAGUGAGCAGGCGCGUGAGCUGGUAAUGGAGCUUCUGAGAUCAAGUGGGGUUGUAGAGAAGAGUAGAAUGUUGGAUUAUGUUGAGUGUUUGAUGGAAGGAGAUGGUACUGGUGAUUGCAGUGAAGUUAUUGAUCAGUUGCACUUCAAAGAAAGACCUAUCUUCUAAGUGUUACACUUUUAGAUUUUUGUAUAGCCAUUUUUGGAAAAUUCUUAAUCUUUUGAUUCCCAGUGUUAAAAGAGAACUGAUUCAUUCUACUUUUGGUCAAUGAUAAUGACUGAUGAUGGGCUAAGCCCAAAUAUCACUUAAAGCCCAUUCUUGGAUUUUUUCUCAUUAUAAAUAAUUUUUUCCCAGCUUCGGACCAAAGUUUCUGCUUUCUUGGUCGGGGAAUUGAGAGAGAGAGAGAGUCUUCUUCUUGUUCAAGAACAGACCCAUAUAUACAAAUAAUACCCGUGAUUUUUUAAAAAGAGAGCAUUACAGAUACAUACAUAGAAGGUAUAUAUAUACACAUACCCAUAUGCUAACACAUGGGGAUUUAGAGAGAGAGAGAGAGAGAGAUAAUUUUCACUUUCUUCAUUGUAUUUCCUCUUCUCUCUCUUUUCUGAGAUCUUCCAAUCUCUCUCUAUCUACCUCUCUGCUGUCUUGUAUAUGAUUAUCAAAUUAAGAAAGAAAAAAAUAUCUAAAACUGUUUCAAUAAGAACUACGCUGAUUUUUCUAUUUUCCGACAAGCUGAAAAAACCUUUCUUUCUAAAGUGAAGUUUCGUGUUUUUUUUUUGUCUGAAAAUUUGAUCCGACAGCUCUUUUUGCUAUCUGGAUUCCCUUAAAGGUUUAGCCUUUCGUACUUCCACCUGCGCCAAUUGCACUUGGCGAUCGUCAAGGCUGGUGAUUUUUUGGUCCGAUUGGUUUUUAUCUUAUUAGGGUCUGAUUAGGUCGCAACCCUAAUUUUUGGAUGUCUUAUACUAAUUAGGAUCGUCCGUCCCUUGGAGAUUAAACACUGAUCGAAAGUGUUUCUAUUUGAUUUGGGGAAAUUGGGUUUCUUCACAUUCAAUAAAGAGGCCAACUUGUUGGCGGCUGCCUGCUGAUAAAAGGUGCUUUUGAGCUGUUAACUCCUUAAUCUGAGCUUAAUCUGGAAAUGAUAUCGAUUUCUACUGGUGCCUUUGACAGGUUAGCGACUAAUCUCGGUUGCUAAUUUUAUACUGCACUUGGGAUCUGUGAAGAUAGGAUUGAAGUGGUUUUAUAGAAAGUUUGGAGUGAUUUUAUUUGAUAUGGUGGGCUGGAUCAUAGUCUCUGAUCUGGUCAGGUGCUACUGGGAUAAAGGAUUGAGAAAGUAACGAGAAGAGUGGUUACCACUUUAAGGAACGUGAGGAAGAAGUGACAUGUCUCGUUGCUUUCCAUUUCCACCUCCAGGAUAUGAGAAGAAGAUUAGCACCGAUGAAGCAGACUCUUUGAUAAAGGUUACCCUCAUAGGAUCUACUCUCAUUUGAAUUUGUGGUCUUUCCGGUGUUUCUAAGCUCGUAUGGGUGAAUUUUUUUGGAGAGUGACUAGUGCACACUUAGGUAACACAUGUCUUGCCCCUUAGGCUCUUAGAAUAUGAUGAAGAAAACUUUACCAAGAGACUGGAGUCUAAUCAAUAUCUUAAGAUAAUGGAAGAGAGUGGUGAAUGGCCGAGUUCAUGAGAUUCUUUGUGUUGUCUCCUAGACUUUUAAAGAAUUUUAUCUUGCAAAUGUAGCUAUCUAUAGUGAGAAUCAUGAAUGCUGAAAGACAUAAACUGGUAUUAGAGAAUCAUAAACUCCAAUGAAUUGGCAAAGAUGAGUUGAAAAAAAAAACUCCUAUCUUUUUCAACCUUUAAAAUAAAAAGUAGUAGCUUCUGGUCUGCCGUAGUUGUUCUUCCAUUUCUCAUUCUUAUGAUUUUUUUUCUGGUCCAUAACAAGCUUUUCUGGAUCCUUGACUAAUUUAGAAUGCUGAGGUGCUGAGAUAUUGAAGUGAUUAUGUGGUUUUGAUGCUGGUAGUUUUGGAUGUUAGAUAAUAUGGAUUAUUGGUGUAGGGGUUUGCCUAUUUGACCUGAAGUUUACAGUCAAUUAAUAUACUAAUAUCACUUGGAGGAAUAUGAGAAUUUCUAAGAAUAGUAGCAUCUUGAGAAACUAUUGUAACUAUAAUAAUAUAUAGUUAGUAGGUUAAGAGUUAGUGUAAAGCUAAUAAUGUAUCAGACUAGGUAUGUACUGGAGGUAAUUAAUACUAUGUAUGCCUUUUUUUUAAUCAUCACUUAUAUGCAUGUGUGAUUUUUUUCUACUGGGAUUGAAAAUGCAGGAAAAGCAAAAGAAGGAGAAGAAGAACAAAAAGGAGAAGAAGGAUAAAGAAACAAGCAAAGACAAGCACAAGGAACGGAAGGAGAAAAAAGAGAAACAUAAAGAUAGGAAAGACAAAGACCGGAAUAAAGAAAAGAGCAGAACCUCAGAGGACAGAAAAGCUGCUGGUGUUCUGCCGAACACACAAGACGGAGAGAAGCUUGUAAGAGAUAACUCGCAGAGUAAUGGUAAUGGAGAGUCUAAGUUUAUACAAGACCUGGCAAGAAGGAUCAGAGAUGAAGAAGAAGCUACAGAAAGUCAAAGCGUGGGAAAGAUUAGGAAUGAUGAUGAAAGAAGAAUCAAUAAAAAUUUUGCAAUGGAGAGGAGGCCUGAAAAUGUAUCAUCUUGCAGUGGUCAGAAAGGAACCGAGGAGGUCAUGUUUAAACCAUUGGAGAAGAAAGAUCAGGCAAAGAAAAUGGAACUACAAGAGAAGAAUCACCGCAGAGGAAGUGUGAUUGUGGCUGAUAUGCCACUGGAUAGUAAGAAAACUGAACCGAAGUACACAACACAUAGAGGUAGUAAAGAGGAGGAAACAGAGGCGUUAAACAAAAUUGGUCAGGGCAAACCAAAAGAUGUAGAGGGAGGGCCCAAGUUAAAGGAGAGACAUGUAGAUACUAGUAAUUUUAGAAGGCAGGAGGACCUUUCAAGGGAUAGCAUAAAAAAUCUUAGCUCAGAGGGCAUUCUUGGCAAACGGAAAGAUCUUGAGACAAAUGGGUUCUUGCAUGGUGAGUUCUUAUCAUUACUCUUUUUAUUUAAUGGAAUAGGUAUACAUUUAUAGAUGGUGGGUUCUUACUGUAGUGAGUCAUGUUUCAAGUCUUGACAAUCUGUGUACUACUAUUGUUUGUCUCUUAGCACCUUUUUUUUUAAUUGCUAUGCAGAGAAUGGAUCUAGGCCUAACAAGAUGCUGAGGCCAGUUGCUUCUCCAGUAUCAUCCGUGGAAAAUGGAAGAAAGUUGGGAGAAUGCCAAACUCCUCUAAAACCUGUUUCUGAGUUGCAAGGAACACUGUGUAAUCCAGAGGCCAAGGACCAUAGAGUUAACGGUUUCGUCAAGUCUCAAGAACCCAAAAGCCAUCCAAUUAUAUCUUCUGUGAAAGCGAAGGAGAACGGUGAAGCAUCAGCGAAAAAGCGGCCUCACUCGGACUUAAAGUAUUUGGAUCAGAUACUGAAUGUACCGCCGACCCUAGUUAAAUUAUAAAAGGUAUCUAUACCAAAGAGUUUUUUUGGAAAGGCUUUCGUAUUGGGCCUUUGUCUCUGCAGCCCAAACACUAAGACCUAUUAAACCCCCCGCUUCUCACUAUCUGGUCUUCUUGUUCAAUUCCGUUUCUCUCUCGCCGGAAUAUUCCCUCUCUACUUCAUCUCCUCACCGUUCGCCACCGUCGCAUUCUCACCGGUAAGCACAUCCACAUCUCUUUUCCUUCCCCUCGUAUUCAUUUAAUCUCUCUAUUGCCGCGAAUCGCGACGUGAUUAGGGUUUAUGGAAUCUAACGCCUCUUAGUUUUCGAUUAGGGUUAAAGUAAGAUGCCAGACGUGCAAUCGAUGGUGCUUGAGUUUGUUAACAAGCUCAGGAAACGGUAAUAUCCUCUUUAAACGGCUUGUAAUUUCGUAAAAAAUCAUUUUUGUUAGUUAAUUAAGAGAGUUUUCUGAUUUUCAUUCAAUACAGUAAGAUUGAGGGCUCACAAGCUACAGCGAGAUGCACCGUGGAGCUUCUUAGGUCGGUGAUCUCUCAUCAUCGGGUGCCUCAUGCAAACCAAGCUUCAGCUCUUAUUGAUGCUGUGAAAGCCGUUGGUGCGCAACUGGUCGCUGCUAAUCCUGUUGGUAUGUUGUGUUUCUUUCAUCCUGUGAAGUUUCUCUUUAAAGGAAUGAUUUUUAUUGGUUUUUGUGUAGAGCUUGCGGUGGGGAAUGUAGUGAGGCGGGUUUUGCAUAUAAUAAGGGAGGAGGAUCUGUCUCUUGCUACAGCAGCUGUGGCGGGGUUGGAUUUGUUGGAUGCGAGUGAUGACGAUGAGGAUGUUAAUGGGAAAGGAAUUGGGUAUCCUGGGAUGUCUGCGGCGGUUGUUGCUGCUGCUGCUAGGAGUACGUUGCGUCCUCCUUCUUUGCAGACGCUUCUCGAGGGAACUCCUGAGUCUGCGACGGUUCCGUACACUUCUUCGUCCGGUGCUGAUUCCGAAAGCAAAAGUAAAUGUACCUUUAUCCAUUCCUUUACAAAUGCUAAUUUUUAUUUGUUAGAAAAUAUUACAUUUUGUAGACUUUGUUUCCCCUUUUUGGGAGUCAAAACUAUUAUUCUUGGAAUCUAAACAAUUCUUCAUCUUCAUUUGUUUACUUUACUUCUUUCUAGAGAGACAAUGUAUGUGUUUAAUGAACAAAUAGAAGUGAAAUGUAUUAAGACUCUAAAGAUUGUGUUUGGAAUUGAUAUGAGACUUGGAAGUGUUUAUGAUAUAAAGUAAAAAGAAACAAAACAACAACAAACAAAACAAGUAAACACUCUCAAAUAGGGGAGGUUGAAUCUGCCUUACAAUGCGGCAGUUGUUGUAUGGAUCUUGUCUAGAAACUCUGCUCUUGCUGAACUGUCAUUACAAAACUGACCCAAAACCGCGAUAGUCGCAGUGCUGCUUCCAAACUUCUCAAUCCCUCUAGAGAUCAUACAAGUAUGUCCUGCUUCCGCCGCUACUAUCACAUCACCACCAACAAGAGGAGACAGCUUCUCAGCUAUCUGCCGAGUCAUCCUCUCUUGCACUUGAAGCUUGAACCCGUAAAAAUGCACAAUAGACUUCACUAGCGAGCUUGCAAUAGCGUUGGAUCCUUCGGUGCAAUAGUAGCCAACAUGAACAACUCCGUAGAAAGGAAGCAAGUGAUGCUCACACAUUGACCAAAAAGGCAUUUUCAGCUCACAGUGCAACCUCUUCUCUCUGAUAUCUCCAUUGGCUUUGACAGAGUUAAAGCCGUUUAGCAGCUUCAUCUCGAGGUUAACGUUUUGGAAGUUCAUCAUCCAGUUAAGGAACCGAGAAGGUGUAGCCAUGAGUUCUUUCCUCGAUGGAUCUUCUCCUAAUGAUCUCAGAAUGGUAACAACCGCAGAAACCAUUUCUUGAUCUUCUUCAAGAAAGAGUUUAGACUUAACGCUUGGGCACCACUCUUUCACAGAGCCGUCAGCUACGCCUUUGAACUUCAAGAAACUCAUAAACUCACCCCAAAGACUCGACCUUUCAUCCUCGAAAACACCUGACCCGGAGGAAACCAUUAGCCUCACAAACCCAUCAUCGCUUGACGAGUCCAAGUCCAAGCUUGGGAAGUGAAUGUGAGAGCAUUGCAGAACAACAGCCACACCAGACGGUUUGACCCAGUGCUGUAGCGCAGAGCAUAUCUCAUCAGCCAAACGCUGAGGCUCCUGGAGCCGCUUGGCGAAAACGUCGGCCACUCUAGAGAACUUGCUCAGUCCCAAGACGCGCUGCUCGGACGGGACGUAGCCUAUGUGACACCUGACGUGAAAAGGAAGCAAACAAGACUCGCAGUAAGAGUAGUGGUCGAGGUCUCGAACCACAACGAGUCCUCCCACUCCUCCCGCUUGCCCAACUCCUGAAUCUAGCCCUGCUUCUGGAAACAGAGCGCUCUGUACAUACUCCUUCACUUUUUGCUUAUAACCUGAGCAAAAACAAAAAACAAAAGAAGCCAUCAGAGAAUCAACCAAACCAAACAUCAAUUAAGUAACAAAGCCAAGCCGGAUGAAACAUUCUUGCUUAUGCCCCCAAAUUUAUAUUAAAAAAUAUAUUUUAUUGAAAUCUAUACUAAUAUUGCAUCAAUAACCUGAGCAAAAAACAAAACAAAAGAAGCCAUCAGAGACUCAACCAAACCAAACAUUUAAGUUAACAAAGCCAAGCGGAUGAAACAUACAUUCGCUUAUGCUCCCAAAUUUAUUAAAAAAAAAUAUUUUAUUGAAAUCUAUACUCUAAUAUUGCAUCAAUAACCUGAGCAAAAACAAAAGAAGCCAUAGAGACAACCAAACCAAACAUCAGUUAACUAACAAACAUGGCCGGUUCUGAGCAAAGCCGGAUGAAACAUUUGCUUAGCCCCAAAUUUAUAUAGAAAUCUUUUUUUAAUUGAAAUCUAAACUAAGGCCCCCAAAAUCUCAGGUUCUGGCAGAAACUAAAACAAAGGUUUCAUUAUAGAAAGGAACAGAAACCAACAUGCAUCAAUAACUUUUAGAGCAGCUACUUACUUAGCUAGUGAAUGUUUAUAUAUGUGCAUGCAUGUAUGUUACCUCUGGUGCCUUCACGAAGGGCCUUGGCGACGCGAAAAGGAGUCUUUUUGAUGCCUUCUCUGUUGACAUCUUCGUGAAGACCUUGCAGGAGAAGCUUGACGGCGUCUUGAAUCGCUAAAGUCUCUGGUUGGUGCUCGAAGGGAAGCUCAAAGGAGCCGUUUUUCAAUCCGAUCUCGAGGUCUAGAUUCAAAGGCCCUUCAUCCAAUGACCCCAUCGAAUCACACCACCGGAUCCAAUCGACAAAGAAACAAAAAAUCACUAAUCGAAUCCAAAAUUUGAGAUUUUUCCAGAUGCCCACUAAAAUUCACACGACAUCUCGCGAUAAAAAUGAAAACUUUGAACCCAAAUCCGAAGAAAAUAAAAAUUUGUUUCUGGGUAAUGAAUUUUCCGGGAAAACUAAUAGUUUUCUCGGGAAAUUUUUCAGAAACGAGGGGUUGCCGUUGAUCCAGUAAUAUGUGGAUUCGAAAACAUUGUGAUUCUCUAGCUCAUUAUUAUUAUUUAUAUUUAUAAAGUUAGUUGCCACCACUAAGUUCUGGCGUAUUGGAAAGCGUAAUUUUAAGAAGCAGCUUGCGAGUCUUUUUUUUUUUGUUACUACUAGUUUAGUUUGUAAUCUGUUAAAGUUAUUCAAAGGCGGGGUAAGGCGGCGAAGACUUUUCUCUGUCUAAUCUCUAUCUCACCUAACCCUGUUUUGUCCUAAUUUUAUUUUAAACUAUAUUGUUUACUUAGUAGAUUAAUAGUUUUUUUAAGAAGUUUUUCUCGCCCAGUGGAUUAAUUAAAUUAUUUAGGAUUAUGAUAUCUAUGUUGAGGAAUGAGCUAUUUGCACUUUUAUAUGCUUGAAUAAUUACCCUCAAUUGAAUAUAUAAAAAUUUUAAAAUUAAAUAAAUUAAAAAUAUUAAAUUCGGAUCCAGUUUCUUUCCAGUCAGAUCUCACAUUAGAUUUUGAAUUACAUAUGCUAGAUCUACUUAGGUGACGAAAUUAUUGUUAAACCCAUAAUGAUUAGCAAAAGUCAAAAGGCAAAUAUGCACUAAGAAGUUGUACUAUUUGAUACACUCAACUAUAUUUUGAAAAAUAAAUAAAAUUGUAAGGAACAUUUUUAAAAAAAAAAAGUAAUUAUAUAUCAGUUUUUUAGAAUAAAUGAAUAUAGUUUUAAAGAUAUAUAUGGAGUCAAACAGUUUUUCGAGAAGUGGAACCAAACAUGUUUUGGGGGAGAAAGAUUGCCAAAUUCGAUAGUGGAAGGGCAUUGAUACUGAUUUAGAUAUAAAUGUACGUUCAUUUGUAGUGAUCUGAAAGAGGAUUUGUUAGGAAAUGAAGAAAAGCAUAAAGAGGAAAGUACCUGAGGUAUCCAUGGAAGAAGGAAGGUUGAUUGAUGUUUGCACGAUCUUGUUCCUUAAUAGGUUUGAUAUAUAUAGCGAAAAUAUUAAUUAAUUAAUAGAUAGUAGUAAAACAAACCUUAUUGAAUGAUCAUGAAUUUAAUAUUUCGAAAUUGUUGACAAAAACAAGAAGACUAUUUGAUUUUGUUGAGAUGCAUACAUAAAAAGUUGGAUAUAAUUUUUUUUUUCUUUUUAUGAUUAGUUUUCACUUUUCAUUUACAUAGUAACUUAACGGUAAUUAACUCAUUUUCUAUUUUUUUUCUUCACAAAUUGAAAUUUUAUAUAUAUCGAGUAACAUUACAUCCUUUGUCUAUAAAGCAAGCCAUAGCACAAAGAAAAAUCAUCCCAAAAAAUCGGUUAACCUAACCCAAUCUCUAUUUCCAGCACCAACAACGUACAUCCCAAAAAACAAACCGACGAUAUUAAUUUAAAAUAUAGAUGUGUUUCUUUCAUUAACAAACCACUGGUUCAACCAGCGGGGGUGCCCAGUUACGACAUAAAACUGAGUAAAUCCUAGGUUCUUCACACUCUGUGCAAUGAAAGAGACGCAUCUAACAAAUACAUGCAAUCCAAUCCUUAAUUCCCAUGCCUCAAAAACCUUCAACUCUCUUUGGAUUUCAUUUACCUCAAAUUGAAGAGCUGGCCAAUGAGCAGGUUUAUGAAGUGCCUCAACAAGAUCCCCAAAAGUUGAAACAAACCUCACCUUCUCUUUUUUACUCUUCAUGCAUGCUUUCUAGAGCUAUAACCUGCAAUUUUGCCUCACUUAUAGAUGCUUCUUUAGACUCAUUUUUCCAUUUUACUUAUAAAAAAUGGUACUUAUAUUGAGCAAAAAGGUAUUUUUAUGCAUCUAUACAAUAUUUGUGGAAGUUUUGAUUUUUAAAAAAUCCUGAAAGAUCCAAAACAUCUUAUAGUAACUUAAUAUUUUGUUUUCCAUUAACUAUAGGGUUUAUUGGAAAUGUUUAUAUUUAUUUUGUAGUACAGCCUAGAGCAUUUAAACAAAACCAACCCUACGUACUGAUACUAAAAAUAUCAUAUUGUGAAAGGCACAAUGUGGACAAGUCCAUUAGUUACUGGUUUGCAAGGUGUGUAAAUUAAACAACCGAUCUCUCUGAUAACUUCAAUCUCAACGCAAAAAAAAUAACGAAAGAAAACAAAACUCUGGUCAUGGUUUUGUUAGUUAACUCUUGUAUGUGGAAAAAAGUGAUUAAUUAUUUAGGUGUGUGCCUGUGUGGUAAGAUUUAUUAUCUGUAGAAAGUAGGCAGCAGUAAUCGGUCUGUAUAAAACAUUCCACGUACAGAAUGAUUGCAGAGAAGUUGGGUUAAAGUUAAGUAUCCUUUGUAUAUAUUUUAACAACAUUGUCACUAAUAUGACAGAAAAUCUGUAUGUUUUAGUUAAGUUGUAUAAUUGUGGCAAUCAAUUCAUAAUAAAGUCCCUUAAUUAAUACAAUUAGUUAGUGGGUAUGACAGAAUGAAUUAUAUUUAGUUAACCGUUUGGAGGAAGAAAGUUUGAAUCAAGUAUUCUUUUAAUUUUUUUCCAUGGUAGACCUUUUGCUAGUGUUUUAAUUUUCUGUUUUUUGAAUGGCAUAGUGUACAUAUCAACCUCAACUAGACAAAUAAGCUUUUUGGCACGAGUUUUUCGUAGCUCGACUUAUGAUAUAACACAAGAAGCUAAGCCUAAUAAGGACUUAUUGAGUCCAUAUAAAUAUGGGUUAUACCUACACAUUUUUUUUGGGUAGAAGGUUACACUUCACAUUAAGUUUGUAUGCAGACAGUCCAUAUAAAUAUGGGUUAUACCUACACAUUUUUUUGGGUAGAAGGUUACCAUUUACACAUUAAGUUUGUAUGCAGUAUGUCUUUCUUUCCUUUGUUCAGGCUUCUGCUUCUCUUCAAUAUUUAGAAUCUUUAUCUAUCGCGGUUAUAGAGAACAUUUGGGUGAGAUUUUCUUCCAUGUUAGUAGAACCCAAUAAUUUAUAUAUAUAUAUAUUUUCAACAGUCCUCCAUAUUCAUUCUAAGGACUCAAAUCAUUAUUCGAAGAUUUUUUGAUCUUGAGUAUGGGCUCUUGAUCUCUUUGUCUUCUUUUUGGUUAUUUUGUAAGCUAAGUUAUUUUCAUUGUUUUUUUUUUGGGAUUGUGAUCUUGGUCGAUGGUCUAUGUUGUAUUCCAAUCCAAUUAAUAAAAACGAAAUGAAAAUAAACCAAGAAGAAGAUAAAAUGAGGUUACGCAUAACCAAGUUGUUGUUUGCAGUACCAAACAAUAAAAUUAACAAAUGUUAUUGCGAAAAAAAUUAAUAAAUAAAUGUUAUUGCGAACGUCUAUAUUUGAUGACCACCGAUAAAAAACAGAAGACAAACAUAGAUUUUUUGGGCUUAUUAGUGUUUGCUAUAGGUUAAAAAUGAAUCUAGAUCAUAAUGUGUCAUUAUUACUUUCUAAUUAUAUUUAAUUAAAAUCUACCAUUGUUAGCAAGACUAUCAACAUGAUUUAUGUUAUACAUCCAUUUAUACGCACGCUCAAUCUUAUAAUCAAAAUACAACAUAAUUUCCAUAUAAAGAUACCGACUUAAAAUUAAUAUGAAAAUACAACAUAGUUUCGGAACCAGAAAAAUGUUAUGUUUUUGCAAAUUAUUUGGAAGAUAUCAAGAUACUAAAAAAAAAAAUCCUCUCAGCUCAUAAAUCAUUCACGUACCACAAACGCAUAAUUCAAAAACGGAUAGUCUAGCAUGCAGUGUCAAGAAACAACCAUUUUUUUUUGUUCACAUGGAUGCGGAUCCCCCGAUUUGGUCUAAAGAAUGCGUAUGAAUCUGCUUAAGUUGAUGUCAAAAAAAUGUAACCAUGUUUUCACAAUUUCAGAAAUAUAUAACAUGGUUAUUACACAUUUCCAUACUAAUAUGAAUGAUUUGAAGAUUCUAUUAAAGUGAAAAUCAUAAAAGAGAACUACGAGAAUGAGAUCAUGUUACAAUGUCAUAUUUGCAAGAGGACCUCUUUAAAUACGCCAAAAUCCUAUCACUAGGCCAAUAUUUUGGUUGAUGGCUUAUUGUAAUUGUUGUUGUUAUUUUUAAUUAUGUUUUAUCAGCUAGUGAUAAAUCAUUCUAACGAAUGUCAUUGUGUAUUGGGCAUGCUACUAAAUUUCGAGAACAAUGGGGGUAAUAGUCAUGAUUAGACCAUUGAUGUGACUGGCAAGGAUUUUGACAUAUCUCUACGUAGAGUUGUUGCAUACAAGGUGUAUGGGCAAGAACAAAUAUUAUGCUUUUUAGUAGUUGACGUAAGCUUUAUUGGUAUCUUUUCUAAAGUUUAUUUACCAUUUCAGGAUUCAGUAUGUUAUUUCUUGAAGAGAUUACUUAUUUCUAAGUGUGCAUCAAAAUGUUGCCAAUGAAUCAAGACUAAUUCGACAUUGAUAAUGUCUCUAUCACUAAUUAAGCAAUUUGGUGGAUACAUGCAAGAAUCCAAAAUACCAUACGGUGUGAUACUGAAAUGCGAGGUUGUGAAUGUUUCAUGUUUUUUAGUGUAACCAGCUUUUUAUAUUUGAAAUUGUUUAUGCACGUGGUUGUGUUUGUUGGUGGCUUGAAACCAGUUAUGGCUGAUAAUGAUUCUUAUCAUUAUACAAGCAUGCACAAUGGUGACAAUCAAGUAGUUGUAAGACAUGUACAAGAAAAUGAUUGAAGCACUAAAGAAAUACCAAAAAGUUAACCUCAAUCUUAGCAUUUGAACGUCCCCAAAAGGCUAUUGUAUCACAUAUUCACAUAUCUUGUUUUUUUGAAAGCGUCUCUAUAGAUGCAGCGUAUUUGACAAUGAUAUAUUUUUCAAACCUGAAAAGGAGAGAUAAACUCUGUUAUAAAAGGAUUAUGAGUAAAAUCAGUUAACCACUUCAGUAGUUUCAGCAUUAGCAUAGUUGACACGAUCGUUUCUUGAAAAUCAGCUAAAGAGCAUCCAGAUAAACAAAAUAUUAGUGCAGCACACAUAUCACAUAGACACUCACAUCCAUACUUCCCAAUUGUGUAAUAAGCAAAUGAUGAUCAAACAUCACUCUUUUAAAAGCAUAUUUAAUAUUAAGAAAAAAUAACUUUAAUAAUGAUAAAAUAUAAUAUAUCUACCUCAUUAAACUAUUUUGUAACUAUUUGAUCAAACGAUGUUUAUUUUGUUUUUUAGUUUUUUAGUUUUUUUUUAAUAUCUCUUAAAAAUAAGUAGUAAAAAAUUGUGAUUGUAUUUAAAACUAAUAUUAUAUAAGUAAAAUAUAAUUUAUAGAUAUUUUUUGCUGUAAUUGAAAGAUAUUAUUGUCAACUAAAUUUAUUAAACUCUUAAAAUAAGCAGUAAAAAUUGUGAUUGUAUUUAAAAUAAUAUUAUAUAAGUAAAAUAUAUUUUAUCGAUAUUGUUUUGCUGUAAUUGAAAGAUAUUAUAGUCAACUAAAUUUAUGAAAAAUAAAUAAAACAUUUCAAUAUUACUAAUUAUAAAAUAUUUUUAGAUAAUUAAACAUAUAUUAGUUUAUGUUACUUAAUUAUUUUAUGUAAUCAUCUAAGAAAAUAUAUAGGUAUAUAAAAAUAUUUUUAUUAAUUUGAACUUUUGUACUGUUUAAAUUAUGUUUUAGAAGAAAUAAUAUUUCUGUUUCUAAUAUCAAGAUUAUAUGUGUAAAUGUUUUUUAAUGAAAUCAUUUUAUAUAGAAAUUUAUAAUUUUUAUCUUAGAAAAUAUAUAUAUAAAUAAAGUAUUUUAUUAUUUAAAAAUAAUAUUUUAUGUUAUUUAAAAAUAUUUUUUAAAUUUAAUAUUACUAUUUUGUUUACUUUCCUUUUUUUAUGAAAUCAUAUUAUAUAUACAUAUAUUUUCGUUUUUCAAUUCUUUUUUUUUAACUUUAUAAAAUAUUUCCUUUUUAUUUUAUGUGUAUAUUUUUCGAAACUUUUUAAAAAGGAAACUAAAUAAAAUAAUAAAUAAUAGUAUUUUAAAUGUAAGUUAAUUUAUUAAGGGUAUCAGUGUAAUCAACCAUCGUGAGAGUUAACGUGAGAGCGACACAUAGGAAACUGACUUAUUAUGUGAGCACGGGUAUAAAUAUUUCUAAAGUAAAUAUAUUAUAAUAAUUGAUUACUACUUACAUUUAAUAUUAAAUUAAUUUAUAAUUUAUAUGCAUCAUUUAUAUUAACAAUAUUAUAUUACUUUAAUUUUUAUAUAUGUUAUAUGUAAUCGUUUUUCUUGUUUUUCAGUCGAUUUAGUUAUCAUUUGGGUAAAUUAGAUUGCAUAUAUGAAUUCAACUGUAAUAUUUUUUAUUCUAUAUAUAUUAAAAUUUUGAUUAAUUUCUUAUUUACAUUUAGGUGGUUGUUAUCUUAGAUAUGUAAAUAUAUUUUAUGAAGAUUAUGUAUAACUUAAGAUAUAUUGUGCUUAGAAUGAUUUAAAAAAUAAACUAAAGUGUAUGAUUCCAAAUUACAUAAAUUAAUAUAACGAAACGAUAAUAUUUUGAAGUCUCAUUUAUAUAUAUAAAUUUUACAAAAGAACUAAAUUGUAACAGUUGGUUAAUAUUUUAUUUUCAUUUUUAAUAUUUUUUGAGUUGUCCAAUGAUUUAUAUUUAUAAAAUAAAUUACUAUUCUUAUAAAAUUAAUCGUAGUUAAAUCUAUGGUUUUAAAUAUAAGUUGGAUUAGUCGAAUCAUUCAUGUUGCGAGUAUAUUGAGUUACAUAUAUUCUUUCAAAUUAAAAAUGAAGUAUAAUUAUUUUUUAUUAUAAUUAAGUCGAAUGUGCAUGUAUUUUCAUAACAUUUAUCAAAUUAUAUGUUGAUGUUUUUUUAAAAAAUAUUAAAAAAUAUAGGAUUAUCAAUAUGAAGUUGCAUGCGUAAGUAGCUGAUACAUUUUUGAAAGCUCAUGUACACAUAUCAAUAUUUACAAUAAUUAAAUAAUUUUAAAAAUUCUAAAUAACUUUAUGUUUUUGAUUUAUUGAAUGAAAACUAAAAUUUAUUUGAAUAAUCUUAAAAAUGAGAAUUCAGAUUUGCUUUGAUAUUUUGAUUAUGAUUCUAUUAAGUUCCACAAAUACAAAAACAUAAAAUUUAAAAGCAUAUUUAAUAUUAAGAAAAAAUAACUUUAAUAAUGAUAAAAUAUAAUAUAUCUACCUCAUUAAACUAUUUUGUAACUAUUUGAUCAAACGAUGUUUAUUUUGUUUUUUAGUUUUUUAGUUUUUUUUUAAUAUCUCUUAAAAAUAAGUAGUAAAAAAUUGUGAUUGUAUUUAAAACUAAUAUUAUAUAAGUAAAAUAUAAUUUAUAGAUAUUUUUUGCUGUAAUUGAAAGAUAUUAUUGUCAACUAAAUUUAUUAAACUCUUAAAAUAAGCAGUAAAAAUUGUGAUUGUAUUUAAAAUAAUAUUAUAUAAGUAAAAUAUAUUUUAUCGAUAUUGUUUUGCUGUAAUUGAAAGAUAUUAUAGUCAACUAAAUUUAUGAAAAAUAAAUAAAACAUUUCAAUAUUACUAAUUAUAAAAUAUUUUUAGAUAAUUAAACAUAUAUUAGUUUAUGUUACUUAAUUAUUUUAUGUAAUCAUCUAAGAAAAUAUAUAGGUAUAUAAAAAUAUUUUUAUUAAUUUGAACUUUUGUACUGUUUAAAUUAUGUUUUAGAAGAAAUAAUAUUUCUGUUUCUAAUAUCAAGAUUAUAUGUGUAAAUGUUUUUUAAUGAAAUCAUUUUAUAUAGAAAUUUAUAAUUUUUAUCUUAGAAAAUAUAUAUAUAAAUAAAGUAUUUUAUUAUUUAAAAAUAAUAUUUUAUGUUAUUUAAAAAUAUUUUUUAAAUUUAAUAUUACUAUUUUGUUUACUUUCCUUUUUUUAUGAAAUCAUAUUAUAUAUACAUAUAUUUUCGUUUUUCAAUUCUUUUUUUUUAACUUUAUAAAAUAUUUCCUUUUUAUUUUAUGUGUAUAUUUUUCGAAACUUUUUAAAAAGGAAACUAAAUAAAAUAAUAAAUAAUAGUAUUUUAAAUGUAAGUUAAUUUAUUAAGGGUAUCAGUGUAAUCAACCAUCGUGAGAGUUAACGUGAGAGCGACACAUAGGAAACUGACUUCUCAAAUAAUAUUAUAGAGAUAGUUCAUGGGUCGAAGCCUCGAAUUACCAAUAUUAAUCGUUCUUGAAACAACAACGACUAGAAUAAAACACAUAAACAAGUUAUUAAAACGAUUAUAAAAGUUUUUACUCAAAUUUUCAUCCGUUGGCGUUUAUUCCAUUGACUGAAAAUAGUAACAGUACACACCAAAAAAUUUGUGUGAAAAUAGAAAACCAUGGUAUUAACUUUUUCCCCAGGAUUUAUAAAUCAAAAAAUCUUCCCUUUCCACUUUCCAGGUGCAACUCAUGCAGGUAGGUGGAAGGCUAGGCUGGAACUUUCAUAAAGCAACAUCUUCAAAGUGUACCACGAUUUGAAAGAAGACACGUUUCACCUAGCUCAUCACAAAGUUGUAUACAACCACUUGUAUUCGACCACGUUGUUAUUAAUCCCGUUACAACGAACCACCUGGAUACCCAUCCGUCAUAUCAGCUGAGACUAGUCGCAACGUAACAGCGCUUUUCCUGAACUGGUCCGUCUAUAACCUAUAUUACUGUGUCUUUCCGUCAUUGUGGGACCGUCUUUAACAUAUCCUCACCACGUUUCAGACCAAGAGUAGCGUUCGUGGUCGUGAUUCACGGAGUCAAGAUAUGGAGACGCAGGAAACUGAAAAACCAACGUGUCCUAGUCAACGCUAGCAGGCUCUCAGGGUACACGUGCCAUAUGCAUGUCCAACGUGCUACACGUGGUGGCCUCGGCACUUUCCGCUGGUUUGUAUGUAACCAAUGGGAAGUAGAUAGAAACCAACAACGGAAAAUGCAAUUAUGCAAAACCAUUUAUCGAUAAUCCGAGAUUGUAGCGAUAAUAAAGUUUUUUUAACCCUUCUCUUAAUUUACAAACUAAUCAUUAAUCAUACGUGUAAUGAAAACCGCUCAUGUCCACUAUCAUCAUCAGACAAGUGUCAUGACAUUGAGGCUUCCCAAUUCUCUUUUUAUUCCAAAAUUCCAAAAUAGAUGAAAGCUUCAAAAACCUUUAAAAACAACUAUUAACAUCUCUUUUCUCAACGUUACACGGUUAUUGAAUCUUCAUCAAUGGCAACAAAGCUUGGAAAAGACGAGGAUGCUGCGGUCGAGCUUGAGCUAUGUCUUUCUCUUGGAGGCCCCUUCAAGAAAGCUCAAGCGUUAGAGUUCUGUACGGAUAGCAAACCUAAUAACGCCGUCAGAUGUGUGGAGGAUAUUGACGUUGAUCUUAACGACGGAGCGGUGAGGCAUGAGAUCAAUGAGACGAGGACAAAGGAAACAAGGAAGGAACGGGAAGGGAAGCAGCAGCAGAGAAGCGGAGGAGAAGGAGAGUACAAGAGGAUCAGAACAGAAUGUAAAGAAGUCACUAACGGCGUGGAUCAGUUUGAUUUGAGCUUCAGUGGAUUGGGCAACGGGUACAGGUCGGGUCAAUAUAAGGAAAACAGUAAAGCUGCGACCAUCGGGUCACCCAUUUGCAGCUCGUCCGACGUAUCUGAUCCAAGUAAAUAUAUAACAUUUUAUCUACCAUACAGACUAUUAAAAUUAGCCAAUCUUGUCAAAUUCUUGGGUAUAUAAAAUAUUUCACAAUGAAGUGUUACUAUUUAACAUUUAGACGAGAGAUAUUUUAAGAAACCUAUUUAUUUUUUAUGACUUUGAAAUUGACUAGUUGAUAUUUAAGAUCUCUUUUAUAGUAAAAUAAACAAAUAUUAGAAAUGGGUUAGAUGUAUUAAAGAAUCACGAGAAUUAUGGUAUUUGCAUGAAUAUACUUCGGUGUUGCAGUUAUGUGACUUAUGCCCCAUGUUCAGGUGGAAGUUGUGAACUUGGGAUAAAUUCUGACCAAACCAAACCGGUUAAAUCUCCGGUUAACAACAUUACAACCGAUACAAACGAAGGUCAAGAAGAUGCGGUGGUAGUUGAGACCCAAGAAUGGUCCAGCUCUGUAGCCAAAGAGACAGGGAAGCCUCCAAAGCCGCGUUCCAAGGGUAACGGCAGUAUGCCUCCGUUUGCUCAGAUGCCAUGCGUGACCAGCACCGGUAACGGACCAGAAGGCAAAACUGUUAAUGGGUUUCUGCAUCGGUACACAAAAUCAGAGAUCAGUAUAAUAUGUGUCUGCCAUGGAACGUCAUUCUCGCCGGCUGAGUUCAUCAUUCACGCCGGUGGAACCAAUGUGUCGCAUCCGUUAAGGCAUAUAACUGUUGUUCCGUCAAAGUUUUAACUAGCUUUCUUUCGUGGGGUACCUUGUGUUUUGUUUUUUUUUUUUGUAUAUAUUUAGCUGAUGAUCUUUUCUUGAGUUCAAAGGGACUCUUUAUCUGAUCCAAGUAAAUAUAUAACAUUUUAUCUACCAUACAGACUAUUAAAAUUAGCCAAUCUUGUCAAAUUCUUGGGUAUAUAAAAUAUUUCACAAUGAAGUGUUACUAUUUAACAUUUAGACGAGAGAUAUUUUAAGAAACCUAUUUAUUUUUUAUGACUUUGAAAUUGACUAGUUGAUAUUUAAGAUCUCUUUUAUAGUAAAAUAAACAAAUAUUAGAAAUGGGUUAGAUGUAUUAAAGAAUCACGAGAAUUAUGGUAUUUGCAUGAAUAUACUUCGGUGUUGCAGUUAUGUGACUUAUGCCCCAUGUUCAGGUGGAAGUUGUGAACUUGGGAUAAAUUCUGACCAAACCAAACCGGUUAAAUCUCCGGUUAACAACAUUACAACCGAUACAAACGAAGGUCAAGAAGAUGCGGUGGUAGUUGAGACCCAAGAAUGGUCCAGCUCUGUAGCCAAAGAGACAGGGAAGCCUCCAAAGCCGCGUUCCAAGGGUAACGGCAGUAUGCCUCCGUUUGCUCAGAUGCCAUGCGUGACCAGCACCGGUAACGGACCAGAAGGCAAAACUGUUAAUGGGUUUCUGCAUCGGUACACAAAAUCAGAGAUCAGUAUAAUAUGUGUCUGCCAUGGAACGUCAUUCUCGCCGGCUGAGUUCAUCAUUCACGCCGGUGGAACCAAUGUGUCGCAUCCGUUAAGGCAUAUAACUGUUGUUCCGUCAAAGUUUUAACUAGCUUUCUUUCGUGGGGUACCUUGUGUUUUGUUUUUUUUUUUUGUAUAUAUUUAGCUGAUGAUCUUUUCUUGAGUUCAAAGGGACUCUUUAUUGGUGAAUAUUGUAGUUCUUGUUUUUCCAUUUCUGGUAUGAUUUACUUUACUAAUUUAGUGCAUUUUUUUGGUUAUGGAGAAAAGCUUAUUUGAAACUAUUCUAUUAAUUGCAUUUGCGAGAUAAUUGAAGAGUAAAAAAACUCGGCGAUUAUACUCUUAAAAGACAAAAACAUUCAAUGUAUAAUAAUGGAUUAGUUAUAGUACCAAUGAUAUUAGAGAGAUUCUGAGGUGGACUAUUUUUAUCAGUGACUAGCAUCGUAUAGACAACUUCGUAUAGACAACUGUUAAUUUAGAUCAUGAUUAAUCCGAGUUUUUAGGUACGUAUGGUUAUUAACCAAAAAAUGUAAAAAAAAAUGUCAAAUAAAUUUAGAAUCCGGGUUAAUUAUGUUCUCUAGAGAGAUAUUAAAAAAAAACUGUUAAUUAAGGGAUUGUAACCGUAAGUUGUUUGGAAACGCGGUUUAACUUAUACAAGGUCCACGUAGGAUAAACGCUUCAUCGUGAAAUGACCAUUAUACCCAUAAAGUGAAGCCCUAGCGAGACAGAUUGAUUUUAGGACAGCUUAAAGGUUGAAACUUUGAGUGUGGAGGCGAGAUCUCUGAGUUCAAAGGUUCGAUCUUUUACCAUCAAUGGUCGAGUAUUUUAUUUAAUUGUUAUAGUUCUUUGUGAUGCAUUUACUUUGGUGUUGGUCUUUUUUUAUUCUUAGUAGUUUUUCUUUCCAUGUUGAUUUUGAGUUGUGGUGGAUUUGGUCGUAAAGUUGCCAGAUGAUGAUUUGAAAUAAUUGCGCAAGGGUUAUGAGUUUCAGAAAGAUUGGAGGAUUGAUUACUCUGAUCUGAAUGAACCUGUGACAAAAUCAUUUUCUUCUUCUCGAACUCUGAUGGCAACUGCUGAUCUAUUUUUUUAAAAAAGUUUUCAUCUUUGAAUUUGUGUUUUUGAGUUUUAAAAAGUUUUUGAGUUUCAAGAAGAUUAUCUUAUGAUGAUGAUUCAUGUUCUGCACCUCUUGUAUUUAGGAACUGAGAAAGUACAUUGACUUAGCACUUAUAGUGUCUUAAACAUUGCAAUAAUUAAAUUUUACAUAAUAUUUGUUUCAAGGGCAAUGAAGCAUGUGGUGAAGAUCUUGAGCCUGCUAGUGGCAGUCUCUGCCUUUUGGAUUGUUGUAUUGCAGGCUGCAAUUGUUCCACAAAGUCAUACAUUGUUGGUGAGUAAACGAGCCUGGUUUGAUUUGUCUUAUUUUAGUUAAUCUACUGUUCUUAACCAGCUGAAAAUUUUAUGGUUGUAACAAAUGUUUUUUUUUUGUUUUGCACCAGCUACCGAUUUACUUUGUAGUGUCACUUGGAUGCUAUGGUCUGUUAAUGGUUGGAAUCGGGAUAAUGCAGUUCCCUACCUGUCCUCAAGAAGCAGAUCUCUUGAACCAUGUACUAUCUCUGCCCUCUUUCUUUCUUUCGUAUGUUGUUAAUAUUGAAUCUUUUUUACUAACCUGUUUUAGCUGGCAUUGCAGGAUAUUGCAGAGGCAAAAGACUUUUUAAGCACAAACGGAAUAGAUAUUGGAACGUAUUGACACAUUUUGUAAUAUUCUUCUUGUUGACUCCCUAGCAUUAACAUGUUUCUCAUUCUGUAAUAUUUUGCAAGUUGUCUUGUUUAGAUGCAAGUUGUGAACCCCACUACUUUGUAAUACUUCAAAGAUUGUCGCUGGCUAGCCUUCAAAGUUUUAAUAUUAGUACUACAGAUAGUUAAAAAUGGUAUUCGAAAUUGGUUAGAUUUGUAGUAGUAACAGAGUCAACCUAACAAUUUGAAUUUCCUAAUUUUUAAUUUAAAGAACUGUCACUUAUCAAGAUACUCUGAUGAUGAUAUUCAUCGAAAAAACAAGUCUUCAGUGAUUUUAAAUGUUUUGAGUUACUCACAUUACAAACAAACAAUUCAUGAACAAACAUGUCUUCACUUUUACUAGCCAAUCUUCUCAAUGAUAGAGUGGAUAAGACAAUUUUUUGAACCUGCAAAGAAAAGGGAAAAGAAUCAAGACUAGAACAACGAAUGAUUCUUGUUUCAAAUGGACAACACGCAAUAUAUAGAGAAUCCGACUUACUGGAGAUUGUCUCUAUAUCAUUAUUCAUUUGGUGGUCGGAAGGAAGACUCGGAUGAGGUCUUCAGCAGUCACAUCCUUCCUACACGUAGGGCAUUUAGCUUGACGAGAGAUGGCUUCCUUUAUGCAACUUUUGCAGAAAAUAUGACCACACUUUGUUGACAUCUCCUCAGUAAGUGGACACAUACAUAUUGGGCAGUUAAACUUUGGUUCGUCUACAGGUCUACUGGAGCCGCCACCACAGACUUAUUAGACUUCCUCUGAACAAGACAGACAAAAUAUGUGAGCCUAAGUCCCAAGAGCAAAACAAAAGAAAAAACCAUAACGCUGCUUACCGAAUCUUUUGGUUCAACAUUAGCUUGUUCAGAUUGAUGCUGUGUGCUUGCUCUAGUAGUACCACCUGCAGCACCUAUACAAAUGUUUACCAUUAGAAUCCUUGUAGGCUUGUAACUAUGCAAGAUACCGCAAAAAUAGGGAUGCUAAGUUCACCUGAAUCUAAAUCAACUACUAAGGUUCCUCGCCGUGAGCCUCUAGAUUUGUCUCUUUUGGCCUUGUCACAAGAAUGAAACUGAGUGAGUAAGCUUGUACACAGACACAAAUGUGUUGUUAAAGGGGGAACAUAUAAAAGAAUUAAGAAGAGAGCAGACUCGGUCAAAAGCAGAAGCAGUUGAUUCAACAACAUCAUCAUCAUCAUUUUGAUCUUCCUCGUGGUCGGUUGGUAUCUGACCCACUAUGUUCGCCUGCUGUUGCCUCCUUAAGCUUCUAGUAACUACACCCACCCUCCGAGAACUCAUAGCUAAAGCCAACAUGAAUAUGAGACACUACUACUGAGUUAGUGUACCGUUAUCUCAACUUUAAACCAUCAACAACAACAAAAUCAAAAGUCUUGUCACAUUACAUAAGACUUUUGUCUGGAUUCAGAAAACUUGGGGAAAGAAAAUUCAAGAAACGGUUAAAUGUAGAGGUUCAAGACGGUAAAGAAACCCACGAGAACUAACGAAGAGUGAAAGCUUGUACCUUCUGAUCUCAACGAAGAAGCAGGAGGUUGGAGAGUGGAAGUUGAAGAAUGCAGUGGUAGAGAGAAAAACUAAAGUGUUUUAAAAGGAUUAUUAGCCAAAGGGUUUUGUUAUAAAUGAUCUUUGGAAAUGAAAAAUCUCAUUCACUUCACUUUUUGUAUUGUUCGAGUAACAAAGGACUUUUACUGGUCAUUGUGUGACGCUUCCUUUACAAGCUUUUAAUAAGUUUUGACUUUUGAGAGUGUUUGAGCGUAUCUGUGUGAAUAACUUCAGCCUUCAGGAGCAGGCAGAAAAAUAAAAAUAGAAAACGCCGACUGUGGGGAUCGAACCCACGGCCACGGGAUUAAAAGUCACGCGCUCUACCACUGAGCUAAGUCGGCUAUUGGAAACUUACUCAGAUUAUUUUAAUAAGUAUUGAAAUCAUAAAAUCGACGUAAUAGUAGAGCAGAUAGUUGAUGGGAAGAACAAGAAUAACAAAGAUGUGGUUGGUUACACUCAAACCUAUACUCAAUACUCUCUGUUCUAGACCUUAUUGUUGGGAAACUCUAACAUGAAGCUGGUGGUUUUGUGUUCUAUAAAGAGGUUCAUCAAGACUAGAGAAGCAAGGUCCCUACCCGAGAAUGCCUUCUUUCAUCCAUCCAUCAUGUCCGUCAGCUACUUCUCUUACCAACAUUGUUUUGCUGUGUACUCGGUUAGUUUCAUGGUCUCUACUACUGUUACCACUACCAUAAGCUUCUUCUUGUUAUUUGUUACUCAUGUGUUCAUACUUUCUUGGACAGCCGUUUUUCCUUCCUGUUGCAGGACACGUUGUCCUUACAGCAGCGCUACGGGAAUGCAGAAGAUUCAGACAAGAGAAGGCAAAGUACUAGACAUGGCUAACCAGAAAGAAGGCGGACUAGGUCCUUUUAGUCACUUGGAACACUAAAGUAGUUUAACUUUUCUGAGUCUUCUUACGCGUUUGCAUUGUGUUUUAAAUUUCAAAAGGAAUAAGAACAUGCGCUCUCACAAGAUGACACCAAACAUAACGUAUAUUACAUACUUCCUCCACUUGAAAAGCGGUCGAAUAUUUCUCGAGACCCAAUGAUUACAGAAAGCUAUCAACCGAAGCACCAGCCUGAAACCAACAAAAGAUAACAUCCUAAGAAACAGUAGUGGGCAGAAGAAAGGUAAGUGAAUCACAUUACCUACUGCGACUUCUUCCUGGUAGCUUGAUUAGAAGCUCUUGAAACUACAGGUUUUGGUCUUGCCUUGACGAGGAUCUACUAGUUAUCAUCCCAUCGGUUCGGUCGGGUUGAGAAUUAAACAAGGAAAGAAUUAACCGGAAUAAACCGUAUUGGUUUAAAUUUUAAGUGAAAAUGUGAUUUAGCCGGUUCGCUAUUUUUUUCUUGCCAACGUGAUUCCUUUUUGUUUUUUUUUUUAAGAACAUAAGAUUCCUUCCUUCGUUGUAAUGGUUUUGUUUGUGCAAAAGUUUUUUAUGUGGGGGUUAAGGUUUUUAUAUUAACUAUCACUUAAAAGAAACUUUUUGAAACUUAUUAUAAAGACAGAGCGAGCUAGCUUUCAGUUUCAACCUUCUUCACUAAGUCUUCCAUGAGUGAUACAACACUGGUUAAAAUGUCUCAAGUGGAGGCUCUAUGGGAGCGGCUAGUUAAUGCUGCGUUACGAAGGGAUAGAACAGGAGAAGCUGGUGGUGGUGGUGGUGGUUGUCCUGGUGAGGGCAGAGACAUAGAUGAUAUUCUGAGAGCUGCUGAUGAACUCCAAGCUAAUGACCCCGUCAUAGCUAGGAUCUGUAAGUUGUUGCUUGUUUUCUUCUUAUUCUUCCUCUGUGCAAAGUUGUGACUAUUUCCUUUUUUUUUCUUGCUGCAGUAUGUGAGCAUGCUUACUCGCUUGAACAAAAACUUGACCCUAAUAGUGAAAGCGUAAGUGUUUUACAAUUUAGAACCGGAUUGAUGUCCGUUAUUAAGGUAUAUCUCUUCUUCUUCUUCUUCUUUGGUUGUCUCAUGGUUUUUGUAUACUCAUAUACUGUACAUUGUUCGACCUUGGUUUAUUUCAGCAAAGAGAUGAAAAAAGAGAGGUUGAGACCAUAAAUAGAAGUCAAGAUAUUAACCGCCUGCAAGGUUUUUACCAGCGGUACAGAGAAAAGAACAAUGUUGACACGUUAAAGGAGGAAGAAAAGCAGCUCUGUGAGUCAGGCGCUUUCACUGACGAGUAUGUAUACUAACCAUAAAAUAACAUAUUCUGUCAAUUUUAUGUUCAUGAUCACAGGGCCGGAUUUGGGAAAUUAGAAGUUACAAACAUUUCUUAUGCUUAUGUAAAUCUUUUAAAAAAAAUUUGGAGGGCCAAAGUCAAUGUUUCAUUAGGCUUGGACUAGAUCCGGCCCUGGUUAUCUUAGUUCUUGUCCAAACUCUGUGUUGAUAUUGCCUUUCAGGCUAGAGCAGAAAACAGUAGAAAGGAAAAGAGUCUUUGCCAACCUUAAAGUUCUGGAACAUGUGUUGGAGCAGGUUUCAAAAGAGAUCUUUGAAGAGGUUGUUUACAUUACUCAGUCCACUAUUGGUGAAAGUAGCUCUGUAGAUUUCAGUUAAUAAUAAUCAAAGUAACUUUGUGCUACUACAGCUGAAGCAUGCUAAUGAUUCAGAUGCUGCAAUGAGUCAUGAGGACACAGUUGCCUACAACAUUGUUCCUUUUGAUGCUCCUGUCACGGCAAAUGCCACGACGGCUUUCUGUGAGGUGCAAGCCGCAGUUACAGCGUUGAAGUAUUUUCCAGGCCUGCCAAAAUUGCCUGCUGAGUUCCCCCUUCCUGCAACAAGGAAUGCUGAUAUGCUUGAUUUUCUUCACUAUAUAUUUGGGUUUCAGGUUUGUCUAUUUGAGAAGCUUUCUUUAUUAGGAAAUCAUCUUUCACAUAUUGUGUGUUUAUGUUCUACUUAUGGCCUCAGAGAGACAGCGUCUCCAAUCAGCGUGAACAUAUAAUUCUUCUUCUUUCUAAUGAGCAAUCCCGCCUUAAUAUUCCUGGAGAAACAGAACAUGUAAGUACCAAAGGUUUUGAUUUUUCACAUGAUUAAUUUCACAGAAGUUUUUGGAUAAGAAGUAGAUUAUUCAUGAUUUUGCGGUGAGUUACAUUUUAAGAUCUAAUGAGUAACUUUUUUUCUCUUAUGCUCUUUCUCAGAAACUUGAUGAUGCUGCAGUGAGUAAUGUGUUUUUGAAGUCCCUAGACAACUACAUUAAGUGGUGUGAUUACCUGUGCAUUCAACCUUCAUGGAGAAAGUAAAUAAUCUCAUCUUCCUUGUCCUUUCCUGCUACAAACUCUUGCAUGCUCACUCCGAUUUUUUUGUAAGAUGCAGUUUAGAGGCUAUAAGUGGAGAAAAGAAACUGCUAUACCUCUCUUUGUAUUUCCUGAUUUGGGGUGAAGCUGCCAACAUACGGUUCCUUCCGGAAUGUUUGUGCUACAUAUUCCACCAUGUAAGUUUUGAUAUGUAUGCAGAAUCUCCUAAUGUUCUGAAUUGCUACUGGUUCUAUGGUAAGUUUACUAACAUAUGUUGUUCAUUUGAUAUUAUGUGCUCAUGCUGAAUAUUUGUUUUGUAGAUGGUAAGAGAAAUGGAUGAGAUCUUACGCCAGCAGGUUGCUCGUCCAGCUGAGAGUUGUAGACCAGUCGAUAGUUGUGGCUCUGAGGAUGAUGUAUCAUUCCUUGAUCAUGUUAUUUCUCCACUGUAUGAAGUUGUAUCAGCGGUAUGCUCUCUGAAGUCUUCUUUUCACCGCCUUUAGAGAGUCUCCUUUGAUCCCACAUAAUGGUGCUUUUUAGUAGAGAACAUACAUCAUGGAAUGUAGCAAGACAAUGUUUGCUAGAUUAGGAAAAUGAUUGGGAUAUAUAGUCAUUUACUACUGCUUUUAGUUGGGUAAUGCAUGUAACUCUUUGUUUCAAUGAACUUGUAACCAGUGUGCAAUUUUGUUUUAUUGUGUUAUUUGAGAGGGGCUAUUACAUUUUCUGGUAUUCCUUAAAGAUGUGAUAUAUGUUUCAUUGCAGUAUAGUUUGUAAUUAUAAUCAAAUAGUAGUUGGUUUUCUAGUAAAAAAUGUCCUGUUGUAUCAUGUUUGAAUAUUUAUUUUUAAGACAGUGUUGGUUUGAUUUAAUAGUCAUGCUAUAACAUGGGCUAUUAUAAAAAUGUUGGUCCGUGCAGGAAGCUUUUAACAAUGGCAAUGGCCGAGUACCUCAUUCAGCUUGGAGAAACUAUGAUGACUUCAAUGAGUACUUUUGGUAAAUUUUUAACAUCUUUGUCUGCUGAGUUAAUUAAUUUCCUUCUCUGUUGGCUAACGUGUUUGAUUUUUCUAGGUCGCUUCAAUCCUUCGAGCUUGGUUGGCCGUGGCGAACCAGUUCAUCUUUUUUUCAAAAACCUAGACCUAGAGCAAAGGUUUGUGUUAGAGGUUAUUGUAGUAGUGCUUGUGGUUUUGUUCUUCGGUGAGAUGACCAUCAUCUGAUGUCAUUGUAGUUCGAGCUUAAACCCGGUCGAGAAAAACAUCGAGGAAAGACUUCCUUCGUUGAGCACCGUAGGAGAUGGAUUACAUCCCUCCACAAGGCCCAUCAUAUAACAGGCCCUAGCCCGACAAGGUCGAUCGAGCUUAGUCGGCUUAGCGGCUAGAAACGUCAGCUCGACCCUAGAGUAUUUUAAGCCGGUCAGCUGAGCCGAUCAGCUAUACUCGGCUCGGACGAAAUAGUAUCGAGGCCCACAUACUCGGCCUUUGGGCGACAAGGCCCAAAGGAUAGGCGCGAUUAGGGCAUCACGCGCGAGGGUACUAUAAGAGAGGAGGAGGAGGCAACGAGAGAGAGGACUUUUGGACAAAUCACACACUAAGCGGCUAGAUUUAGGGUUUCCUAAUCAUCUCUUUGAUCUUGUCGUUUAAACCUCUGAUCUUGUCUCCUUACCUUUCAUCAGUCUUGUAACUCAUUGUCUUGAUUCUAAUAAAAACGUCUUUAGUCACCCCAUUUUCUAAGUUCUUCAUUCUAAUCAACCGAAUCCUGUACAAACAAGCACCGAACGUUUUUGCAUCUCUACCACAGCUUCCAUCGGCUAUGGAUAUUCCUCGCUAUGACGUUUCAGGUUUGUUGUAUGUCUACAAAAUGCUCUCCUGCUAGUACCACACUCUUAGCAGGCUUCUUUACAGGCACUGGCCAUAGUUGCGUUCAAUGAAAAAAGCCUUGCUUCCAGGAAGACUUUGCGUGAGAUUCUCAGCCUGGGACCGACUUAUGUUGUGAUGAAGUUUUCCAAGAGUGAGUCUUAAAACCUCAUAAUAAUUUAUUUUAAUUUUGAGUAAUAUUAUGUUUGAGUGAAGACAAAAGCAUAUGCUUAAUUAAUGUUAUAGGUGUUCUGGAUGUCUUCAUGAUGUAUGGUGCUUAUUCUACUACAAGACGUCUGGCUGUUUAUCGCAUGUUUCUCCGUCUCAUUUGGUUUGGUCUUGCUUCUGUCUUCAUAUCUUUCCUCUAUGUGUAUGUGAAACUUCUUAUGGCACUUUUCACUUUUUUUGGGGGGUUAGUUUUUUGCAUUCCAUUGUGUGAUAGUUGGUUGUGUGUGCAGGAGAGCACUUCAAGAAGAUAGCAAACCAAAUUCUGAUUCAGUCGUGUUCACGCUUUAUGUGAUUGUCAUAGCCAUCUACGGUGGUGUUCAGUUCUUUUUUGGUGUCCUGAUGCGCAUCCCAGCUUGUCACAACAUUGCUAAUAAAUGUGAUGGGUGGACUGUGGUUCGAUUCUUUAAGUGGAUGUGGCGCCAGGUUUCUCUUUCGUUCAUGGUUAAUAUUUGGAUCAUCUGGUAAUAAUCUCUGAUGCUUACUUACUUGAUUGUAUUUUCAGGAGAGACACUAUGUUGGCCGUGGCAUGUAUGAAAAGACAUCUGAUUUUAUAAAGUAGUCUCUUCACCUUAAUUAUUUUAGUUAUCUGUAUACUGGUGACUUCAAAUGUUGGUCUAGGUAUGUACUACUAACCCAUUCGUAUGACGCAGGUACUUGCUGUUUUGGCUUGUUGUUCUGUCUGCAAAGUUCUCGUUUGCGUACUUUCUUCAGGUUGGUUCUUUUGGCGGGAAGCAUAAUUUGUAACGAUAUGUUUGAUAGUUGUACUAAAGAUUGUGGUUACAUGUGACAUAUAUAAAUGUUACAUCAUAAAAUACUACUAAUAUUUCUCUUGCUGGUGAAUUUGCAGAUAGAGCCGCUCGUUAGUCCAACAAGGAUGAUAGUGAAACAUGGUAAUAUUCCUUAUUACUGGCAUGAUUUUGUGUCAAGAAGUUAUAAGUAUGAAAUAGGUCCCUCAGGAUAUGUUAUUAGCUCUACUAUUAUAGGUUUCUUGCUGAUACAUGUACUGAUGAUAAUCUCAAAUAUUUCAUUCUUUCUAUGAUAUUUCUUUAUCUGGAUGCAGGAAACUAUAAUGCUCUGACUGUUGCCAGUUUAUGGGCUCCUGUUGCCUCUGUAAGUUCAAUAGUCUUUUACAUAAAGGGUUGACACUUGUUUUGCUGGAAGAAAUCACUGAAUCAAGAAGUAGUUGUUUCUAGAGAAUCACUUCAGUUUUGGGAUGAUUUUGUUAUUAAAAAAAUAUUUUACCAAUUUUGGUGAAAUUUAUUAGGAUGAAUGUUUUCACAGAUUAAUUUUUAUUUCAUUGUACUGUAACUUUAUCUUUCAUAUAAUGCAGAUAUACCUGUUAGACAUCCAUAUAUUCUACACCCUUGUUUCUGCUUUUUUGGGUUUCUUUCUCGGUGUGAGAGAUCGUUUGGGAAAGGUAAGUGUGGUUACACUUUUCUUUUGUCUUAGAAAUGUCAAAAUCAAGAUAUUUUAUAAAUGUUCAUACACUGUCUUUAAGAAGUUAGGGUCCUUACGUUGCGUUGCCAUUUUCACAGAUAAGAUCUUUGGAAGAAAUUCACAAGCAAUUUAAGAAGUUUCCAGGGGCCUUUAUGAGGGCUCUUCAUGUCCCUAUAACCAAUCGGUUAUGUUCCUUUCCAUUUUUUUGUCAUUUUACCUGCACAUCUCACUUUAUAUUUGUUAACUAUUAUUAACAUUUUUCUCGUCUUCAUUACCUUUCGACUAUAAUCUAAAUUAUGUGCAGGUCUUGGGAUCCUUCUCAUGAGGUAGUGAUGCUGCUUCCCUCUCUGUUUUACAUUUUUGCAGUACUAUGUUAGUUUCUUCUUCUCAUAUUUGCAUGUGUUUAUCAAUUCAAAGGUUGUGGAUAAGAAGAACAGAGUAGAGGCAGCUCACUUUGCUCCAUUUUGGAACCAAAUAAUAAAAUGUCUACGAGAGGAAGACUACAUCACUGAUUUGUAAGUGCUUUAACUAAGCUGUUGUGUCUCAUGAUUUCUCUUAGCUUCAGCUUUCUUUAUAGUUUCAUCAUUGUUACCAAUUUUUCUCAUAUGAAACCAUUUCCCUAGUGAGAUGGACUUGCUCCUGAUGCCCAAGAAUUAUGGAAGUAGACUGGUUCAGUGGCCUCUCUUUCUUCUUUCCAGCAAGGUGAGUUUUGUUCCCCUCUUCUGUAUUAAAGCUCAAUGUUUUAGUGUGGCUAUCUGCUUCUAUAGGUGGACAUUAGUUUCAUAUUAUCUACUGUAGAUAUUAUUGGCCACAGAGAUUGCUGCUGAGAGUAAGUCACAAGAGGAGAUUGUGAAGAGGAUCGAAAAGGAUGUCUAUAUGAAGUAUGCUGUUGAGGAAGUCUAUUACAGCCUUGAACGUGUCCUAAUAACAACGCUGGAAGCCGAGGGGAAGAUUUGGUAAUGGGUUUUGUCAGCCCUAAGAUGACUUUGCUGGAUAAGUGAUGAUAUUUAUUGUGAAUAUUAUUUUGUAGGGUGGACAGAAUCUUCAGAGACAUCCGGACCAGCAUAACUAUGAGAACUAUACAUCUUGAUUUUACGUUGAAGAAACUCUCCCUUGUUAUCACGAGAGUGACUGCACUCUUAGGGGUCCUGGUAUUCACAUUACCAUGCUUAUUAUUAUGUCUUUGUCAGAAAGUGUAACCGGUUCUUAAUUAUUAUUAUUAUAGUAGUAGUACUAAUCUUCAAAAUAUUGUACUUUCCAUUGUUAUAUUAGUACUGAUCUUCAUAUUUUUCUUUUCUUGGACAGAAAGAAAAUGAAACACCGGAGAAUGCAGCAGCGGUUACCAAAGCACUUCAAGAUCUCUACGAUGUUAUGCGGCUUGACAUAUUAGCUGUUGAUAUAAGGUACAUACAAACUCGAUGAUUUGGCAACAAUCCUAUCAAGCUUUUCUUUUCUUUGCUUCCAAAAAUAUGUUGCUUGGUGCAGGGGUCACUAUGACACGUGGAACUUGUUAACGCGAGCAUCGAAUGAAGGUCGGCUGUUUACAAAGUUGAACUGGCCUAAAGAUCCAGAAAUGGUACAGUGAUAAUAUUCAUUGUCAAAGGCUAUAACUGCACCGAUUCAGUCGUUUACUUCUUUGUGGUUUACAGAAAGCUCUCGUCAAAAGAUUGUACUCUCUACUUACCAUCAAAGACUCUACAGCGCCGCAUGUUCCUAGAAAUCUUGAGGCCAGACGCAGACUUCAAUUCUUCACCAAUUCUCUUUUCAUGGAUGUGCCACAACCAAAGCCUGUCCACCAGAUGUUAUCCUUCAGGUAUUUCAUGUUCCACAUUUCCAUCAUUUUUUCCAAAUAACCUCUUACUAUAUCUUCCCUUUAAACUUUUUUUUUCAGUGUCUUCACUCCAUAUUGUUCUGAGGUUGUGCUGUAUAGCAUGGCUGAACUCACUAAGAGAAAUGAGGAUGGGAUAUCAAUCUUGUUUUACCUUCAGAAAAUAUAUCCAGGUGUGACAUUUGCCUAGCUUUUUUUAUGUUUCUUACUGUUAAGUUGAUUCUGCCUUAAAUUUUGUAAUUACCAUCAUAGAUUGAUGCCUAAUAUAUUCUCAAUAAAUAUAUUUUUGAUGUUUGAAUAAAAAUUAGAUCAAAAACUAGUUUUCAUUAAAAUUUGAUAAUGUUGCAGAUGAGUGGAAAAAUUUUCUCGCACGAAUAGGAAAAGAUGAAAAUGCGUUAGAAGGUGAUCUACAUAAUGAGAGAGACAUACUUGAACUUCGAUUUUGGGCUUCGUACCGUGGACAAACGUUAGCUAGAACAGGUAGGUAAAACAAAUCGCUGCAUUUUUUUUCUUUCUUGGGGAUAACUGUUUCACUUCAAGAUCUGAUAGCUUAUGUGUGUUAUCUGGCAAUAUUAUAUCUGCAGUUCGAGGGAUGAUGUAUUAUAGGAAAGCUCUCAUGCUUCAGUCUUAUCUGGAAAGAAAAGCUGGAAAAGGUAAGAUCAGGCUAAGUGCUUUCUAUAGACAUAUAUCAUUUUUGGUCAAGCUUUUAUUCUCAAGGGAUAUCUCAUCACCAGUUACAGACGAGGAAUCCACACUUUAUGUUAAUGACCCAACGGAUGCUGAAGGAUUUGAGUUAUCUCCUGAAGCAAGGGCCCAAGCAGAUCUAAAGUUUACAUAUGUUGUCACAUGCCAAAUGUAUGGAAGACAGAAAGAAGAUCAAAAACCUGAAGCUGCUGACAUUGCACUGCUGAUGCAAAGGUAAUAAUUAGACACCUUUUUCUGGUUUUCUAUACCUGAAAGUCUAGAGCUUCUGCCUGUCAUUGUGUUAUUACAAAGCUGAUCUGUUUCAUUUCUUUUGUCAGAAAUGAAGCCCUUCGCAUUUCCUAUAUCGAUGUUGUUGAUACUCUUAAAGAGGGUAAAUCUCAUAAAGAAUAUUAUUCAAAACUUGUGAAGGCCGACAUCGAUGGAAAGGAUAAGGUAGACCGUGAUCAUCUGUGAAGUUGAUAUAUCGGUGUUUUAACUAGUUUAUAAUCUAUGUUUUGAAUCUUUCAUCGAGUCAAAGUAUGUGAUUUAGAAAAACUUUUGACUCGAUAAAAGACUCAAAACAUAAGUUAUAAACUAGUAAAAACACCAAUACAGUAUAUCAGAAGUACAAAACUAGUGUUCUUGUUUCCUAAUGUUCAAAAGAUGUAAAUAUGCUUUAAGUUCAAAACAUGUAAAAAUGCUAUAAGUGGUUUUAUUCUGGCUAUGCAGGAAAUUUACUCCAUAAGAUUGCCUGGGGACCCGAAACUUGGUCAAGGCAAAGCUGAGAAUCUAAACCAUGCCAUUGUGUUUACUCGCGGAAAUGCUGUCCAGACUAUUGAUAUGAAUCAAGUUAGUAUGCAUCCAUUUUUGUUUUAAGUACCUUCUUUCAAGAUCUUCUAUGCUUUUGUUAUAGUUAAGUUUUCUGGAAGUUUAUAUAACAUAAGCUUUGUAAAGAGUAUAUUGAGUUACAGUUUGAAGUUGGACAUCUCAUCACAUUGUGAAUGCACCUGAAUCUUCUAUGAUGGUUACAUGCCUGCUUUACAUUCUUUUCUUGCUAGCUAAAUGCAUCUUCAACCUUUAUUUGUUAGGAUAAUUACUUUGAAGAAGCCUUGAAGAUGAGAAAUAUUUUGGAAGAAUUCGAUCGGGACCAUGGUAUUAGACCACCUACCAUUCUUGGAGUUCGGGAACAUGUAUUUACUGGAAGGUGUGAACACCAGACAAUCGUAUAUCUUUUUUUUUCUUAUUUUAAUAUACUUCAUGUUACAUAACUGUGUUAUGAUGGAUGCAGUGUCUCCUCCUUGGCCUCUUUCAUGUCCAGUCAAGAAACUAGCUUUGUAACUCUUGGCCAACGAGUAUUAGCCAAACCCUUGAAGUAAGCUACUACCUACCACCAAUAAGUUUACCUUUCCUUGAAUUAAACUCAUAUGGAGUGCUUAUGUGUACUCUAGGAUCCGCAUGCAUUAUGGUCAUUCAGAUGUCUUUGACAGAGUUUUUCAUAUUACUCGUGGUGGUAUUAGCAAGGCCUCUCGGGUCAUCAAUGCUAGUGAAGAUAUCUUUGCUGGUAAAAACCGAUUCGUUAACUGACAAGAACAUAUAAAAAUGGUUAAAAAGUUAAUGUGGAGCCAUUUUGAUGCUAUGAUUUUUCAGGUUUUAACUCAAUUCUACGUCAAGGGAAUAUUACUCAUCAUGAGUAUAUUCAGGUCUGCACUUUAAACUCUUUACAAUUAAAAAAAAAAUGAACCGUAUAUAUAUACAUAUGUACUAAUUUUAUUUAUAGGUGGGCAAGGGGAGAGAUGUGGGGCUCAACCAAAUAGCUCUGUUUGAAGGGAAGGUUGCUGGUGGUAAUGGUGAACAGGUUCUUAGUAGAGAUGUAUACAGACUUGGCCAGCUUCUUGAUUUCUUUAGAAUGAUGUCAUUCUACUUCACAACAGUUGGCUUCUAUUUCUGUACAAUGGUAUGUCCGUCCUCUUGUAACUGGAGCUGUUACUGAAGUUUAAUACUGAUGAUUAGACAUUUUACAUGGUCUCUUGCAGUUGACGGUGCUUACUCUGUAUAUUUUCUUGUAUGGGAAGGCAUACCUGGUAAGCAUGGUUACCUAUUCUGGUUAAGAUGCUGGGUGAAGGUCUCUAAUCCCCUACUUGUGUUUGAAAUUGGAUAGGCGUUUUCUAGAGUUGGAGCUACUAUUCGAGAAAGAGCUAUUCUCGUGAACAAUACUGCACUUAGCGCCGCCCUCAGUGCUCAGUUUCUGUUUCAGAUUGGUGUCUUCACUGCUGUGCCAAUGAUUCUAGGCUUUAUUUUGGAACAGGGUUUUCUCCAGGUAUUUGACUAGAAUCUCCUUGGAGACUGACAUCUGUUCUGAAUUUGCUCAUUCAUCUACAGAACAGUGAAGCAUGUGUUUUGAACCAGUGAUCACUGAUGACAUAUCAUUUGGUGAAAAUGAACUAUUUUACUUUUGUGUGUUUUGUUUGAAAGUAGAACUUGUUUAUUUAACAAUCUUUCAUUUUGUAGGCCAUUGUAAGUUUCACAGCUAUGCAGUUUCAGCUAUGUACUGUCUUCUUCACAUUUUCUAUUGGCACAAGAGCCCAUUAUUUUGGACGGACACUUCUCCACGGUGGUGCUAGUGUUUGUCAACAGUACAAAACCACUGGAAGAGGGUUUGUAGUCAAGCAUAUCAAAUUUUCUGAGAACUACCGUCUUUAUUCCAGAAGUCAUUUUGUUAAAGGGUAUGUAUCUCUCCUCUUAUACUCUUUGUGUCUUAUGUCUGUCUAUACAUUUCAAUGGUAUGUUUUUUUUCUCAAGGAUGGAGGUUAUACUCUUACUGGUUGUCUACCUUGCUUGUGGAAAUGAUGAGGCUGGUUCUGUUUCGUACAUUCUCCUGACUGUUAGCAGCUGUUUCUUGGCUUUCUCUUGGCUCUUUGCUCCUUACCUGUUCAACCUUUCUGGGUUCGAGAGGCAAAAGUAAGUAGUGCGUGUCUGGUUUAGUGUUGUGUUGUUGAGCAACAUGUUCCUUCAUUGAGCAAGAUUUGUUUUCUCCUUUCAGAGUGGUGGAAGACUUCAAAGAAUGGACAAAGUGGCUCUUUCACAGAGGUGGUGGGAUUGGUGUGGAAGGAGCUGAAAGCUGGGAAGCAUGGUGGGAAGAUGAACUGGUAAGAACUCUCCAUUUCCAGAUUUUGUAACUCCUGUUAAAUCCGGGAAACUAAUAUCUUAUCAACAGUCUCACAUUGGGACCUUGAGUGGGAGGCUGGUGGAGACCAUAUUAAGUCUACGAUUCUUUAUCUUCCAGUAUGGUGUUGUCUACAAACUGAACGUGCAUGGAUCAGAUACAUCGUUUGCGGUACAGCGUUUCCCUUUGCCUACACUUUAGCAUAUCAUAGGAUAUAAAGGUUACAGUGAAUUUGGGUUUGAUGAUGUGUUGAAUGUGUGUAGUAUGACCUGACCUGGCUGGUGGGAUUAGAUAGGAUUUGUAUGAAUUUUCCUAGUCUUGUUUAUCUUCCAAUGCAUUUGUAACUUUUAGUUGUAGAGUAUAACUUACCAUGCAAGAAACACCAUUUCUUGUACUAGUUGAAAAGUAGCAAUACUCAUUUGUGAUUUUGUUAUGUUUCUUUAUGAUCUUUGCUGUGAAGGCAGCUGCUUAAUAAUAUAGUACUUAUACAUGUGCAGGUGUAUGGUUGGUCAUGGGCUGCAUUUGCGGUGAUUUUAGUUAUUUUCAAGGUUGGUUUAUUCAUUUUCUAAUAAACUUAAUUCUCUUUGAGCAUAUUGCAUUACAUGAUUCUGAUAUAUCUAACAUUCGGAUGUACAUUGAAACAGGUCUUUGCCUUCAUUCAGAAGAUUUCUGUCAGUUUCCGUCUUGUGCGUAGAUUUAUACAGGGCCUUGCCUUAUUGGUGUCUCUAGCUGGUAUAAUCGUAGCGGUUGUGCUGACAGAGUUGUCAGUGACAGACAUAUUUGCUUGUGUAUUGGCCUUUUUACCAACGGGAUGGGGAGUCCUUUCUGUAAGUUUCCUUCUUUCUCACCUUGUUACCUUUAGUUUCCAAUCUCUGGGAGUUCAGUUUAACAAUGUACUAUCUCUUGUUGUAGAUUGCGUGUGCUUGGAAGCCAACCAUUAAGCGGAUUGGGAUGUGGGAAUCAGUACGUUCCCUGGCAAGACUGUAUGAUGCAGGAAUGGGAAUGCUUAUAUUUCUUCCUGUUGCGCUCUUCUCGUUGUUCCCGUUUGUCUCUACCUUCAGACACGUAUGAUGUUUAACCAAGCGUUUAGUUGAAUGCUAUCAGUCUAUAUAAAUGUGUUUUUCUUUAUUAGUUUUAUGAGUUAACGAGUGUAGUAGUAGUAGAAAAUGAAUGAGAGCCUAUUUGUAAAAUUUGAAGCAUUUUAAGACUUUUGUAGAUUCAGUACAUGUUGCAAGUCAGACUUUUGUAGUAUUGUUGUGUACAUAUGUUGCGGGAAGACAAAGCGAAGAUCAAACUGCAUGUGAUUCUUAUGAUGAUGGUGAUUCGACUGGUCUCCCUCUGAUCUUCGCUGCCAAUCUUGAUAACAAUUGCUUAAGCCCACCUGCUUUCUUUCCUGCAAGAGAAAACAAUACAAUCAUAUAAACACUAGAAUCCAUGUCAAUUUUGCCAUCUGAAUUGAAAGCCUCAGUUUAUUUUGAAAAUCCUCAGCCUAGAGCAUUUAGUGACUAACCUUAGCUUUUGAGAAACCUUUCCUCUGCACCAAUUCUACACUGAUAAUCUACGGUUCAAAUCUCAGAAAAUCCAAAUUAUCAAAUAAAAGUUACAAGGAUUGAAAUAGAGUUCAUAUCAUGCUACCAAAAAAAAAAAAUCGGUUCAGUUUGGUAACUUUUUGAUUAACACUAAUAAACUGAAAAUCGAAUAACCCGACCUAAACUGAAUAAACCGGAAAUCCAUGCCCAGACGUGAGACCAUAUAAUUACUCAACAGAUUGGAUCGUAUCUACAAGAUAAUAGUUAUUUUACAAACUGAGCUAUGUGACAACUACAUAUUAUGUCGAGAGAAUCCUCUGUAAACAUGCUACUAUAUGGUACAAAAUUAAAGGAUGGGCAUUGGAUGAAUAAUUGACGCGAGUGGAAACUGACUUAAAUGAUUUCUAAUCCAUUAAAUAUAAAGUCAAAUGGCUCAGACUGGAAUGUAUAGAAUUUGGUUUACUACCGUGUGUGAACGUUCUACACAAUACCAAAAUCAUAGAUGGAGAAGUCAACAUUUUUGUACUUUUUUAUAAGGAAAGCAUGACACUGACUUUUGUGACGCAUUUGACAUACUGCUUUUGGGUCAUUGGUGACGUAAUUAUACUCACAGUCGUCGCAGACCAAACCUAUUAAAGUAUCCAAGGAAUAAAAUACAAAGCAGAAAAACACAAAACAUUAUGGUUAGAUUCUCCACCAGAGAAAAUUGGAAAAGGGUAAUUCAUAUAAACAGAACGUCACUGUAAAACUAGUUAAGUACCACAGUUAUAGAUAAUCUAUAAUACAAAUCUCCAAAAAAAAAAUCUCAAUAUUAAUAUGUUGGAAUAAAUUUCGGUCUCAUAUGAUUGUUGCGUGUUAAAUGAUAAUUUGCUUAAACGGUAAUCACUAUUUAAACGGGCACUCUGAACCUUUAUUUCUCACAAAACAUCCCAACGGCAACAUAAAGAAAGCCGCUCCACCACAGUGAAAAGCUCCGCCACAACCCCCGUGGAAACGAUGUCGUUUAGCGACGGUUCUAUCACCACCUUCCUCGGACUUCAACUUCUUCUGCUCUUCUUCUGCUUUCUUUCUCCGGCAACCUUCUCUGACGCUACCAUCCCCUCCACGUUGGACGGUCCGUUCACUCCGGUGACGAUUACACUAGACACCUCUCUCCGGGGAAAAGCAGUUGAUUUGCCUGACACCGAUCCACGUGUCCAACGCUACGUCACCGGCUUCCAGCCGGAGCAGAUUUCUCUAGCUCUUUCCUCCAAUUACGAUUCCAUAUGGGUCUCUUGGAUCACAGGUUCAUUUUUCAUUUUAUCACCAACUCUUUUACUUUUUUUCAGUUACUUGUAUAUAAAGUUAGGUCUUGUGGCUCUGUUAAACAAAAGAUAAGAUUCUUUUACUACAAGUUUGUAUUUCACUAAUGAAACUCUUGUUGUGUCUGAAAGGUGAGUUCCAAAUCGGUAUGAACGUGACGCCAUUAGAUCCGACAAGUAUCGCCAGUAUCGUCCAGUUCGGUACUUUGGGGGAUUCACUGAUUCAUACAGCCACAGGAUCUUCACUUGUUUAUAAUCAACUUUACCCUUUUGAGGGCCUCCUUAACUAUACUUCUGGAAUCAUACACCAUGUUCGCAUUACAGGUUCUUUUACCUUUCAUGAUUUUAGCUUAUAUAUAUAGACCACCCCAUGUGUUGCAUACUGUGUGUAUAUUUUAAAUGAAAUGACAACCCUUACUAGAAUUAAAACAACUGCUUUUGCUAGUUGUAAAGCAAAACCAAAUGAACAUGUAACGCUUUAGUUUGCAAAAUAUUUUGUAAGAAGUCAGAAUGUUCUAGCUUUUCAAAUUAUUGUUUUAAAGGUUACAUAAAAGUACAGAUAAAAGAUUAAUGAGUCAUUUUUAACUUUAUUUUAAUCAAAAAGUUGACAAUUUGGAGGUCAUACCACCUAUAUAAAAUUUGAAGGCCAAAUAUAAUAUAUAUAUUUUUUUCAAAUAGAAUUAUUUAUCCGGCUAUGCUCAGAUUCGACCAUACUAAACAAGUUAUUAAAUCGACUCUUGAUAAUGAUUUGGUUUUUGAAACGCAGGGCUGCAACCAAGUACUGUCUAUUACUAUCGAUGUGGUGAUCCUUCACAUGGUAUGAGUAAGAUACACCAUUUCAAGACAAUGCCUGCUUCUAGCCCCACGAGUUACCCCAGCCGAAUAGCAAUUGUGGGUGAUACUGGUCUCACUUAUAACACAACAGCUACAAUUAGCCACUUGGUUCAGAACUCUCCGGAUCUUGUUUUAUUGGUCGGUGACGUGAGCUACGCAAACUUGUAUCUAACGAACGGGACUAGCUCGGAUUGUUAUUCUUGCAAUUUCUCAAAUACGCCUAUACACGAGACGUAUCAGCCGCGUUGGGAUUAUUGGGGUAGGUUUAUGGAGAAUCUGACUUCUACAGUUCCUCUAAUGGUGGUUGAAGGAAACCAUGAGCUUGAGUUGCAAGCUGGGAACAAAACAUUUGAAGCUUAUAGCUCAAGAUUCGCUUUCCCUUAUAUAGAAAGUGGCUCGACUUCGAAGUUUUAUUAUUCUUUUAACGCUGGUGGGAUUCACUUUGUUAUGCUUGGUGCAUACAUCGACUUUGAUAGAUCAGGUUUGAUAUUCUUAGACUCUGACCUCUAUGUUUACAUGUUUGUGUGCGUUUUUACUAAGGUUCUUGUUCGGUUUUUUGCAGGGGAACAAUACGAGUGGCUAAAGAGGGAUCUUGCUAAAUUCAAUAGGUCGGUAACUCCGUGGUUAGUAGUUACUUGGCAUCCACCAUGGUACAGCACUUACACAGCGCAUUACAAAGAAGCUGAAUGUAUGAAAGUAGCUAUGGAGGAGUUGCUUUACUCUUACGGUACCGACAUUGUCUUCAACGGACAUGUAAGAAAAGAAACACAACCUUUUCUUUUUUUCCAGAGCAGGUUAUGGACAUAGCAAAAUGAACAUUAGCAUAUAGUUUCUAAAAUAUUAGUGGUUGAUAUAUAUAUAAUAUUUUAUGACCCCAAAUGAUUAAAAAUAUAUGUUUAGUAAUCGUUUCAAGCCUCAUUAAUUUCUCCAUCUUUUGAUUUGGUAUAUAUAACUGACAUUUUUUCUUUGUGAAAACAUGUUUCAAGGUUCAUGCUUAUGAACGGUCUAACAGAGUAUACAACUACCAACUAGACCCAUGUGGUCCAGUUCACAUAGUGAUUGGUGAUGGAGGUAACCGUGAAAAGAUGGCCAUAGAGCACACCGAUGAACCCGGUAAAUGUCCUGACCCAUUAUCCACACCGGACGCAGCCCUGGGUGGGCAAUUUUGCCCUUCCAACUCCACCACGACUGGUGCGUUCUGUUGGGACCAGCAACCUCCUUAUAGCGCCUUGAGAGAAAGCAGCUUUGGCCAUGGAAUCCUAGAGGUAACGGUUUUAAGUUUUUAACUAACUCCUAAACGCUUGAACCACAUUAGGAUUAGACUCAAAUUUAAUCUGAUUAAAUGCAGAUGAAGAACGCCACAUGGGCACUAUGGACAUGGCACAGGAAUCAAGACACAAACAGUCAAGUUGGAGAUCAGAUUUACAUCGUGAGACAACCUGAUCUAUGUCCCCCUUACAAUGUCACAACCUGAUUGAUUAACCAUUGCUAAGCUUGAAGUUUAAACGGAAAUGUUCUAAUAAAUGAUUUGGCUUACAGCCUCAUCCAGUGAGCGAUUUUUUGUUUGUUUGUUUGUGUGUUUACACUGUUGAUUGUAACAAGUAUUUUAUUUAAUACUAAAAAAUUCAAUAUUUAUAUUAAAAAAAGGAGGGAAAAUAAAGUUUCAAAAAAAGUUGUUAUUACUAGAAGAUCUCAAGGAACUCGAGGACGAAGCUGCUGCAAACAGGACAAUGACCUUUCUGAGCACUAAGCUCUUUAGAACAGAGCUUACAAAACGUGUGACCGCACGGCGUAAACGUCGCGCCUUUGAUGUUCACCUGACAAACGCAGCAGUUCACCUCUCCUUCUCCUCCUCCACCUCCGCCGCCAUCUUCUUCCUCCUCCUCUUCCUCGUCUUCUUCGUACUCUUCCUCUUCGUCGUCCAUGGCGUAGCUCGCUCCCGUUAACCCCAUCUGCCUAUCCGUCUCUUCCAGAAGAUCCAUCAGCGACAUCGUCUGCUUCGGCGCCGCAUCUGCUUUCUCCGCCGCUUCUCCCUCCUCGCUGUCGUCUUCCUCCUCCUCUUCCUCGUCGUCGCUUGACGCCGCCGCGGCUUCCGCCUCCGCCGCCUCCUGCGCCGCGACGGCUUCCCUCGCCGACAUCUGCCUCUCGUCGACGAACUUGACGACCGGGUGGCGGAGGAUCUUGUCUUCGUCUCCGUGAUCUCUGACGGAAUCGUGCCGUGAAAACUGAGGCUUGAAGCUCCUGUUCGGCGGUCCGUCUCCAGGGAUGCUGACGUCAGCGGAAUAAUCGUCGUGGCUUUUACCCGACCCGACCCGCAUCGAGGGUCCGCGCGUGAACGCCCCGCGUCCGGGUGGAUCCGACAUGGGAAUAGUAGCGUUUGGCCGGGGGUGUUUGGGAUUGGGGAUAAGGAUAUCCGAGGCGGGGAUAUGGAGAGACGUGGUCCAAGCGGAACCGGUUCGUUUGAGACGGAGCUUCUCGCGGAAAAUCUGCCACGUGGUCCGAUCUUUUUGGCCUUCCUUGAUGUAUUCGUCGCGUAUGAUGUCGAAAAGCGUUUGGGUCGUUGUUGUUGUUGAUGUUUGGUGAGGUGCAAGAGAUUUUUGCGGCAAAGGCGGUGGCGACGGUGGAGAUGAUGGUGGUGGUGGUAUAACGAUCUCGCCGCCAAGAACAGCGUCUAGAGAUAAUCCGGCUAACGAGUUGCUACGUUUCUUUAAAGCCGACAUUUAACUCCACGCCUUCUCCCGCCACCUUUCUCCAUCAUCGGAAGCCGAUAAAUUACGGUUAAUGAAGUAGUAAAAAACGAAUUAUUUACAAAUGAGUAUAAUAGACAUGUGUUGUUCAAAAAAAAAAAGUAUAAUAGACAUGUUACCUCUUGCAUCGAAUUUAGAGUGUGUUGAACAUCGUUUUUGCUUAUACUGAAAAUAUCUUAAAUUUUGGUAAUUGUGUUUUUGUUGGAUUGACUUUUAACUUUUAUCAUAUAGACUGGUUUUUAUUGUUCUUACCUCCUUAAAUUAAAACAAAUUUUAUGUGGGUGAAAGUGUUUUAAAAUGGAGAAAAAGAGCAAAGAAGAACGAGUCUUAAGGUGAAGAAAUGAUCUAAAUUAAGGAUGCUUCCAUAGUGUUUGUUAGUCCAAAAAAUAUUAAUCACUUAUUUUAUUUAUAAUGAUGAUCACUGUGAGUUAUCAACUUGUUUAAGACAUUCUAUGGAGAUGAAACAAACAAGAAGUCAAUAUGUCCGAGUGGUUAAGGAGACAGACUUGAAAUCUGUUGGGCUUCGCCCGCGCAGGUUCGAACCCUGCUGUUGACGUUAUUUUUAAAUUUUUAUAUGAUCUACGUAUAAUAUAUCGACGUAUAUUUUAUAAAUUAUAAUUGUAUGUAUAUUAUAUAACAAACUGGUAGAUAAUUACAUUUUAGUGUCUGUGUCUUUUAGGAAAUUUGCGUUUUCUUUGGUCCUUUUUAUUGUUUUGGGCAUAAUUUUUAUGUUUUUUUCAAUUACAUUUUAGUAGAUAAUCACAAUUCGUAGGAUUAAUAUAGAAUUCAAUUAUCGAUUCUACGAAUAAUGAGGUUAUGGGUCUUGUUAUUGCAUUUCCUAAGAAUGGUUUAGGCUGUUAAGUUGAGGAUAUUUUAACGCUAUACGAAAUCCAAAAAUAGUCUUUAUAGUAGUUAGUUUUUUGUUUUCAAGACUUUUAUUUUUAAAUACGUAAAUGUUCUUUAUCACAACAACGAUUACAUAUAUUCAGUAAAGUUAGAGGUGUUCAAUCAGAAUAUCAGUUUUGGUUUUUGUUUGUUUUUUUGGCUUCUCGAUAUUUCGGUAUUUAAAAACAAUUUCCACAUUAAAAUCAAAUUUAUUUUGGUUUGACUCGGUUUUUAUAUAAUCGGUUUUUGAUUUAUUUGGUUUUAAUCCAAAAAAUCAUAAAUAUAUAUACAUAUAUAUAUAUAUAUGUAUUUUAUAAUUUAUUAUAAAUUUUACUUUAUUUGAUUAAAACACGAAGAUAUUUAAGAAUUUGAAUAGACUAAUUUUUACUAUUUAAAAUAAUUAGUAACUAUAUUAAGUUAAUAAUAAUAAUAAUAGUUUUUAUAGAAUAAAAUAAGAAAAUAAGAAAUUCAUAAUAUUAUUAAAUAACUAAAUAUUAGCACAAAUUGUUUGCAAAAAAUUAAAAAUUAGGUAUUGAUUAAAUAAUUUUUUUAAUAAAAUUCAAAUAAAAUAUUAAAUUACUAAAAUCAACAUUAUAAGUAUGAAGAUCAUAUUCGUAAAAUAAAAUAUAAGAAAAUUGUAUAUAUUAUUAAUUAUAUUAUAUAAUUUACAUAUAAUUGUACUACUAUUUUUUAAUUGACCAGUUUAUUUGGUUUAUUCGGUCUGAUCGGUUUAUAUACCAAACCAUAUACAUAUACCGCAGUUUCUUGAAAAUAACAUUCAUUCGCUAUUUUCGGUAUUACUAAAUCCAAACCAUUUUCUCUAUUUCGGUUCUGUUUUGUUUUAAUUGGUUUGGAUUUACUGGAUUGAAUACUCUUAUAAAGUUUAUAUGGUUUGAAGGUAACGUUUUGUUUUUGUGUUUUGUGAUAAGCUGUAUAAUUUAUUUAUUAUUGCAGAGUACAUAUAAUACAAAAUUGGUCAUAGUUUUGUAUUUUUGUUUUUUUAUUCACCUGAUGGUCUUUUUUUAGUUAGUUAGUGAAUUAUAGUUUUUUUAGUGUUAUUGGGCCUAAUUUCCCUAUUUAUAAUUGGUUGUUAAUAAGCGUCCUAACUUAUCUUCCAUUAUAUAUUUUUUAACUAUUAGAAUGAGAGUUUUAGUGCUCUGAAACGAAAGUAGAGUUUCAUAUAAAAAUAAUUGAAGUAGCAUUCGGUGAGUGUCGCAAAACAGAGCUAAUCUUUUUUCUUUUUGAUUCCAGAGGCUUAACAGAGCUAAUCUUAUUGAUUCCAAAAUACAAAACCGAAACAGUCACGUCUUUGAUCUUCCAGAAUCAUCCCACUGCCUUCAGAUCAUGUUGUUGUCAAAUGUAAGGCAUCACCGUGAUUUCCACGCAAUCUAGAUGAAACCACUCCAAGAGUUUUAGAUGCUGCAACGACUGAAGGAAAAAGCUCUCAAGCUUUGACCUGAAAUUUAUGAAAAAAUAUUAUAUGAGACAAAAAAGCAAACCACCUGUGUAGAAUCUACAUCAAAUUACUCACAGAGUCCAUGAGCAUCUCCACAAGUGUCUCUGCAUUAGUGAAAACAAUGCAAGAAGAUCUAUUACUUCCACUCUAAGGUUGUGGUUCUUUCCUCCACGACUACUCAAUCUUGGGAAUGCAUUCUCAUAGCUUUUGAGACUGAGAACGUCUAGGCAUCCAUCUGUUUUGAUCCACAGAGGCUCAUUAGUUUGUGUAAGCCUAAGCAAUUCUUUCAUAGCGGUCACAUCAAUGUUAAUCGUCAGACACUUAUCCAUGUCUGAGAUAACCAAUAUACGGUAAAUUCGAGGCAGUCAUUGAAGAACAACUUCCUGGAAGAAGAUUAAAAUCAAGCAAAAGACCAUUGUGGAGUAACUGUAAUGGAGAAACGUGCAUCUGGUUUAGUAGUGGUGGGAGAUGAAAAAAUGGCCUCUCAUGAUUUAGCUGCAAUGCUUGAAACCCUCUCAAGCUGCCAAAAAAGAUGUUAGUGGAAGUUUAAUCUCUAAGAUCAAUCACAAUGCAUGAAAGAGGUUUCAUAAAGAAAACGCUAGAAACUCUUCUCUAAGCUGUGCAGUUUCAACUGAAGCUUCUGUUCAUCAAAGCUAAGUUGCAUCAUCUGUUUCUCAUCUGAAUGUCAGACACUCAUCGAAAGCCCUGCAAACAAAAUCAUAAGACAACAUAAAGAAAGAACUGGAGAGAAUAUUUGAGUAGAGAAUAAGAGAGAAUACGUUUCAAGCCGUUGGAUCUGGUGAGGUGAGUAGAAAAACGAUUCUUCUUCAUUGUCUUCUUGAGCGCACCUCCUCUUCACAUUCGGACCUUCCAAAAGCAAGACGUAUUGGGAGGAUUGAUUGAAGGAUCUUUUAUGGGCAUCUUGAUCGUCCGAUGAAUUGUGAGAACGAUCAGAAUAAGAAGCACUAAACUGAAAAUAAGUUUUUAGUAUUGUCAGGAGUUGUGAGAAUGAUGUUAUCAGGGAUGAAAGCUGUCCUUUUUAUAGAUGGAGAUCCACCGUCUAGAAGAGAUAUAAGAUCCCAAACAUUGAAUGUUUUAUCUUGCUGAGUUAAGAAGGUUGUUAAAGGCAAUGAUUCAAUGAAUCAGGUAACGUUCUAAAGUAGAGGAAGGAUCAUAAGAUGAAACGACAAUCGAACCGGACACAUAGAUUUUGCAUGACGAUUCAUCUCACUCAACCUCCUGAAACUCCAUUGAUGGCUUAGGUUGUCAAGGCUGAAGAAGACGAUGAACCCUAGUUUUAGAAAUCGACAUGGCGAAGAUCUUGGUCUCUUUGUUUUAAGCUGGGCUGGCAAGCUUAUAUUUUCUAUUGAAACAAAAGCCCAAUACAUAAAAACCUUGUAUUGUAUUUCAUUUAAAUGAAGUUUUGCGUUUUAAGAAAACGUGACACGUGUCAACAGGACAGGCUUCGAAUUGAUGAGCUGGAAUCCUAGGUGGCACACCCAGGAGGGAUGGAAAGCCUAUUUUAUAUAUAAAGAUCUCCACCGGUAAGCCUCAUUAUCUUUGAUCACCGUAACCCAACGCUCACUGAUCUCAGCCCAAUAAGAUUGUUGUAUUAUCCUUGAUCACCGUAACCCAACGCUCACUGAUCUCAGUCCAAUAAGACUGUUGUAUAAAGACACUGCAAAACCGUUAAGCCCAAAGUUAAUACUCUCUAACAAUUUUUUUUUUAAUACUCUGAAAAUUUACAGUGUUUUACAAUUAUUAUUGAAAAAAAAAAGAAUAGGAUAGCACCAAACACCAAGUUUUUGUUCCCAAACUUCUCAAAGUCACAAAAAUAAGUUUCAUUAAAGAGGUAAAUAUAUAUUUAUACCUCUUGGGUUAAUUAAUCAAAACCUUAAGGUUUAGAGUUAAAGGGUAGGGUUUUGGAAUUACGGUUUAAAAUUUUAUAAAACUAAAAAUAAAUACUAAAAAAUUUAAAAUAAAAAUUUUAAAAAGAAAAUAAAAAAAAAUUUCGAAAAAAAAAAUUUCAUAAAAAAAUUUUCAAAAAAAAAUUUCGAAUCUGAAAACAUAUAAUCUGAAACUAUAAAAAAAUUUCUUUUUUUCAUUUUUAUUUUAUUUUUAUUUUAUUUGUUUUUAUUUAUUUUUGUUUGUUUAUUUAAUUUAAACUAAGGGUAUUAAAGAUAUUUUAUCUUUUAAUGAAUGUCAUUUUUAUAAUUUUCUCUUUCUAAUGUUAUUUUUGAGAUAAAAAUCCUUUAAUAAAUGUCAUUUUUCUAAUUUUCUCUUUCUAGUACCAUUUUUCUCUUUCUAUAUUAUUGACAAUUUGUCCAUUAUUAUUUUUGGGAUAAUUACAUUAUCGAUAAAACCGGUAAGCCCAAAGUGUUGGCCCAUAUAAUAUCACACCGUCGUCUCUCCUUCACCGCGCAUGAUUCUCCAACUACUACACCUCGAAUCUUCUUAUUAGGGUCACACGAUCUGAAAGCCGAUCACUGCCGUAGAAUAAGUUUUCGUGCUGCGCAGAUUCUCGCUCUCUCACUUGAGGUAGUCUUCUCUCUCAAUUCAAACCUUAUAUCAAAUUGAUAAAAAAAAAAAAUUAAUUUGAGCUGAUACUCAAUUUUUAUUGAUCCAGCAGAUCUUUCCGGUAAGGGGAAAUCAACAACGUAGAGGGAGCUUCUCUUAUACGUUUAGAACUAGAUUAAGUUUAUUCCAGAGGUUAUGAAGGAAUCUAGGGUUUGUUAAUUGAUCUGGUUCUAGUCCAAAGCUUCCAACUUUGAUAGUAGUUUCAGGUUUUAAGUUGUGUAAGCAAUAAUGGGUACUGAGAAUCAAGGCUAUCCGAGUUUUCCAGCUAGGCCUCCUCCUCCUCCUUCGUCAUCCUCCUCUCCGUUUGCAUCUGCUCCGCCGCCAGGUGGAGCACAGACUGUUGGGUUUAGACCACCUUCUUCCCAACCUACAAGGCCUUUCACACCUUCUGGUCCUCCUAUGGCUCCUCCACCUGUGGGUGUGAUGAGGCCUGGGCAGUCUCCUUUUGUUUCUCAGAUUCCAGGGAGUAGACCUCCGCCUCCAGCUUACGGAGGUCCUCCUGGUGGCGGCGGCGGCGGCUCUUUUCAGCGUUUUCCAGCUCCUCCUCCUCCGUUCCCGGGUACUCAAAGCCCUCCUCCUAGUGGUCCUCCAGCUACUCAAACUCUUGCAGGUCACUUGUCGCCUCCCAUGUCUCUUCGCCCACAGCAACCAAUGGGACCUGGAGGAUAUGCUUCUCCUCCUGGUCCUGGUUUUCAACAGUCGGUGCCUCCAGUUAAUCCGUCUUACUCUGGUGUUGGACCAUAUUUUCCUGGUUAUCCCAGUAAUCAGGCUCCUCCAGUGUCAUUCCAGUCUUCAUCUCAGGGACCUCGGCCUACAUAUCCUCCUCAGACAGGAGGUUUUGGUCAGCACCCAGGACAGCAGAACCUGCAUCCGAGCUAUGCACCUCCUACCAGCAACGUCCAAGGCUUGGCUGAAGAUUUCAAUUCGCUAUCCCUGUCAAAUAUUCCGGGAUCGCUUGAGCCAGGACUUGAUCCUUCCUCAUUCCCAAGACCACUGGAUGGUGACGUGGAGCCAAAUUCAUUUGCUGAAAUGUACCCUAUGAAUUGUCAUUCGAGAUAUCUACGGCUGACAACUAGUGCUAUACCAAGUUCCCAGUCUCUGGCGUCGAGGUGGCAUUUACCUCUAGGAGCUGUGGUUUGUCCACUUGCUGAGGCUCCUGAAGGGGUUAGUGUUCGUCUAGCUAAUUAAUUCUUCUAAUUUCUUUCUUGUUUUGAUGAUCUGGAACUCUUCACGUGCUACAUAUAACUUUUCACUUGUUUGCAACUUGUCGUUUUUAUCUGUUCAGGAGGAAGUACCACUUGUUGAUUUUGGCUCAAGUGGCAUCAUCCGUUGCAGAAGAUGCCGUACCUAUGUGAAUCCUUAUGUGGCUUUUACAGAUUCUGGAAGGAAGUGGCGGUGCAACAUUUGUUCUAUGCUUAAUGAUGGUAAUUUUUCCAAAUCUUCAGGAUUUGUUUGUUAACCAAGUGCUAUAGAACGUCAUUGUUGUUUUCUCUGGCUUUCCUUGAUGGGAAGGGUUGUCUAAUGUCUAUUAGGGACUUCAGUGAAAUUAUACUAGGAACUGUUUUUGGUGUUGCGUACGUUUGUUCUUUUUUGGUGGAAUGUCAUCUUUGUCGUUAUACCUGUGAAUCUGAUGUGAACUUAAUAGGGAAGGGCUAUCUAUUAGGGAUCUUAGUAGAAUUAUAAUAAAUUGAUUUGGUGAAAGCUACAAGGAACAGUUUUUGGUGUUGUGUAUGUUUUUUUAUUUGGUGGUGGAAUGUCAUCUUUGUUAAAUUAUCUGUGCAUCUGAUACGGACUUUUACCUAGUCGUUGGAAUGUCCUUUUACUUUCCAUAAAAUUAUUUGAGCGAUGGCUUUAUGCUCAGUCCUCUUAGGCAUAUAUGCUUAUCAGAUGAAUAUUCAUAGCUAUGGGUCAAACUUAUUGUUCAGUGCCUGGUGAAUACUUUUCACAUUUGGAUGCUACUGGCCGAAGAAUGGACGUGGAUCAACGGCCUGAGCUGACCCAAGGCAGUGUUGAUUUCAUAGCUCCAACAGAGUACAUGGUUCGGCCUCCGAUGCCGCCAACCUACUUCUUCCUCAUUGAUGUUUCGUUUUCGGCUACUAAAAGUGGGAUGCUUGAGGUAAGCAUGUUGGAUUCUAACUUGUUGUGCAUUAGAAUUACUUUGUAAAGAACAAUCCAUGUGCUUUUAUCUAAAUACACUAAGUAUCAUUGGAUCUAAGUAUCAAUGGAUCUAAGACUAGAUUAGAUUCUCUUUUUUAGAUCUUACACUGACUUUUAUCUCCUUUGGCAGGUUGCUGCUCAAACGAUUAAGUCUUGCCUGGAUAACUUGCCUGGUUAUCCCAGAACUCAAAUUGGAUUUAUUACUUAUGACAGCACUUUGCAUUUUUACAACCUGAAGGUAAGAGAAUUGUAAAUACGCAUGAAUUUUUGUUUCGAAAUAUUUUAGCAUUUAUCAUGUAUUAUUUUUGGACCUUGGCAAUGCAGUCAUCUCUGAGCCAACCACAAAUGAUGGUGGUUUCUGAUCUGGAUGAUAUAUUUAUCCCAUUGCCGGAUGAUCUCCUUGUCAAUCUAUCUGAAUCUAGAAAUGUGGUGGAAGCCUUUUUAGACGGUCUGCCUCUUAUGUUUCAAGAUAAUGUCAAUGUGGAAUCGGCUUUUGGUCCAGCCGUCAAAGCAGCGUACAUGGUUAUGGUUAGUUACUUUGCUGCCAUUUGAAAUGAAAAUUCAGUUUAUGUCAAUGUCCUAUAUGCAACCUCAUCUGAAAUUUGUAUCAGUUUGUAGUUGACUCUGUUUUCUCUCUCCAUUUCAGAACCAACUUGGUGGCAAGUUGCUAAUUUUCCAGAACUCGUUACCUUCUCUUGGUGCUGGGCGGUUAAAGUUGCGCGGAGAUGAUCCUCGUGUCUAUGGAACUGACAAAGAAUAUGCUUUAAGGGUAGCUGAAGACGCCUUCUAUAAGCAAAUGGCUGCCGAUUGUACCAAGUUCCAGAUUGCAAUUAAUGUUUAUGCAUUCAGUGAUAAGUACACUGACAUUGCCUCCUUAGGUACGAAGACGUUAUGAUUAUCACCGUUUUAUUUAUUUCAGGUGUUCGGAGUCAGUUAGUGGUGGCUUCUCCCGCCGUUCAAUAUUGCUGUUUUAAGUGCGAAAUUUAUGUAUUAAAAUGCAUUGGUUUUGUGUAGGGACUCUGGCAAAAUACACUGGUGGACAGGUGUACUACUAUCCAGGCUUCCAAUCAUCUAUCCAUGGAGAUAAGUUAAGACACGAGCUGGCUAGAGACCUUACAAGGGAAACUGCCUGGGAAUCCGUCAUGCGAAUAAGAUGUGGAAAAGGUUUAAAAGUUUAUGAUACAGUAUUCAUUUUUGUUACCUGUUAUGGCACUCAAGAUAUGCUAAAUUCGUUGGUAUCCUACAUGUCAUCUUAUAUAUUUUGGCCUGCAGGAAUUCGUUGCUCGUCCUACCAUGGGAACUUCAUGCUAAGGUCUGCCGACCUGCUUGCUCUUCCUGCUGUUGAUUGUGACAAAGCAUAUGCAGUGCAGCUAGCUCUGGAAGAGACAUUGCUAACAACCCCGACUGUGUAUUUCCAAGUCGCUUUACUGUAUCCUUUUGAAUAGUGUAUAUUUAAAACAUACUUGAGUUUAGAUUUUCAGCUGGUACAACACAUCAUGUGGUUUUAGUAAUCCUUAACAGAACUAAGAUAUACUGCUUCUUGCGGAGAGAGGCGUAUAAGGGUACACACAGCUAUUGCACCAGUGGUUACAGAUCUUGGAGAGAUGUAUAGACAAGCAGACACUGGCUCCAUUGUCUCUGUAUAUGCUAGAUUAGGUAAGGGAUACAUUCAAGUUUUUCCCAGUAGCAUUAUACAUUACUUUGGAUGUUAUUUGAUAACUGUUUUAAUUCUGCAGCAAUUGAGAAAACUUUGUCCGCAAAAUUGGAUGAUGCACGGAAUGCUAUACAGCAAAAGAUUGUUAAAGCCCUCAGAGAAUAUCGUAAUCUUCACUCGGUGCAGCAUCGGUUGGGGUCUAGAUUAAUAUACCCAGAGUCUCUGAAGUUCUUGCCAUUGUACGGAUUGGCAAUUUGUAAGUCCACACCUCUUCAUGGUGGACCAGCUGAUGCUUCACUUGACGAACGAAGUGCGGCAGGCUUCACCAUGAUGGCCCUGCCUGUCAAAAAGCUAUUGAAGCUGUUAUAUCCCAGUUUAUUCCGUGUUGACGAGUGGCUCUUAAAGGUUUGUGCUUCUCUAUCUCAAUGUACAUCUUUUCAGAAAAUUCAUAAAAUCAUUAAUGAAUUUGACAUGUUUGCAGCCAUCGGCAGACCAUGAUGACCUCAAGGACGUAUUGAGGAGAUUGCCUCUGGCUGCAGAGAGUUUGGAUUCUAGAGGCCUUUACAUUUACGAUGAUGGGUUUCGAUUGGUGUUGUGGUUUGGCCGGAUGCUUUCACCUGACAUUGCUAAAUGUCUUCUUGGGACUGACUUUGCAGCAGAGCUCUCAAGGGUAUGCUCUUUCAUCCACAUACAUGUUAAUUUAUUAACCAGCGUUACAUCUAAUGAUCUAUUUGCUUCCAUACUAAUUCCUCAGUCUUUCUUUGUGGUGGAUCUUUAGGUUACACUGCAAGAACAAGAGAAUGGGAUGUCGAAGAAGCUAAUGAGGCUGAUAAAGAAAGUGAGGGAUAAUGAUCCGUCAUACCAUCCCAUGUGUUUGCUAGUGAGGCAAGGAGAACAACCCCGAGAAGGCUUCCUUCUCCUCAGAAAUCUCAUUGAUGACCAGAUGGGCGGUUCGACUGGUUAUGUUGAUUGGAUGCUGCAACUUCACCGCCAAGUCCAACAAAAUGCGUAAUAGUUCACAAUGGUACGAAUUAAGAAACAUUUAUUCCAUGUCAUAACAGUCACAUGUUCAACGCAUCUUACGAAGCAGUUUUUUUUUUACAGACAACUUGAGUGCCAAGAUUGCGCCUCUCUGUAACAAUUAAAGAAACUCCUGAGCUCAAAAUCUUCUUCUUAAGCCGUCUAAGGUGUCACAAGGUUUAAAGAAUGCGGAUCAUUGCGGUCUGCUUCGUUGGGCUUAAUGUGUUUUGGAAAAUAAAGAAGCACUAGUUUGAUUUUUCUUCAUUUGUUUUUCUAUAUAAUCUUUUUUUUUUCCUGCUCAAUGUCCAGGCUUUUAUCUGCUUAACCAUAAUGGUAGAUUAGUCGUUUUUAUUAUUCCUUUGUUGCAUUUUUUUUCAAAUUUUCUUGUGCCUUUGUAAUCAGAUUUAUUUUGGGUGGGGGAGUUUACAAUCCAUGAAUCUAUUAAUCAGGGAUAUUGACAAAAAUUAAAUUACUUUGACUCCAUUAAGAUGGACACCACAUAUGAAUAUAAUCUGUAUGAAUGUGGGUAUAGACUAAAGGGAGUUAAGAUGUUGAUUGACCAUUUUAUAAAGAGAAAUUCAAAGAUUCUGGUCGGUUUAACCAGAACCGGUUAGGAUAAGAAACGUGUCAAUUAAUUUAUUUGGCGGCACUUUCUAGAAGCGUACAACAGAGUUAGAGACCGUGUGGGGCUCUCCCUUCCGCUUAUACGACGCCGUAAGACGAAUCUUUGAAAUGUUCCAAUCAGGUUGCCUUUAUUAAAUCACCUCUCUGAACCAUUGCUUUCAAAAAAAGUUUUCAGAUUUGAGCUUACCGACAAAAAAAAAAAAGAAAUUCCGAGCUUCCUGGAGAAGAAGCAGCGGCGACUUGCCUUUCAUUCGUUUUCGUAUGUGAUCGCUCCCUCGCAUCAAGAUUCGAAAUUCUUCAAGAUUUGGUCUUCAAGAUUCGAAAUUCUUAUGUUCGAUUUGUAAAAUAUUUGUUUUUGAGGUUUCUUUGUUCUUCUGUUUCAGGUGGUUAACUCUGUUUCUGAGGAUAUUUAGAGAUAUGGCUGAGGUAUAGUCUCUCUCUUUUUCAUCUCUUGUUAAAAGUUAAUUGGUAUCUUGCUUCGUUUGUUAAUUAGAUUCAAUGUGAGAUAUGUCAGGAAGCGCAUAAGGUUACUCUGAAUGUCUACGACCUGAGCAGAGGCUUGGCUCGCCAGCUCUCUGCUUCACUCUUGGGAAAAGUCAUCGAAGGUGUCUGGUCAGUUCCAUCUCUCUCUCUCUCUCUCUCUCUCCUACACACAUUCUCACAAGUUAUCAAUUUGAGUGAAAGGUGAAAACUUUAACCCUUUUUGCUGGGUUUAGUCUUCAAAGGCUUACCCCUUUCUUGAACAAGAUUUGCAAAAUUAACCUACUUUAGAAUAUUGCCAUGUCUCUAUGCGUAUUAAAACCAUUUAGGCAUUAACUGUUACUUUGUUAGGAAGCAGUUUGUAGUCUAAAGCUGGGCUAUUCCUUUUCUCAGGCACACGGGAAUAGUUGUGUAUGGGAACGAGUACUUUUUCGGAGGAGGGAUACAGCAUUUACCUGCUGGUACAACUCCGUACGGAGCACCACUACGAAGCGUAGAGAUGGGUGAGACACAUGUUCCUAAAGACGUGUUCGAGAUGUACUUGGAGGAGAUCAGUCCUCGCUACACCGCUGAGUCCUACAAUUUGCUUACUCACAACUGCAACAACUUCAGCAGCGAGGUGUCUCAGUUUCUUGUUGGUAAAGGCAUCCCAGACUACAUUCUCCAGCUUCCCAGUGAGGUCAUGAACAGCCCCAUGGGUGGUCUUCUAAGUUAGUAGCUCUUAACUUGGCUAAACCUCUCUUGACCCCUUGGAUCCUAAUUUUUAUAUCCUUAUUUGCAGUGCCUAUGGUACAAAACCUGGAAGCAACUCUUAGAGCCGGCGCUGUUCCUAACGCUCCACAGUUUAGGCCUCAGCCACAACCUCUUGGAGCUUCUAGCAAAGACGAAGGUCCAAAACCAUCUAACAAACUUGAGAAAGCUUCCGAGUCACCGGUUGUUGUUCAACCUUCGGCUAGUAAACAGAAGGUGAAAGAGGACCCAUUGGGUGAUGCUAGGACCAAGAUUCAGGAAGAGAUUACUCGUGAGUUUGCUUCUCUCAUGGCACAAGGCACACUGAGAGCAAGUGAAGCAGCUACUAUAGCUACCAAAAGAGUGAUGCAAAAGUAUGGGCAUCUCAAUGUAUCUGCUUAGAGUCAUAACAAAACAGAAUGAAACCGUUUAUUAUUGCAAUUGUAUUGGAACCGAGGCCAUUGAGUUACUAUUUCUCUAGCUGCAUUUGUAUUCAACAAUUUAGAAAACAAUUAGGACACUAGAGUCUCAGGUUCCAACUCAAUAGCUGUCUUUUUGGAUUCUGAAGGAAUAUUAAUGCCUGCAAAGCCGACCAUUACAGCAGCAGCUCCAAUGUAGUCGGUGAAGCUUGGUUUGUUCCCUGAUAAGCUGUCUACAUUGCCUGCCAAUGGAACCUGAAUGGUUAGCCCAGCCGUCGCCACCGUGGUUGUUGUCAGAAGUACUGCCUUCCCCCAUAGGUAGUCACUGAGCACAUUAUCUAACAAACCUGAAAACGCAAGACACACAUCAGCAUCCCAACAUUUACAAGUUAUGUGGUUUGGCAUACCUUUGCCAACAACUAGACCAAACUGUUCCAAGGUUAGCGCGUCGAAGCGUUCUCGCUUUGUGAAGUUGAGUAAUAGAGCAACAGGUAGGAAGAUGAAGAAGUUGAAGAGACCUAGAAACCCAAGAAGCUGAGCCAUACUGAAGCUGCCACUUCUCUCAUCGUCAUCUGGAAGCUUUUUGCGUAUAAGAGUGAUGUAGACAGCGUAUAGCGCCGCUGAGACCAGAGAGAGGAUAUCUCCAAGAAGUGGGUUUUUAGCUGUUGCAGUUGAGUCAGAUUCUGAGUCACCAAUACUCACAAUGAUGGUACCAAACAUACAAAGAAGAACGCUGAAAAGUUUCAACCAGAUGAAUCUCUCUCCCAAGAAUAGUAGUGAUACUAAAAAGGUGAAAAGGCUUGAUGCACUGCUUAAGAUUGUAUUUGACUGCAAACUCACAAAAUGAAAAUGUCUUAGGAUGAUGUAACACCCGUCUCAAUCUUUUUUGAUGCUACUUAGGGCAUCUGCAUUGGGAGGCCCUUAAGGCAUCCCUUAGGGGAAAAGGGUGGGAACCGAGGAAGAAAGAGAAGGGAAAAGCCCUUAAGCAAGGGCUGUCCCUUGCUCUUCAAUAACCAAAAAAAAAAAAAGUAAAAUAAGGGACUCUCUCUCCCUCUCUCUUCAUCCCACCAAUGAAGAUGCCCUUAUGCUAAAAUGUCGAAUUAAACCGAAUUAUAAAAACAUAAAUUGUCGAUCGUCGAAUCGUAUAUGUAAUCUUGAUAAUUAUAAUAUCAUAAUAAAUCAGCUUUAAAAUAUAUAAAUAUAUAUAUAUAUAUAUAUAAAAACAUUUUUUAUUCAUUUAAUAAAAAUAAAGAGAAUGAAAUAAUUUUAAAAUUCACUAAACGAAAUAAACAGCAUCCAAAGAUUAUAUAAAACUGAAAUAAAAUCACUAUGAUCCUUAAAAAAAUCUCAAGUCAAGCAUAAGAGUUGUUUCAGAACAGAGCAACACAAGAAUGAGUUCUCAAUGUACUUACCGUAACUGUCGUGUACUUGAGAGAGAGAUUGAAAGUGAGCUGAGCCAUUGCGCGGAGAUGAUCCUCGUGUCUAUGGAACUGACAAAGAAUAUGCUUUAAGGGUAGCUGAAGACGCCUUCUAUAAGCAAAUGGCUGCCGAUUGUACCAAGUUCCAGAUUGCAAUUAAUGUUUAUGCAUUCAGUGAUAAGUACACUGACAUUGCCUCCUUAGGUACGAAGACGUUAUGAUUAUCACCGUUUUAUUUAUUUCAGGUGUUCGGAGUCAGUUAGUGGUGGCUUCUCCCGCCGUUCAAUAUUGCUGUUUUAAGUGCGAAAUUUAUGUAUUAAAAUGCAUUGGUUUUGUGUAGGGACUCUGGCAAAAUACACUGGUGGACAGGUGUACUACUAUCCAGGCUUCCAAUCAUCUAUCCAUGGAGAUAAGUUAAGACACGAGCUGGCUAGAGACCUUACAAGGGAAACUGCCUGGGAAUCCGUCAUGCGAAUAAGAUGUGGAAAAGGUUUAAAAGUUUAUGAUACAGUAUUCAUUUUUGUUACCUGUUAUGGCACUCAAGAUAUGCUAAAUUCGUUGGUAUCCUACAUGUCAUCUUAUAUAUUUUGGCCUGCAGGAAUUCGUUGCUCGUCCUACCAUGGGAACUUCAUGCUAAGGUCUGCCGACCUGCUUGCUCUUCCUGCUGUUGAUUGUGACAAAGCAUAUGCAGUGCAGCUAGCUCUGGAAGAGACAUUGCUAACAACCCCGACUGUGUAUUUCCAAGUCGCUUUACUGUAUCCUUUUGAAUAGUGUAUAUUUAAAACAUACUUGAGUUUAGAUUUUCAGCUGGUACAACACAUCAUGUGGUUUUAGUAAUCCUUAACAGAACUAAGAUAUACUGCUUCUUGCGGAGAGAGGCGUAUAAGGGUACACACAGCUAUUGCACCAGUGGUUACAGAUCUUGGAGAGAUGUAUAGACAAGCAGACACUGGCUCCAUUGUCUCUGUAUAUGCUAGAUUAGGUAAGGGAUACAUUCAAGUUUUUCCCAGUAGCAUUAUACAUUACUUUGGAUGUUAUUUGAUAACUGUUUUAAUUCUGCAGCAAUUGAGAAAACUUUGUCCGCAAAAUUGGAUGAUGCACGGAAUGCUAUACAGCAAAAGAUUGUUAAAGCCCUCAGAGAAUAUCGUAAUCUUCACUCGGUGCAGCAUCGGUUGGGGUCUAGAUUAAUAUACCCAGAGUCUCUGAAGUUCUUGCCAUUGUACGGAUUGGCCAUUUGUAAGUCCACACCUCUUCAUGGUGGACCAGCUGAUGCUUCACUUGACGAACGAAGUGCGGCAGGCUUCACCAUGAUGGCCCUGCCUGUCAAAAAGCUAUUGAAGCUGUUAUAUCCCAGUUUAUUCCGUGUUGACGAGUGGCUCUUAAAGGUUUGUGCUUCUCUAUCUCAAUGUACAUCUUUUCAGAAAAUUCAUAAAAUCAUUAAUGAAUUUGACAUGUUUGCAGCCAUCGGCAGACCAUGAUGACCUCAAGGACGUAUUGAGGAGAUUGCCUCUGGCUGCAGAGAGUUUGGAUUCUAGAGGCCUUUACAUUUACGAUGAUGGGUUUCGAUUGGUGUUGUGGUUUGGCCGGAUGCUUUCACCUGACAUUGCUAAAUGUCUUCUUGGGACUGACUUUGCAGCAGAGCUCUCAAGGGUAUGCUCUUUCAUCCACAUACAUGUUAAUUUAUUAACCAGCGUUACAUCUAAUGAUCUAUUUGCUUCCAUACUAAUUCCUCAGUCUUUCUUUGUGGUGGAUCUUUAGGUUACACUGCAAGAACAAGAGAAUGGGAUGUCGAAGAAGCUAAUGAGGCUGAUAAAGAAAGUGAGGGAUAAUGAUCCGUCAUACCAUCCCAUGUGUUUGCUAGUGAGGCAAGGAGAACAACCCCGAGAAGGCUUCCUUCUCCUCAGAAAUCUCAUUGAUGACCAGAUGGGCGGUUCGACUGGUUAUGUUGAUUGGAUGCUGCAACUUCACCGCCAAGUCCAACAAAAUGCGUAAUAGUUCACAAUGGUACGAAUUAAGAAACAUUUAUUCCAUGUCAUAACAGUCACAUGUUCAACGCAUCUUACGAAGCAGUUUUUUUUUUACAGACAACUUGAGUGCCAAGAUUGCGCCUCUCUGUAACAAUUAAAGAAACUCCUGAGCUCAAAAUCUUCUUCUUAAGCCGUCUAAGGUGUCACAAGGUUUAAAGAAUGCGGAUCAUUGCGGUCUGCUUCGUUGGGCUUAAUGUGUUUUGGAAAAUAAAGAAGCACUAGUUUGAUUUUUCUUCAUUUGUUUUUCUAUAUAAUCUUUUUUUUUUCCUGCUCAAUGUCCAGGCUUUUAUCUGCUUAACCAUAAUGGUAGAUUAGUCGUUUUUAUUAUUCCUUUGUUGCAUUUUUUUUCAAAUUUUCUUGUGCCUUUGUAAUCAGAUUUAUUUUGGGUGGGGGAGUUUACAAUCCAUGAAUCUAUUAAUCAGGGAUAUUGACAAAAAUUAAAUUACUUUGACUCCAUUAAGAUGGACACCACAUAUGAAUAUAAUCUGUAUGAAUGUGGGUAUAGACUAAAGGGAGUUAAGAUGUUGAUUGACCAUUUUAUAAAGAGAAAUUCAAAGAUUCUGGUCGGUUUAACCAGAACCGGUUAGGAUAAGAAACGUGUCAAUUAAUUUAUUUGGCGGCACUUUCUAGAAGCGUACAACAGAGUUAGAGACCGUGUGGGGCUCUCCCUUCCGCUUAUACGACGCCGUAAGACGAAUCUUUGAAAUGUUCCAAUCAGGUUGCCUUUAUUAAAUCACCUCUCUGAACCAUUGCUUUCAAAAAAAGUUUUCAGAUUUGAGCUUACCGACAAAAAAAAAAAAGAAAUUCCGAGCUUCCUGGAGAAGAAGCAGCGGCGACUUGCCUUUCAUUCGUUUUCGUAUGUGAUCGCUCCCUCGCAUCAAGAUUCGAAAUUCUUCAAGAUUUGGUCUUCAAGAUUCGAAAUUCUUAUGUUCGAUUUGUAAAAUAUUUGUUUUUGAGGUUUCUUUGUUCUUCUGUUUCAGGUGGUUAACUCUGUUUCUGAGGAUAUUUAGAGAUAUGGCUGAGGUAUAGUCUCUCUCUUUUUCAUCUCUUGUUAAAAGUUAAUUGGUAUCUUGCUUCGUUUGUUAAUUAGAUUCAAUGUGAGAUAUGUCAGGAAGCGCAUAAGGUUACUCUGAAUGUCUACGACCUGAGCAGAGGCUUGGCUCGCCAGCUCUCUGCUUCACUCUUGGGAAAAGUCAUCGAAGGUGUCUGGUCAGUUCCAUCUCUCUCUCUCUCUCUCUCUCUCCUACACACAUUCUCACAAGUUAUCAAUUUGAGUGAAAGGUGAAAACUUUAACCCUUUUUGCUGGGUUUAGUCUUCAAAGGCUUACCCCUUUCUUGAACAAGAUUUGCAAAAUUAACCUACUUUAGAAUAUUGCCAUGUCUCUAUGCGUAUUAAAACCAUUUAGGCAUUAACUGUUACUUUGUUAGGAAGCAGUUUGUAGUCUAAAGCUGGGCUAUUCCUUUUCUCAGGCACACGGGAAUAGUUGUGUAUGGGAACGAGUACUUUUUCGGAGGAGGGAUACAGCAUUUACCUGCUGGUACAACUCCGUACGGAGCACCACUACGAAGCGUAGAGAUGGGUGAGACACAUGUUCCUAAAGACGUGUUCGAGAUGUACUUGGAGGAGAUCAGUCCUCGCUACACCGCUGAGUCCUACAAUUUGCUUACUCACAACUGCAACAACUUCAGCAGCGAGGUGUCUCAGUUUCUUGUUGGUAAAGGCAUCCCAGACUACAUUCUCCAGCUUCCCAGUGAGGUCAUGAACAGCCCCAUGGGUGGUCUUCUAAGUUAGUAGCUCUUAACUUGGCUAAACCUCUCUUGACCCCUUGGAUCCUAAUUUUUAUAUCCUUAUUUGCAGUGCCUAUGGUACAAAACCUGGAAGCAACUCUUAGAGCCGGCGCUGUUCCUAACGCUCCACAGUUUAGGCCUCAGCCACAACCUCUUGGAGCUUCUAGCAAAGACGAAGGUCCAAAACCAUCUAACAAACUUGAGAAAGCUUCCGAGUCACCGGUUGUUGUUCAACCUUCGGCUAGUAAACAGAAGGUGAAAGAGGACCCAUUGGGUGAUGCUAGGACCAAGAUUCAGGAAGAGAUUACUCGUGAGUUUGCUUCUCUCAUGGCACAAGGCACACUGAGAGCAAGUGAAGCAGCUACUAUAGCUACCAAAAGAGUGAUGCAAAAGUAUGGGCAUCUCAAUGUAUCUGCUUAGAGUCAUAACAAAACAGAAUGAAACCGUUUAUUAUUGCAAUUGUAUUGGAACCGAGGCCAUUGAGUUACUAUUUCUCUAGCUGCAUUUGUAUUCAACAAUUUAGAAAACAAUUAGGACACUAGAGUCUCAGGUUCCAACUCAAUAGCUGUCUUUUUGGAUUCUGAAGGAAUAUUAAUGCCUGCAAAGCCGACCAUUACAGCAGCAGCUCCAAUGUAGUCGGUGAAGCUUGGUUUGUUCCCUGAUAAGCUGUCUACAAUGGCUGCCAAUGGAACCUGAAUGGUUAGCCCAGCCGUCGCCACCGUGGUUGUUGUCAGAAGUACUGCCUUCCCCCAUAGGUAGUCACUGAGCACAUUAUCUAACAAACCUGAAAACGCAAGACACACAUCAGCAUCCCAACAUUUACAAGUUAUGUGGUUUGGCAUACCUUUGCCAACAACUAGACCAAACUGUUCCAAGGUUAGCGCGUCGAAGCGUUCUCGCUUUGUGAAGUUGAGUAAUAGAGCAACAGGUAGGAAGAUGAAGAAGUUGAAGAGACCUAGAAACCCAAGAAGCUGAGCCAUACUGAAGCUGCCACUUCUCUCAUCGUCAUCUGGAAGCUUUUUGCGUAUAAGAGUGAUGUAGACAGCGUAUAGCGCCGCUGAGACCAGAGAGAGGAUAUCUCCAAGAAGUGGGUUUUUAGCUGUUGCAGUUGAGUCAGAUUCUGAGUCACCAAUACUCACAAUGAUGGUACCAAACAUACAAAGAAGAACGCUGAAAAGUUUCAACCAGAUGAAUCUCUCUCCCAAGAAUAGUAGUGAUACUAAAAAGGUGAAAAGGCUUGAUGCACUGCUUAAGAUUGUAUUUGACUGCAAACUCACAAAAUGAAAAUGUCUUAGGAUGAUGUAACACCCGUCUCAAUCUUUUUUGAUGCUACUUAGGGCAUCUGCAUUGGGAGGCCCUUAAGGCAUCCCUUAGGGGAAAAGGGUGGGAACCGAGGAAGAAAGAGAAGGGAAAAGCCCUUAAGCAAGGGCUGUCCCUUGCUCUUCAAUAACCAAAAAAAAAAAAAGUAAAAUAAGGGACUCUCUCUCCCUCUCUCUUCAUCCCACCAAUGAAGAUGCCCUUAUGCUAAAAUGUCGAAUUAAACCGAAUUAUAAAAACAUAAAUUGUCGAUCGUCGAAUCGUAUAUGUAAUCUUGAUAAUUAUAAUAUCAUAAUAAAUCAGCUUUAAAAUAUAUAAAUAUAUAUAUAUAUAUAUAUAAAAACAUUUUUUAUUCAUUUAAUAAAAAUAAAGAGAAUGAAAUAAUUUUAAAAUUCACUAAACGAAAUAAACAGCAUCCAAAGAUUAUAUAAAACUGAAAUAAAAUCACUAUGAUCCUUAAAAAAAUCUCAAGUCAAGCAUAAGAGUUGUUUCAGAACAGAGCAACACAAGAAUGAGUUCUCAAUGUACUUACCGUAACUGUCGUGUACUUGAGAGAGAGAUUGAAAGUGAGCUGAGCCAAAAACCAAAACGGACAUAUCAAAAGGCUGACUUUAGCAACUCGCAUACGUGUCCAGCGUCCCUUCUCAUCUAAUCCAUUACCAUCCUCUCUUACAACAACCCCUGAUACUUCAGAUGCAUCUGAAUGCACAACAUCUUGUCCGAGCAAGGCUUCCUUUUCUGAUUCGGCUAGUUCAAGUAAAUGAGACCUUUUGCUUCUCCAGAACAGUAUACUACCGUAUGCAUCUUCUAGAUAUCGACUGAUCUCAAAGAGGGGAAGAUAAACGACGAACAAUGAGUUGCAAAUGAAAGUGAUCAAGAAGGGAGAAACGCCAGCGUCCACCACAGACUGGACUACAAAGCUGGAAGCAAUCCAAAUCGUGGCAAUAGCGAGUAUGUACGUUAGACCUAGUACCCAUCUCCAUACCUCGCCUGACAUAGCUCUUCAGAUUGAACUCACCUAUCAAGAAUUCAAGAUCGAGAGAGGGAGGUAGCUAGAGAGAUUGUGAGUUUGGAGGAUAUUUUGGGCUUAGAUAUGGGCUCUCUGACCAGCCCACCUUUUGUCUUACUUAUAAACCCAAUCAUGUUUAAGGCCUUUCAGGUUUAUGUACUGACGAGAGGGUUUCUUGCGUCACACGUAACAAUAAUCAAGAGACACAUAUACGACUAUUCAUCCGAUCAUGUAUCCUCUUCGAAACAUAGCUUCAAUUUCUACCUUUAAUAUUGCAUUCUACACUAAUGUUGCUAUUUAGCUGCUCUUUAUGAGCUUUCCAUGCAUGGUGUAACGAUAUCAAAGCUCCUAUAAUUAUUAAUCAUUUUUACUCGAAACAAAAUAAAUUUAUUGUAAAAUAAAGUCUAUGAAAACGUAAAAAUCUUAAAACCAAGAAUCGAAAACCAUGAAGUUUUUCAUUCUAUAGCUAUGAAAACCGAGCUGGAAUAUAUAUAUACACAAUGAAACAAAACAGAACAAUAUAUAACACACACAAAAAAGAUAGUAACAACUUCUAUAACUAACUUAAAAGGAAAGAAAACAACCAAACCCAAAAUAAAAAUCAAGAAACAAAAAAGAUAUAAAACUUAAAAUCAAGAAGCACUAGGGUUCCGAGAAUGUGCUGCACUGGGGUUUAGAGAAUGUCCUGCACUCGUGUUCCGAGAAUUUGCUCUCGAAGCAACUCCCCACUCCAUUGCCUCAGCCACGGCUCUUUCCCGUUCCUUCGGCGCCAUAGAAUCCUCACCGGAGGUUUCACCCGACGGCUGAGGAGGACGAACUUCGUCGUAACGUGGAACUGCUAUAGUGCCAUCAGGAGCGGUUCCCAAGAAACCUAGAGCGGUUACAACGUCGCUUAUGAGUGGCCGUAGCGUUGCCUCUUCCUGUAAACACAUUGCUGCUACCGCUACGGCUUGGUUAAGAGCUUUCUCCGGGAACACUCCCUCUAGACUUGGAUCAGCUAGUUCCGGGAACCUACUUGGUUCUUUGAACACAGGUUGUGCCUAAAACACAGAAUGAUUUUUAUAACCAUUUUAAUCCGAAGGGUUUUCUAUAAUCAGGGCAGGGAGAAUUUAGAGAAGUCACAAACAUUUAAUAAGAAAAUUAAUAUUCUUUCUUCAUAAUUUGAAAAUCUAUAUAUAUAAUAUAUGUACAUAAUCUUCAAAAAAUAUUUAAAAGUUAAGAAUGUUUCAAUAGGUUGGUUGUGACUAGAUGCGACCUUGUAUAUAAAAGGAACAAAGAAAUAAAAAAACUCACCCAAGUAACUAGAUUAUGUUCAUCUUUAGGUCUAGUCGUAUCAAUAACUCUUCGUCCAGUUAUCAACUCCAACAACACAACUCCAAAACUAUAAACAUCAGAUUUAAUGGUUAGCUGACCGGUUCGUUGAUACUCUGGAGCACAAUACCCAUAAGUUCCCAUAACUCUGGAGGACACAUGUUGUUUGUCACCGACAGGACCUAGCUUUGCUAGUCCAAAAUCUGAUAGCUUGGCGUUGAAGUCAUUGUCCAAAAGUAUGUUAGAUGCCUUGAGAUCUCUGUAGAUCACUGGAGGAUCUGCCUUGUCAUGCAAGUAUUCAAGACCCAUGGCUGCUCCUAGCGCAAUUCUAAUCCUUGUGUCCCAAUCCAACGGUACUUGGCCCGGUGUUAGAUCUAUAAGCAUUUCAACAAACAAUUAACGUUGAGACUAAUCCAAUAAACCAGUCAUUUGAUACCGAUCAUAGUUUUGUAAUUUUACCGAGGAGAUGAUCUUCAAGUGAACCACGAGACAUGUACUCAUAGACAAGAAGUCUUUGAUCUCCAUCAGCGCAAUACCCAAUGAGAUUCACGAGAUGCUUGUGAUGUAAAAGACUUAACAUCAAGACUUCCACUAUGAAUUCUUUGUUCCCUUGCUGCCCAUUUCUAUCUAACUGUUUCACUGCCACAAUCUGAAUCCAAGACAACCAAGUUUAACGUAUUCAAGUUUCUAUUAAACUGAUUUUGUACAAUAGUAUGUACGAGUGUUUAAAAAAAAAUAGAAAAAUAAUACAAUAGUAUGUACGUUUUCAAAAUAUAACUAGUUAAACCAAAAUGAAAGACAUCUAUUUAACACUUAAUUAGAUAUUAUCUACAAGAUCACAUUCACUAUUCGUCUGACCAAAAAUUAAACUCGAGAAAGAUCCUUAAGACAAGUUAAUUAGUAAUAACCUUGUCACAUUUUUCGAUUUUUCCCUUGUAAACCCUUCCAAAACCGCCUUCACCGAUCAGACAUUCUUGUCUGAAAUUCUUGGUCGCAGUAGCUAGCUCCCUGAAGGUGAAUGUUUUUGCAGCAAUGUUGUUUGUCACUUCUUUGUUUGCAUCAGCGUUCUUGUUCUGCUCAUUUCCAGUCUUAUUAAGCUUUGGAUUCUCUGUAAGCACCACAAAGGUUACUGAAUCUAGACUUCUAAAACCCUAGUUAAUAUAUAUUUUUAAAAAAUAUAUGUUUUCCAAGCAUACCAGGGUGUGUUUUGUUGUUGUCUCUACCGGUCAACUCACCAUUUCUCCGACGGCUGUUAUCUGAAUCUUUGGGAGCUUUUUUCUUUUCAUGGAAAUAUAAACAUGAAAAACAAUUCAUUUCUUCUCUAGUCCCCUUAAGAAGAAACCCUUUCUCUAGCAAAAUUUGAUCUCUCUUUUUUUCUUUUUUUUUUCUUCUUCUUGUAGAUCAAUUAUGACAUAGGAAUGUAACACUCUAUUUUUGUUCAAUAAAUGCCUGCACUGACAAGAAGAAAAUUGAUAAUUUCAGAUAAAGCAAGAAUUGUCUGGAAAAUAAACGUGGGUUUGUUGACAGAAAGGAAAGCAAACCUUAUAAUCUCAUUCAUAAACAAUGGUUGCCUCUAUCCCAAUAAACCCUUAAGGGUUCCCUUUUUUUUUCAUCUUAUUUAACGUCAAGAUCUAACAAAACCUAGCUCAAGAAAGUUAAAAUCAACUCCAAACCGUCAAGAUCCGAAGCGAGGAAGAGUCUGCGAUAAAAUUGGAGGGAGAAAACUGGAUUUUUUCUUCAGGUUUAGGCAGCUGAUUUUUUCUUAAUAUAGACAAUUAAACUAUACUGUUUAAUUAAUGUAGUAAGUAUAAGAAAUGGGGUCCAUAUAUAUCUCAAUGAUCUCAUGUUUGUGUGCCUCACAUUUCUCAAUGAUCUCAUAUUUGUGCAAUCUUAUAUAUUAAAACAGAAGUCGCAAUCUUCAAUCAUGUCUGAUUUUUUUAAAAAAUGAAUUUAAUGGACAUAUUCAUAGAAAGUCAUGUUACAUUUAAUAUCUAAUCUUAUCAUUUAAAUUUUGGACCUACCAGAAAUUUUUAUUGGGCUAUCAAUAAUUGGAUUUAAACAAUAGAUGAUCCAUUGGAUUUAUAGAUAGUAUAAAUUAAAUAGAUAUAAUUUAAUGUUGUAAUACUAUACCUCCAUAUGUUAAAUAUUUAAAUAUUUAUCGAUGUUAACUUUUAAAAUUAUAAAGAUUUUUUUUUAAAUAACAAAAAUUAUAUUAUCUAACAAUGAUUAAUAUUUACUACCUUAAACCAAUGAAAGCAAAUUUUAAACUAUAUAGUUUAUUUUAAAAAUUCAACAAAAACUAAAUGUUUAAUUAUUUACUCGAUAAUAUAAAUCUAUGAAGCGAAAAGUUUAUUUUUUAAAAAAUUUCUAAAUUUGUGAAAUGUUACAAUAUCUUUGAAUAUGACAAUAAAACAAUAUUUUAUUAAUCUUUAUAUAUAUAGUUACGAUUUUAAUAAUGAAAUAAUAAUUCAGAAAUAUACAUAUAGAAGAAAAUACAAAUACAUGUUAAAAUUUGAAGAAAUGCAACUAAAGGGUUGGAUAUUGUUGUUGGUGGCACGACUAGGGAUUCUAAAAACAAAAAUGCGAAUAAUUGUAACAUUAUUAUUUUCCCCAAAAUCUCUUUUAGAAUUGAGAACAAAUAAGAAUAAGAUAUUUAGAUGAAAGGCAGCAUGAAACCUGUAAAUGGCUGGAUAUUUAUGCUUUUUUCUGUUGCCUCUUUUGCUUACAAAAAUAAGUCAACAAUCUUCUCUAUGAGGCUCUUGGCAGCUACGAUUGAGAUACAUAUCCAUUAGGAUGAAACAAUUCUCUUAUCCUGUAACUAUCAUCAUCCACAUAUAAGAAAUAAAUUGAAGAAGACUGAUUUGUUCGCACUCUUGAAUUGCUAGAUACUUUCUAACAUAAAAAUUUGCCGACCAAUAAAAUCAUUUAUCUAGUAAUGUCACAAACUUAUGAAUGUCAAAGAGUAGGCCCUGUGAGGUAAUGAAACAACGCACCAGCUUUGUUUGCACGCGCGGUGUAUCGUCUUCAAAGAAAGACAUCGAUCUGACCAGAAGAGUAUAAGUUAUACUUUCUCUAAUGUGAUUCAAUUUACUUUCACUUUCCAAAAUCUUUCGAUAUAAGACUAUCUACAAUGGUUCACCAUAUUUUCACUUUAAAAUAGAUUAACUCUAUAACAGAACUGUGAUAUACUCCAAUAGUAUUCUAUUUUCGAGUGAAAAAUAAAAUAAUAAACAAAAAAUUUAAAAAUGAACUAUUUGAAAGAAUUGUCAAAAAAAUAAUGGUAAUAUUAUAGAGUGAAAAAUAAAGUACCUUUGAAGCAUUUUUGCUAUAAAUUCUAUUUUAGGGUGAUAAAUAAAAUGGGGGUUGGAGAUGCCUAAAAUUUAGAAAAAGAGUGAAGAUAUAUAUAUCCCCUAUAUAUUAAUUGAGAAUCUUAAUUUUGUAUUAAUUAAAAAAAACUCUAAAUCCUAGGUGGCACUCUAAAUGCCUUCUAAAUUCCAUUUCAAAGAAUUUUAGAGCAUCUAAUAUAAAGUAUAGUUUAAUCUAAUGAUGUCACAUUAUUUCAUAAUUAUAUAACACUAGAGAACAUUAUAUUAACCUAAAAUAUAUAAAGUGUGUAUUUUUUCCUUACAUAAAAGCUACAGAAUUACCUAAUAUGAUUUACAUAUAUAUGACAAUUAAUGAUUAUGAAUAAUAAAGAUUUGAUAACAAUUUUUGCAUCCUUCUUCAUUUUUGUUUAAAUUUAUAUUAUUAAAAAAUUAAACAAUCACAUUAACCAUAUAAUAAAAAAAAAUAGAUUUUUUCUUAUAUGUUAUAUUUUGAAUUUUUUAAAAUGGCUUUAAAUUACAAAAAUGAGGAAACCUUAUAUGUUAUAUAUAUUUUUUUAAAUGACUUUAAAAUGCAAAAAUGAGGACACUUUAUAUGUUAUAUUUUUCUUAUAUGUUAGAAUUUUCUUAUAUGUUAUAUUUUGAAUUUUUUUAAAACAAUUUUAAUUUACAAAAAUGUAAGUUUUCCUUAAGUAAAUGACUAAAAACAUUAAAAUGACAUGUAUCAAUUCGAUGGUUGAUUUGAAAGCUUUCAAAACUAUAUGGAAGAUAAAAGUCAAAAUAAUUUAACUGUGGAAACAAUACUGUUCACUUUUUUCAAGAAUGUGUUCGAUGGAAAAAAUAAGGUUUUUAUGUCAUAAUUUGUUUAAUGUUCACUAGAGAACAUUAUAUUAACCUAAAAUAUAAGAAGUGUGUAUUCUUUCCUUAAAUAAAAGUUACAGAAUUACCUAAUAUGAUUUACAUAUAUAUGACAAUUAAUGAUUAUGAAUAAUAAAGAUUUGAUAACAAUUUUUGCAUCCUUCUUCAUUUUUGUUUACUUUUAUAUUUUUUUUUUAAAAAUAAACAAUCACAUUAACCAUAUAAUAAAAAAAUAGAUGUUUUCUUAUGGAAGAAACCUUAUAUGUUAUAUAUUUUUUUUUAAAACGACUUUAAAAUACAAAAAUGAGGACACCUUAUAUGUUAUAUUUUUCUUAUAUGUUAGUUUUUUUCUUAUAUGUUAUAUUUUGAAUUUUUUAAAACGACUUUAAAUUACAAAAAAGUAAGUUUUCUUUAAGUAUACGACUAAAAACAUUAAAAUGACAUGUAUCAAUUCGAUGGUUGAUUUGAAAGCUUUCAAAACCAUAUGGAAGAUAAAAGUCAAAAUAAUUCAACUGUGAAAACAAUACUGUUCUUUUUUUUAAGAAUGUGUGCGAUGGAAAAAAUAAGGUUUUUAUGUCAUAAUUUGUUUAAUGUCCAAUCCAAUCAACUCAUGAUGUAUUAAUUAUAGUUUUGUUCCAUUAUUUUUAAUAGAAAUUGAUCUGAUUCAUCGGAAAUAAAUUAUAUAAUAACAACAAAAAAUAUUUUAUAUAUAUAAAUAAAAUGGUCAAAUAUAUAAAAGAAACUAUCGAUAAUAUAUACAAAUAAACUCACUCUGCGCAAGACGCAUGUCUCAUCCUACUUAUCCUAGUACACAUGUAAAUUGUUUGGAUUUAUCAUAAUACCCAAAAGCCUAUAAAUUUUAACGUAACAUCGUCAAACAGCGGGGGUGGUGGCGCAGUUGGCUAGCGCGUAGGUCUCAUAGCUAUCUGAGUAAUCCUGAGGUCGAGAGUUCGAGCCUCUCUCACCCCAAUUUAUUUUUAAUUUUUAUGUUGGACUCAAACAGUGUCGGGUCAAUUCAUCCAAUUCGGGUCGUAACCCAAAUCUAUUUAAAAGCAAAACCCUAAUUUCAUCUUCCUCUCUCCAUAAACCCUCUUCUUCCUCUUCUUCUCAGUUUUGUGUGUUUCUAGCCAAAUUAAGAUGCCGAAAAAGAGUACAAGUAAGCUCUCUCAAUCGAAUCUCAGUUCAGGGUGUUAAUUAAGAAAGGUUCUUUUAUUGAUUUUAUUUUUUUUGGAAUUUUUGCAGAGAGCAAGAGCAAGAGGGUGCCCUUGAAGCAGAAGCACAAGGUCAUAAGAAAGGUGAAGGAGCACCACAAGAAGAAGGCAAAGGAAGCUAAGAAGCUGGGCCUUAACCGUAAGCCCAGAGCAGAGAAGGAUCCAGGCAUCCCCAACGACUGGCCUUUCAAGGAACAGGAGCUUAAAGCCUUGGAAGCUCGACGUGCUCGCGCUCUGGAGGAGAUUGAGCUGAAGAAAGUGGCUCGCAAAGAAAAGGUAAUCAAUCAUUCUUCAAUCUUUGUUAGUGAAAAGCUUUAGUCUUUUUAGGUUACAGCUGUUAAAGACAUGUUCUUUGUGUUAUGGGUGUUGGUUAAUUGAGAAAGGAUAUCAUGAAGUGAUGUUUAUGUUGUGAUCAAUGUUCUAAAAAUUGCUAGGUGGUGGUUAGGCCUCUUAUAGAGGAUUAUUGUUUAGUCGGGCGCUUGGGCCGAUUUUUUGAACGCCUAGACCGAUUUUUAGAAAAAUCGGUUUGAAAAAUCGUUUAGUUCAUACCCGAUUUGCCGCCUAGACCGAUUUUUAGAACAAUGGUUGUGAUCUCUCUUGAUGAAUCUAUUUCAGGCGAAAAAGAGGAAACUUGGUUUGGUUGAGGAUGAGGAUACCAAGACAGAAGAAGGGUAUGGAGAGGGGAAGAGCGGAGAUGACUCAACUAGACUUGUCAGUGUUCGUGGUGAGUAGUGUUAUUGUGUUUUUGAUUUGUAUUUUUUUUAUCUGCCUAUAACAUUCCACUGAUGUCUAUUUGUUUCAUCAGAUAACUCUGAGAAUGCUUUCAAGAAGGAGCUUAAGCAAGUCAUUGAAUUGUCUGACGUCAUUCUCGAGGUUCUUGAUGCACGUGACCCCCUCGGUACGCGUUGUAACUCCAUGGUGGCGGAUGCUGGUCCUAAUAAGCACCACGUGUUGAUUCUGAACAAGAUUGGUAAGCUUUUCUAUAUAAAGUCUCUGCUCGUGCCGUUGGUGUCAUUAGACUCAUUACUCUUUUGUGUAGAUCUUGUUCCUAGAGAGGCUGCUGAGAAAUGGCUUAAGUACCUCAGGGAAGAAUCUCCAGCUGUUGCAUUUAAAUGUAGCACCCAGGAACAGAGAUCAAACUUGGGGUGGAAGUCAUCAAAGGCAUCAUCGAAACCAAUCAGUAUUUUGCAGACGAGUGAUUGUCUUGGUGCAGACUCUCUUAUCAAACUGCUGAAGAACUACUCGAGAAGUCAUGAGGUUUGCUUUGCUUUUCUCAUUAAUUUAUACUCUCACUGAGCUUUGGAUUUAUCUUUUCUUUUUGGCAGUUGAAAAAAUCUAUUACGGUUGGUAUCAUCGGACUGCCUAAUGUAGGGAAGAGUAGUCUUAUCAACAGUUUGAAGAGAGCUCAUGUUGUCAAUGUCGGUGCUACCCCUGGACUGACUAGGUCUCUUCAAGAGGUUCACUUGGACAAAAACGUGAAGCUGUUGGAUUGUCCUGGUGUUGUGAUGCUCAAAAAAUCUUCGGCGAAUGAUGCUUCUAUAGCUCUCCGGAAUUGUAAAAAAAUCGAGAAGUUGGAAGAUCCAGUUAGUCCAGGUAAUUUGAUACAAAUCUCAAAUUUGAUAUGGAGUUAUAAAUCUCAGUGCCUUAACUGUGAUUUUCUUGCUUUGUGGGAAACUUAGUGAAGGAGAUUCUCAAGCUUUGUUCAACGCAAAUGCUGGUGACUCUGUACAAGAUCCCAAGCUUCGAGGGGGUUGAUGAUUUUCUUUAUAAGGUUGCUACCGUGAGGGGCAAGCUUAAGAAGGGUGGUCUUGUGGACAUAGAAGCUGCUGCGAGGAUUGUGUUGCGUGAUUGGAAUGAAGGCAAGAUUCCAUUCUAUACAAUGCCGCCGAAGAGGGAGCAAGGUGAACACUCAGAGUCAAAGAUUGUGCCGGAGUUGGCUAAGGAGUUCAACAUCAAUGAGGUUUACAGUGGUGAAUCCUCUUUUAUUGGGAGUUUGAGGACUGUUAACGAGUUCAACCCUGUUGAGAUUCCUUCGAAUAGUCCUCUCAGUUUCGAUGAAACUAUGGUCGAGGUUGGUUAAUGAACUAUUUGCUUUGUAACCUUCUCGGUCUGGUUUAACAUGUGGUAUGUAUCACAGGAUGAGUGUAAGACUCAGACGGAAGAAGAAGAGGCUGGGAUUGACAGUAAUGAUGGUGAUGAGUCUAUGGGAGGGGAAGAGGAGGAGGAAGAAACAGGGAAGUCGAAAUCAGAGACGAGCAGGCAGAACAGGAAGCUGUACUCAGCUGAAAGCAUGCUGAACACAAAGAUGCAGAAGGCAGAGAAGAAUAAGAGGAAGAAGGCUAAGAAAGCAGCAGGUGGUGAGGAGGAUUCCAUGGAGGGAGAUUAUGAUUUCAAAGUAGAUUACGCCAAGAACAAAGGUACAACAGACAUGGAUGAAGGAGAUGGAUUACAAAUUGAGGCUGAACUAGUUGAUUUACCUGAAGAAUGAUUCAACUCUUUGAAACAAACAACACUUUUAUUCUCUUUAUUAUUUGCGUUUAUGAUAACUAGAUUUUUUAACGCGGAUAAGAUAUUAUAUGUAUUUCUCAAUUCUAAAAAAAUAAUGUAUAAUAUUGUAUUACAUUAUUUAAAGAAUGUAAAAUAAGACUACAUAACAUAAAUAUAUUUUUUAUUUUUUCUUUGUGAAAAUCAUUAUGUUGUUUGAUUGUUGUACUUAAUUCACAUUUUUGCAUAGAUAUUUGUGAUAGAUGAAUAACUAUAUUUUUAUUAUCAAUAAAUAAUAUAUAUUUAUUAUAUAAUAUAAGAAAAAUAAAAUUAUUUACUUUUUAAACAAACUUGUCUCAAGUAGGGGACUCGGUUAUAGACAUAUCAUAUUUGAAGGAGACAUUUUUACAGUUAUCAAUCUUUUUAACAGUGAAGAAACAAAUCUGAAUAUCAAAACAAUAUCUCAUACGAUCUCUUUGUGGAAUAACUGCUCUGAAGAUAUUGAAUUUAUGCAUAAAAAAGGACUGGAAAUGAAUGUGCAUAUGUGUUAUCUAAGUCAGCUUUACAAAGUACUAUUCAUAGUUCAUGUAUCAUUUAUGUACAUCCUAUUUUUUUGUCCAUCUUUUCUUAAACAUCUUGAAAUAACUGAUGCUAAUUAAUAAUAAACUUUUGGCUUACCAAAAAAAAAAAUCAAAUUUGUCUAAUUAUCGAUUAAAUAUUUUAUUAAUAUUGUCUAAGAAGCUUUCAAGUGAUAUCAUAGUUUAAUUUUUAUUAGUUUUUUAGUUAAUAUUUAGAGUUUUUUGUAUUUAAGAUUUUUUCCAUAUUACCCUUCUAUUUCUUUCACAUAAUUGAUAUAUAUAUAUGUCAUAAAAAUUACCAUCAAAUCAGUUUUACUUAUUUAUUAUUUUAUUUUAAUGAAAAUACACUUUUUAAAUAAUUUAAUUAAAUCUAUGUUCUUUUCAUAUUUGUCACGAAAAUUUAUAUGUUAAACUUACUUUUACAAAAUUCUUAACUUUUUUACCAAAACAAAAAUCUAUGUCUUUUCAUAUUUGUCAAUGUUCUCACACUUUCAAAGAAUACUGUAUUCUAACAAUUUGAUUGAUUUAAUUAAUUUGCUUUGGUGGAUAACUUAAAAAGUUUUCAUAUAAAUCGGGGAAAGCAAGCUUAUGUUGUUAUAUUGUAUUUAUUUGUGUAUAUAGAACCUAUAUAUAAUGCUAGUGUAAUAAAGAAAGAACAUUAUUUUUUUGUAACUUCAAAAAGAUACAUUAUAACAAUUUGAAAUUAAUCAAAAUUGAAUAAAAUGGUAAUUAAAUAUUUGUAAAUCUAAUUUUUUUUAUCUUGUUUAGUUGGAUUCUCAUGAAAAGAAAUCGAUAGGUUAAACAAAUGUUUCAAAAUUUGUUGUGUUAUUGUUUUGUCUAUAAAUUAUAAAAUUUAUUGAAUUGAUAUAUUUAAUUAUUGCAUCCUUAAAUAAUAUUUUAUUAAGACAUUAGAGAACUAUGUUUUGAGUUGUUUUGUCAAAAUUGUACAAAAAUCUAUGUUUUUUCAUAUUUGUCACGAAAAUUUAUAUGUUAAACUUACUUUUACAAAAUUCUUAACUUUUUUACCAAAACAAAAAUCUAUGCUUUUUCAUAUUUGUCAAUGUUCUCACACUUUCAAAGAAUAUAUUAGCUUAGUCACUUACUUAUUUUUUUUUACAAAACAGAGUAUCGGAGUCUUGAAAGUUGAAUUCAUAUUAUUGUAACUGUACAUAAGAGUUUUUGAUUACAUACUUAGUGAUUCUUGUAUAUGUGUCCAAGAAAGUUUCAACGGCUUAGUGGUAAAUGCCUUAUAUUUAUGUCAUACUAACUCGGGUUCGAUUCUUUCCUUCGCAUUGUUUUUUUCAUUUUUUACGAAAAAAUAAAUGAGAUGACGUGGUAACUUCGGGCUCUCUGAUUGGUUGAUUUUCCUAUCCUACGUGUGGACAAUCCUCCCCGUGGCUUAUAUUUGAAUUUGAUUUUUAGUAUUGUAUUGAUUUAUUAUGGUCUAUUAAUCUACUUUUGCUCCACCAAUUAUGUUGAGUUUUCAAAAUUUCUAAAGAGCAUUGAGAUUUGAGCUGCAAAUUCAAUGUACUUAGCCUUCCUUUGACGAACUUAAUUUUUAAUGUAUGGUAUGGAAUAUGCCUGGCGUUCGAUUUUAGAUAUUAGUAAUUGUUAGUUAGGUUUUCGGUUUGGUUCGGAUACCAAAGUUGUAAACCAGCUAAUAUCCGGUAAAAAAAUGGAUCUAAUAUGUGAACCAGCUGAUAUUUAUGAAAUUAGUUUGGUUUCUGUCUUUGGUUUGGUUGAUUCGGUUUUUUUCGGUUCCGGAUAAAUAUGCCAAGACCAGUGAAAUUAGAAUUCCAAGUUGCAGAUGUGAAAGAAUUCCAAGUUGCAGUGUUACAAAAAAAAAAAAAAGAAUUCCAAGUUGCAGAUGUGAAAGCAGCAGAAAGACGUUGACUUUACAGAUAAUAAUUUAGGCAGUAUGUUAUCUUUCCGGUGAAAUGUGAAUAAGUCACACAGAAAAAAAAGGUUCAAGAGAUACUGUUUGUCAAGCUAAAGAGAAGAUGUCCUCAGCUACUGUUGAUGUUGGGAUAGGACUGAUUCUCAGCCUCCUAGAAAACGAGACCUUGUUGCUGUCAGGAGUUCACAGCGAGAUCGAGAAGAUGAAGAAGGAGUUGCUUAUCAUAAAGUCCUUUCUUGAGGACACCCAUAAACAAGAUGGGAAUGGAUCCACCACCACCACAACAACGGGAACAACAACAACUCAACUCUUUCAAACUUUUGUGGCGAACACAAGAGACUUGGCUUACCAAGUGGAAGACAUCAUCGACGAGUUCACCUAUCACAUCCACGGUUAUCGAAGCUGCACAAAGCUUCGGCGUGCAGUUCAUUUCCCUAAGUACAUGUGGGCUAGACACUCCAUAGCUCAGAAGCUAGGAGCCGUGAAUGUCAUGAUUCGUUCCAUUUCUGAAUCCAUGAAAAGGUACCAAACCUAUCAAGGAGCAUUAGUAUCGCAUGUUGAUGAUGGUGGUGGUACAAAGUGGGUGAAUCACAUCAGCGAGUCAUCUUUGUUCUUUAGUGAAAACAGUCUUGUAGGGAUUGAUGCAGCCAAGGGAAAGCUCAUUGGAUGGCUUCUGAGUCCUGAACCUCAGAGGAUAGUUGUCUCGGUGGUCGGAAUGGGUGGUUCAGGGAAGACUACACUCUCAGCUAACAUCUUCAAGUCCCAAACCGUGCGCAAGCAUUUCGCGUCAUACGCUUGGGUUACUAUCUCUAAGUCCUAUGUGAUUGAAGAUGUGUUUAGGACAAUGAUAAAGGAGUUCUACAAAGAAGCAGAAACGCAGAUUCCAGGUGAGUUGUACUCCUUAACUUACAGAGAGCUGGUUGAGAAGCUUGUGGAGUAUUUGCAUUCCAAGAGGUACUUUGUUGUGCUCGAUGAUGUGUGGAACACUGGUCUGUGGAGGGAGAUAAGCAUUGCUCUACCAGAUGGCAUUAGCGGAAGCCGUGUUAUGGUCACUACUCGCAGCAAUAACGUGGCUUCUUUCUCAUAUGGCAGUGGGAGUAGAAAGCAUGAGAUUGAGCUCUUGAAAGAAGACGAGGCUUGGGCGCUUUUCUGCAACAAAGCCUUUUCAGGAAGUCUUGAGGAAUGCAGAAGGAGGAAUCUAGAGGUGGUAGCAAGGAAGUUAGUUGAGAGAUGUCAAGGCCUGCCGUUAGCUAUAGCUUCUUUGGGGAGCAUGAUGUCAACAAAGAGGUUGGAGUCAGAGUGGAAGCAAGUCUACAACUCAUUGAACUGGGAACUGAACAACAAUCUUGAGCUCAAGGUUGUUAGAAGCAUCUUGUUGCUUAGCUUCAGUGAUCUGCCGUAUCCGCUUAAACGUUGUUUCUUGUACUGUUGUAUGUUCCCUGUGAACUAUCGGAUGAAAAGGAAGAGGCUGGUUAGGAUGUGGAUGGCGCAACGGUUUGUGGAACCGAUCAGAGGAGUGAAAGCGGAGGAAGUGGCUGAUGGUUACCUCAAUGAGCUUGUUUACAGAAACAUGCUUCAAGUUAUCUUGUGGAAUCCUUUUGGACGUCCCAAAGUGUUCAAGAUGCAUGAUGUGAUCAGGGAGAUCGCUCUAUCUAUAUCCAAAGCUGAGAGGUUCUGUGAUGUUAAUGGUGAUGAUGAUGAUGAUGAUGAUGCGGAAACAGCCGAGGAUCACGGUACUCGCCAUUUAUGCAUUCAGAAAGAGAUGAGAUCAGGUAUAGUACGUAGAACAAACCUUCACACUCUUUUGGUUUGCACUAAACACAGCAUUGAACUGCCUCCAAGUCUGAAACUUGUAAGAGCCUUAGACCUUGAAGGCUCUGGCGUCACCAAGCUACCUGACUUUUUGGUAACUCUGUUCAACUUAAAGUACUUGAACUUGUCGAAAACCGAAGUGAAGGAACUCCCAAGAGACUUUCAUAGACUCAUUAAUUUGGAGACUUUGAACACUAGGCACUCCAAGGUUGAUGAGCUUCCUCCAGGGAUGUGGAAGCUGCGGAAGUUGCGUUAUCUGAUUACUUUCCGUUGCAACUACUCGCGUCAUACGCUUGGGUUACUAUCUCUAAGUCCUAUGUGAUUGAAGAUGUGUUUAGGACAAUGAUAAAGGAGUUCUACAAAGAAGCAGAAACGCAGAUUCCAGGUGAGUUGUACUCCUUAACUUACAGAGAGCUGGUUGAGAAGCUUGUGGAGUAUUUGCAUUCCAAGAGGUACUUUGUUGUGCUCGAUGAUGUGUGGAACACUGGUCUGUGGAGGGAGAUAAGCAUUGCUCUACCAGAUGGCAUUAGCGGAAGCCGUGUUAUGGUCACUACUCGCAGCAAUAACGUGGCUUCUUUCUCAUAUGGCAGUGGGAGUAGAAAGCAUGAGAUUGAGCUCUUGAAAGAAGACGAGGCUUGGGCGCUUUUCUGCAACAAAGCCUUUUCAGGAAGUCUUGAGGAAUGCAGAAGGAGGAAUCUAGAGGUGGUAGCAAGGAAGUUAGUUGAGAGAUGUCAAGGCCUGCCGUUAGCUAUAGCUUCUUUGGGGAGCAUGAUGUCAACAAAGAGGUUGGAGUCAGAGUGGAAGCAAGUCUACAACUCAUUGAACUGGGAACUGAACAACAAUCUUGAGCUCAAGGUUGUUAGAAGCAUCUUGUUGCUUAGCUUCAGUGAUCUGCCGUAUCCGCUUAAACGUUGUUUCUUGUACUGUUGUAUGUUCCCUGUGAACUACCGGAUGAAAAGGAAGAGGCUGGUUAGGAUGUGGAUGGCGCAACGGUUUGUGGAACCGAUCAGAGGAGUGAAAGCGGAGGAAGUGGCUGAUGGUUACCUCAAUGAGCUUGUUUACAGAAACAUGCUUCAAGUUAUCUUGUGGAAUCCUUUUGGACGUCCCAAAGUGUUCAAGAUGCAUGAUGUGAUCAGGGAGAUCGCUCUAUCUAUAUCCAAAGCUGAGAGGUUCUGUGAUGUUAAUGGUGAUGAUGAUGAUGAUGAUGAUGCGGAAACAGCCGAGGAUCACGGUACUCGCCAUUUAUGCAUUCAGAAAGAGAUGAGAUCAGGUAUAGUACGUAGAACAAACCUUCACACUCUUUUGGUUUGCACUAAACACAGCAUUGAACUGCCUCCAAGUCUGAAACUUGUAAGAGCCUUAGACCUUGAAGGCUCUGGCGUCACCAAGCUACCUGACUUUUUGGUAACUCUGUUCAACUUAAAGUACUUGAACUUGUCGAAAACCGAAGUGAAGGAACUCCCAAGAGACUUUCAUAGACUCAUUAAUUUGGAGACUUUGAACACUAGGCACUCCAAGGUUGAUGAGCUUCCUCCAGGGAUGUGGAAGCUGCGGAAGUUGCGUUAUCUGAUUACUUUCCGUUGCAACUACGGACAUGAUUCCAACUGGAACUAUGUUUUAGGCACAAAGGUUUCUCCGAGUAUCUGCCAGCUGAAGGAUUUGCAAGUCAUGGACUGCUUCAACGCAGAAGCUGAGCUUAUCAAGAAGCUAGGGGGCAUGACUCAGCUCACGAGAAUAAGCCUUGUCAUGAUUAAAAGAGAACAUGGAAGUGAGUUAUGCGAGUCGCUGAACAAGAUCAAAAGACUCAGAUUCUUGUCUCUCACGUCCAUUCAUGAAGAGGAACCGUUAGAGAUAGAUGGAUUGAUAGCAACUGCAAGCAUUGAGAAACUCUUUCUAGCAGGGAAACUAGAAAGAGUACCGAGUUGGUUCAGUACUCUUCAGAACGUAACCUAUUUGGGUCUGCGCGGAUCUCAGCUGCAAGAGAACGCCAUUCACUACCUCCAAACCCUUCCUAAACUAGUAUGGCUUUCAUUUUACAAUGCAUACAUGGGGACUAGGUUGUGUUUUGCUGAAGGGUUUGAGAAUCUUAAGAUUCUAGAUAUAGUCCAGAUGCGACAUCUUACAGAAGUUGUGAUAGAAGAUGGUGCAAUGGUUGGGAUACAGAAGCUUUAUGUCAGAGCUUGUAGAGUGUUGGAGUCGGUCCCGAGGGGAAUAGAGAAUCUUGUGAACCUUCAAGAACUGCAUUUGAGUCAUGUUUCUGAUCAGCUAGUGGAGAGGAUUCGUGGGGAAGAGGGUGUAGACCGGUGGAGUGUUAAACACAUUCCUGCCAUCAAGCAUCAUUUCAGAACUGAGGAUGGCUCUUUCUAUGUGAGCCUCUCAUCUUGAGUGGAUGGACUAGUUAGUUAGUGAUGGUACAUGUUCAGUUACUCCUAUUUCAUAAUAUCUUUUUUUUUUGUUGUAAACUACAUUUCGGUGGUCGUACAUAACUAGUGAAUUUUGAAAUAUGAAUUAUUUUAAAAUUUGUUAUUUAAAUAACCACGUAUAAAAAGGGAAAUAAAUAAAACAAAAUAUCAGCAUUUGACCAUAAAAAUUGUGCAUCAUUAGCAAAGAUUCAAAAGUGUUACUCUCUCCGUUUUUUAAUAAAUGAUGUUUUACAUAAUUUUUUUGUUUCAAAUAAGAUUGACAUUUUCGAUUUCUAAUAUAAAAUUUAUUAAUUUUUACAUGUUACUCUCUAUGUUUCAUAAUAAGUGUCAUUCUAACAUUUUUUUCUUGUUAUAUAAAAAGUAUCACUUUACAAUUCCAAUGCAAAUUAUAAUUACUUUCGGCUGAAAAUUAAUUGCAAACUGCGUUGGUUUUAUAAAUAAUUUUAUUUAUCUCAAAUACUAUUGGGCAGAGAAGUGUAAUUAAUAACAACUUACAUAUAUUUCGGUAACUUUCUUAAUCUGUGUGAAAAAUGUCAUUGUAACAUUUAUUCAGAAACGGAAGGAGUAUGAAUUAUGACUAUUUGUAUUUUAUAGUUUAUUUUGUUAUCGGUUGAAUUGUAUUUAAUUGAAUCAUUAACGAUAUAUUUAUCUAGAAAAUAUAAAAAGUCAAUAAUUUUAAAUUUAUAUGUAAAAAUUUUAAAACGUCAUCUAAUUUUUUUUAAAAAAUGAAAGUAUUUUUUUUAGUCGUAAAUUUGGAAAUCUCUUAAUUGUGAAUUUUUAAUAAACAUGAAACUAAAUUAAAUAUCCAGGGCGAAGACGACAAAGACGUAUAAUACGAAAAGACAGAAGAGUAGAUUCGAUUCGCUGUCAAACGAUACGACAGCAUUUCAAGGAAUAUUUAUUUGACCGAAUCAUUCAUCAUUCCGACAGUUAUUCGCGAAAUCUUUGUCUGAACCGGACCGAACCAUCAGACACACGGCCAUAGAGACCCAUUCUGUCCGAACAAACUUUUUUUUCUAUUAAAGUUUCGAAGUUUUGAAAAAUUACAAGAGAAGCAAGAAAAGAAUCGUACAAUUCAUAUUUCCCUUCACUUUCGGCGGUUGGUAAACACGCUUACGCACAUUCAAGAAGCACCCAAGAGACAGAGAGAUCACGAUCGUCUCUUCUGCUGGUGAAGAGACCGAGAAAGAGAGAGAGAUUACGAUGCCGGAAUUAUCGCCGGCUUCUUCUUCUUCUUCGUCUUCAUCAAGUUCCGACCGUGCUUCAGUGAAAAUCGAGGAGAUUGAAGGCGGUGGUUGUAGUGCCGUCGUUAAUGGCUCUGAAGAAGUAGAAAGCAAACCGGAUCCUGCUGUUGCCUCCAUUGCCGACAACGCUGUGUCUGAAUCUUCAGGUAUUGUUUAUUUAUCUUAGUUUAGGCUAAAGGUCGAUCCUUUAUCCGAUUUGGAUCCAUUCCCUGCUGGUUGGUGUGUGUGUUUUCAGGUGGUGGCAAUAAAAGCUUUUCACGAGUAUGGUCAAUGCCAGUGGAGAGCUCUUCGAGUAGCGAUAUGGCUGAAUCAUCAUCAUCAUCAUUAUCAUCACCAUCAUCAUCGAAGCCUAAGUUAGUUAAGUCAAUGUCUGAGAGGCAGCAGAAAGCUACUCACAUUCUUGCCGAGGACGCCGCCAAGAUUUUCGAUGACACAAUCUCUGCAGGGAAGAAGGUACAACCCGUCUAUUUUAAAUGUCUGUAUUUUGAAUUAAUUUAUAUUUUUUAAUGUUUGUAUUUUUUGCAGCUAAAAUUGUUGAGCCGUAUAGCUACUGUGAAACAUGAUGGGACAGUUGAGUUUGAAGUUCCAGCAGAUGCUAUCCCACAACCUAUCCCUGCAGACCGUGAAGAAGAAUCAUCCAGAAACGGUGUUUGCCCUGAUGAGUCCAUUGAUGGGGUGGAUCUUCAGUACAUCCCUCAUAUGCAGAUUGUGAUGCUAAUCGUUGGAACACGUGGAGACGUUCAGCCUUUUGUUGCAAUAGCCAAACGGCUCCAGGUUGGUAGAUAACUCUUACAACCCUUAAAUUUUGAAAAAGUUCUGAACUUGAAUUGUUUGAAAAUGCAGGAGUAUGGGCAUAGAGUCAGGCUUGCAACUCAUGCAAAUUUUAAAGAGUUUGUUUUGACUGCUGGAUUGGAGUUUUAUCCUUUAGGUGGAGAUCCAAAAGUGCUAGCCGAAUGUAUGUAUCUCUACCAAAACACUCCUUAUUCAUAUGUAGUGUUAAUUCUGGAAGUGUGCACUAGUAAAAGGUCAUAUAGGAUUAGGAUGUUUUACUAAAGAGAAAAGUUAAUCGGGUUUUGAGGCUAGUAUAAAUACGGGUUUAAGAGAUUGUAAAUUAAUUAAUUCACAUAAUCGAUAUACAAACCCAAAAUGGGUAUUUGUCUCAAUUCGUUUUACUCUCUUAAGUUUCUUUGAUUUCUUCUAAAGUUAAUUAGCUUUUGUUCACAACAUGUAUCUUUAAUGUUUCAUUCACUGGUUUCUUUAUUAUAUUGUGUGCAGAUAUGGUUAAGAACAAAGGUUUUUUGCCAUCAGGCCCUUCAGAGAUUUCAAUCCAACGAAAACAAAUGAAGGACAUCAUAAAUUCUCUACUUCCAGCGUGUAAAGAGCCUGAUCCAGAUUCUGGGAACUCCUUUAAAGCUGAUGCCAUUAUAGCCAACCCUCCAGCAUAUGGUUAGUUACUUUCAGUAACUCUUGCAUUACUGGCUACUUGCCAUUCACAACUUAUCAUAGAUUCACUUGGAAUGGUAACUAACUUUGGGGACUGGCCAUUUCAGGACAUACUCAUGUGGCAGAGGCACUGAGGAUACCGAUUCAUGUGUUUUUCACCAUGCCAUGGACGUAAGUCUUGUAUUGACAACAUAUAAUUUUAAGUACUUUUUUAAUUUUUACUUUUGUUGUUGUUGUGAAUCAUUUCACUAUGUUUCUGCUACUAAAUAAUGAUUCAGGCCAACAAGUGAGUUUCCACACCCUUUGUCACGUGUCAAACAACCAGCAGGAUACAGAGUAAGACUUCUUUACUCAAAUAUUAUCUGAUUGGUUUGCUAUAAACCUGACUUCUUUUAACAUGAGCUUACUGCAAUUUUUCAGCUUUCUUAUCAUAUCGUUGAUUCAUUGAUCUGGCUUGGAAUAAGGGACAUGAUAAAGGACCUAAGGAAAAAGAAACUGAAGCUGCGUCCUGUUUCAUAUCUAAGUGGAACACAAGGCUCUGGCUCUAAUAUUCCACAUGGAUAUAUGUGGAGUCCUAAUCUAGUCCCAAAGCCUAAAGGUAGUAUUGGCUCAUGCGCUUACUAAUGUAAUGAUGAUGUCUUUUCUGACUUUAAUUUUUUUUUUCAGAUUGGGGCCCACAAAUCGAUGUAGUGGGGUUUUGCUUCCUUGAUCUUGCAUCACAUUAUGAACCUCCUGCUGAGCUUGUGGAAUGGCUAGAAGCUGGUGACAAACCUAUAUACAUCGGCUUUGGUAGUCUUGUGAGUUUUCUCCACCUUCACCUGAAUAGUUUUCCAGAGGUUCCACUUAUUCUAAAAAUUCUAUCUAUGGCUGUGUAAAAUAAUGUCUCUCCCGUUCUGUGUUUGUGUGUGGUAAAGCCUGUCCAAGAACCAGAGAAAAUGACUGAGAUAAUUGUGGAAGCACUUCAAAGAACUAAACAGAGAGGAAUCAUCAACAAAGGAUGGGGUGGCCUUGGAAACUGUAUGUCUAAACCCUUUCUAUUGGAUGCUUGCUUGUUUUUAUAUUAUUUACAAUAUAUAUGGUUGAUGUGGCUUUUAUACAGUGAAAGAACCCAAGGACUUCGUUUACUUGUUGGAUAAUGUCCCACAUGACUGGUUAUUCCCAAGAUGCAAGGCAGUGGUAUGCCCUAUAAUAAUCUGCCACUCCUCUUAAAUUAGUCUCUGAACAUGUCUCAAACUGUUACUCUUCUGCUUUCAGGUUCAUCAUGGUGGUGCUGGAACAACGGCUGCAGGUCUUAAAGCAGCGGUAAGUUUAAUUUGAGUGGAAGCUAAAAAAUAGUAUGCUUCUUGAGUUGGGACUUUAGUAGUUAAUCAGUGUUUUUGCUUUUUUCUUGAACACACAGUGCCCAACAACUAUUGUGCCUUUCUUUGGAGACCAACCUUUUUGGGGAGAACGAGUUCACGCUAGAGGAGUGGGUCCUGCACCAAUCCCAGUUGACGAGUUCUCACUUCAUAAGCUUGAAGAUGCCAUAAAUUUUAUGCUAGACGAUAAGGUGAAUUAGUACACUUUGAGAACAUUUAAAUGAUCAUGGCAAUGCCAUUGGCCAUUGGGUUAAUAAAUGAAACUGAGCAUUUGAAUUGGGAGCAGGUGAAGAGCAGUGCAGAGACGUUAGCAAAUGCGAUGAAGGAUGAGGAUGGUGUGGCUGGAGCUGUGAAGGCCUUCUUCAAACAUCUUCCGAGUACGCAACCGAUUUCUCCUGAUCAGAUCCCUGAACCGUCAGGAUUGCUCUCUUUCAGAAGAUGGUUUGCUUGUUCGUAACUUUCUUGCCCCUCAAGAAUCUCCUCUCUUCUCUUGUGCAUUGUUACCUCUUGUAUGUCUGUUUUUCUCUUCUUGUUCGUUGGUUUUGGUUUUGCAACAACUCACUUAGGCAAAGUGUAUUGCUUGUUUAAGUACUUGGGAGUUUAAUGUUUAGGUGAUGCAUAUAGUUUUUGGCUUGUCAUGAACAACAAGAAAAUGAAAACAAAGUUCUUUAUGAUUUGUGGGUUCGAAUUUUAAUAUCAUAUGACACAUGUCUCUCAGUGUCUUGAGCUUCAACUUCUAUGGGAACAACACAUCUCUUCUGAUGUCGACAAUACAUAUCUUUUCUUAAGAAAAAAUACAAGGAUUGUUGGCUUACCAAACAAUGAUUAGUUGAUCACUGCAUAACUAUAACAUUGUUAUUUAUUAGCGGUUAAUUGUGUGAUCUAUCUUUGUAAUGGCCAUAAGGUAUAAUGGUCACAUGGGGGAAGUCAAUGUGCUAAACUGAGGAUCUAAAAAUCAUCCAGACAAUAUGAUAUACUAUAUUAUAUUUUCAAAUCAGCAUCUUGAUAAUUAAUUGGGUGAGAGGAAAAGAUGUCAUUAUGCUAUCUAUUAACGAAAACUUCAAUGUUUGUGCAGAAAGUUGAUUAAGUUGUGCUAACUAUUGAUGAAGACUUCAAUAUUUGUGUGAUACGUAAUUGAUAAAGUUGUGUUGUAUUCAAUAUUUUAUGGUUAUUGCUAACAAAGCCUAUCUAGAAGAAAACAUACAAGGUGGUCUUGCGAUGAUUUCUAUCUGUGGUAAACUCUUUUACAGUUUCAAAACAGAAACUUCAGCUCUGAAAAGAAUGAAACCAAGAUUCCAAAUCCUGAAGUAAUCAAUCACUUUCACCAAUGUAGAGAGGCUUGGAAAACAUAUUGGCUAUCUUUCGAGCCACAUCUUCAGGACUUGGAUUCUUGUGUUCAUUUUUUUUUCAGAACUCAAGUUUCUGUUUUGAAAUAUGAUCGCAUGCAUUUUCAUGAAUUUUCAUCUCUUAUUGUUAUUGUUCAUUUUGUAGUCUAUUACAUUUUGGGAGCACCUACUUAAAAUUCUAAUUAAUACAUAAAUUUUUAAGUUUUUUUAACCUUUUUGAAUGAAUCUUAGUAAUUUAUUUUGUUUUCUUCUUUCAUUUUCCUAUUAAAGAGUUCUCAAAUGCACUUUAUAUUUUAGCUGUCAAAAUAAGAUCUAAAGAAACUUAGUCUUUUUUACGCCUAACAAAGAAAAUCAUUCCCUUACAUGAUAAUAGCUAGUACAUCUAUUUUUCACAAAUUUAUUUGAUUGUUAUACUGUUUUUAUGCCAAACAAAAAGAAUCUUGGAUAAAAACAAAUACAAAAAAAUGAAUCACUUCAAUUACGUUUCUAAAUAAAGCUAGGUAAGAUGAGGUUAAAUUGAUAUUUAGACUAAAAUCGGAUGUAAUGUAGGAGAAGUAAGAACAUUACCGGUGACGGUGGCCAAACAUGCCUAUUUAGUUUACCACUGUGCAUUGAUGCCAUGCCACUAUACAAUAUAGGCUAAAACACUAUCCACCAUCGCACACCCAAUUAAUAAAUCAUCAUUUAUGUCUUAAUGUUUGUUUUUUCUUAAACUUAAAUUUUGGUUACAAAAUUAACUGAAAACUACAUCUCGACCCUCACACCCAUGCAGAUUUUAUUCUUUUCAUACUAAAAUAUUCUAAUUUAUAUAACAUUAUUAUGUAAUAAUAUUACUUUACAUAAUUUUUUUAUUUUGUAAAAAAACAUUAUUUUGUAAACAUUAUUAUGUAACAAUACUAUUUUACAUAAUUUUAUGUUUCAUUUCUAAAAUUUAUAAUUUAUAUGAAAAUUAAAUUAAACUGCACCUAUAUAAUAGAGAAGAAUUUUUUGGGAUACCACUAAAAAACAACACUUAUUUAAAAGAAAAAAACUAAAAUAUUUUGUACUUGCAAAAUAAUUUUGAAGUAACGAUCUUAUUUGAAAAAAUGUUUGAAAUACACUAACUUGGAUAGCAUUUAAAAAAAAAACUCAAAAAAAAUAUUCUAACAUUUGAGCUUAGGGUUUAACGAUUAUUGUUUAAUAUUUAUUAUUUAGGUGGUGAAGUUGAGUUUAUGAACUUCUGUAAAUAAUUCUUAUAUAUUUAUAAAUGUUUUGGGAUGGUUAACUUUGUCUUCUAAUAAUAAAUUUAUGAUAUUUAUGAAAAAUGAUAAUAAUUUAAAGGUGAAUUUUAAAAAUAGUAUCAAAUAUGAGGUAAAAUUAAAAUUUGUUGGAAUUAUGUUAUAUACUAUAACAUUUAACCAAUUUGAUAAAUAUGUGUUCUCUUCAUAUAGAAUAGUGUUCGAAUAUUAAUCUUUUUGACAUAUAUAGGUCAUUCAUGCUAUGACAUUAGUAUGCAUAUAUAUGAUAAAGAUGUGUUCAUGUUUAAUGUAUUCGUUUAUGUAUAUAUUCAUUUCGUAUAUAUAUUGUUCGUUCAUUUAUGGUUGGAGUAGGAGAUGUAAAACUUUAUAUAUAUAUUGAUUAAUAAACCAAAUUGGUAUAGUUUUAAAAUAUUAAAAUGAAAUAUUUUUUUUAACUCAAUGGAUUAUAUAAACGCUAAUAAUAGUUGACUAAGGCUUUAUAUGUGUAAAGAGGCUAAGUGUUUCAUCUAUGAAGAGGGUGUAAAUUAAAAUUUAACCAUUAAUAAGAAUAUUAGAUCUGUGUUAAAGAAAAUUAAAUAUUUAAUUGUAAUGUUACAUGAUAUAAACAUUGAAAGUUGUGACCUCUAAGAGAUAGUUUAAACUAAAAAAUCACACAUGUAAUAAGUCAUGAUUAUAUUAAAUUUCGUUUAUAAAUCAAAAAUAAAUUUCAUUUAAAUUUCUGAUUAUAUUUAAUGAUAACUAAAAUUUAAAUUAAUCAAUUUUCGGAAAUGAAUUUUAAAAUGAUUCUGAAAUAAUUUUUAAAAGAUAUUUGUUAGAAUUUUCUUAAAUAAAUAUUUAUUUUAUUUUAAAUACAAAUAAAGAUAUUAACAAUAUUAUAAUUAAGUUAUGUACAUUUGAUAAAUUUUCUAAAUAAUGGUCUAACUUAAAAUAUCAUACAUGAAAUGAAGUUGUGACUUCUAUUUUAAUAAAAUAGAUAGUAGAUGUAAAUUCAUAUAUGUCCAAAUUUUUUAAGAGAAAGAUCGGUGAAUUGAUAUCUUUCUUAUUCACAAGGUGAGAUUUAUCCGAGAAAGGUACGGUUUCUGAGUUUUGAAAAAAGGUGAUCAAAAUUGUAAAAGAAAAGAAAAAAAAAAUGCUUGCAUAUUACCAAGGCGACGAUAUUUAUUCUUUAUUUAUUAAGAAUGUUUCAUAACAUUUAGACAUGCAAUCAUGUUAGUUAUAGAGUUUAGGAAUGCAACAACACAUAUCAGGUUGAUUCCAACCAACGCAUUCGCCUGCCCGAUAUCCUCUUUUUUUGCACUCGACCUUACAGUUGUAAAACUCACAUGGUCCAAGACAUUUCAUUGCUUCUACUUUUUCUACAUUUCAUUCAAAAAAAAAGAACUAUGAUAACAGAAUAUUAAUAGUUUCACAAUUUGUUAUUAGAAAAGACAAAACGUGCAGCUUAUAAACGGACCAACCUGAAACCAAGGGAACGAUAAAGAUUGAAGAAAUUACGAGAAAGCUCAUGAAUCCAAUCGUGUAAUUCAUGUUUAAGGUACUGUCAAUGUAUCACUUUUGCCUAUGUCUCGAAAUCUAUUUUAUAGCUGUUUCUAAGGAUAUGUUGUUUUGAGAUAUCUUUACUUAAUCAUACUUCAUACCAAGUCAAAACAGAAAUUGAUUUGACUUUGAAUAUAUUCAAACUCAAAGCAGAAAUUGUAUUAGCUUCCAUUGACUAGCACAUUCCAAAUAUAGUGUUGCCAAUCCUAUUGAUAUGUUUUUGUGUGUUUCUUUGAUACAUUGCCAAAUUGAAAAUGUACUAAUAUUCACUGACUAAUACAUUUCAAUUACUUUACUGCCAAUCUAAGGAGAUUUUGAUUUGAUCAAUCAUUUUAUACAUGCAAUACGUACUGAAACUUGUCAUGAUAAAAUCAUACUCCCUCCGUUUCGUAAAGUUACAUAUUCUAGAGAAAAUUUUUGUUUCAAAAAAAUCUAUUUUUUUGCAUUUUCAAUGCAUGUUUUAUUAACUAAUUGCAAAUUUCAAAAAAAUUAAUUGCACUUAUUGAAUUUUUAUUGGCUUAAAAUUAUGGAAAAAAAAUAAUCACAAAAAAAUUAUGCAUAUUUAAUGUGUUAUAUUAAAAUGUAUGAAAAUCUAAAAUAUGUAACAUUUUGAAACGGAGGGAUUACUUUUUUGUAACACAAAUAAUAUCACUUUAGAAUUCAUAUACAGUUUAUAUCUAUUUUAACAUUAAUAUUAACUGCAAAAUAUUUGAUCUUAUAAGAGCAUCUUCAAAAGACACUCUAUAACUUCAAAUAUGAAGUUUUUUGCUCUCCAAAAAAGAAAUUCAAAACUUCAAAUUUGAAGUUUUGAAGAGUGAAACUCUAUAUUUGAAGUUUCACUACUCAAAACUUCAAAUUUGAAGUUUCAUAUUUUUAUUUGUAUUUUGGUCCCUACAACUACACAUAACAUUUAUGAUUCAUAUAAAUAUUUUAUUGUUUAUUGUUUUAAUCCGUAUAAAAAUUAUAUCUCAUAAAUAUUUUAACUUUUGUUUACAAAAUCUAAGUUUUACACAUAAAAUUAAAUAAAACUUUAAAAUAAGAUUUAAAAUAUUUAAAACUAGAUUUAGACACCAAAAAUAUAUAAAAGAAACUUAACAAAAAAAGCUUUUAAAAAUUACAUAAAUACAUAACUAUUACACAAAUUUAAAUAUUAAAACACCACUAAUAGUCAGGUAAGUUUGAUCUGGAACCUGCAAAAUUUCUAAAUAUUGACUUUUUUUUUGUGUAGCUGAAGAUGGUUGUUGUUGUUGUUGAUGCUGUCUUUUCGUACAAUUCUUUCUUGUUCAUAUUGAAUAUUAUAAAAUAAAAAUAAUUUUGAAGCUGAGUUUGAAGUUUUGCUUUUACAAAAUAAUACCUUUAAACUUCAAAUAUAGAGUUUUAAAAACUUCAAAAUAGAGUUCAUUUUUAGAGAUGUUCUAAAUAAAUACAUUUAUCUAAAAGACUAUUGGUUAAACAAAUGUAAUUAUUAAAAAUGUAAUUAUUAAAAAUAUAAAGUUUUUAAUUAUUUUCUUAUUUUUGUAGAAAUGUCAAAAUGUCAAAAUAACAAUUUUUGUAAAAUGAGAAAAAAAAAAUUUUUGAACGAGUAAAACGAGAAGUAUAAAAACCGUUUUAUUUAUUGGCUCCCACUAAUAUUUUUUUGGUUGUUAUUGUACAAAAUUAAAGGAAACUAAAGCCUUCUGCAAGUCUUUAGUUGAAUGAAGUGCAAAGGUCAUUGAUAGUGGUGGAUCUUUCCUACCAACUCUGUUUUGAUUACUUGAUAAGUACAAAUAAGUGUACAACAUAAUAAAUAAAACAAUUUCCUAAUCAUACAUAAAAAAAAUUAUUAGUGAGAAACUCGUGAAAAAUUACAUUUUAUAUUAGCCUUGAGUUUAAGUGUCAUUAACAAUGUUAGAACAUUUUAAGAUCUGUUUGGACUUAGAUCUAGUUACAAAACAUUCAGUUGAGAAGUAAAGAAUAAGUGUAAUUUAUACAAGAUAGAAUAUAACAAUAAAUUGAUUUAUGAUAUAAUUCAUGUCGAUCAUCUUUUACUUCUGGCUAUUUUUUUAGUGAUGGGAGUGUACUAUUUAUAGAACAUAUAUUUCUUUUUUUGUAACUGGAACAUAUAUUUCUUAGUUAAAUUAAAAACUAAAGAACGAGAAAAAAAAACAAGAAAAUCAGAAAAGGAGAAAAGUGAACAGAAGUGAAAAUUGAUGAGAAUAAGAAGAACAAAGAAAAACAUAUAAUAACGGUGAAGCAUAUUGGGGAUGGCGAUAUGUCGAUGAUUACCGUUGGUUGCCUUUAUAUCUUAUAUAUAUAAAGUAGAGUCGUGCUCUGCACACAGUCCUCCACCUCAUCUACUAGCAUAGGGCAAAUUAAGCUACGUGGCAGCUAUAAAAACAUCGAACUAAAGUUUUUGUUUCUUUAUCUGUGCUGGGCUUUCUAUUACUACCUCUGAUUGGGCUUUUAGAAAACAUUAGGUCAAGUCCAUACUAACAAGAGACUUGUCUUCUUAGCCUUUGAUGUUAAAACCGACGAGUUUCUUAGACUACUUCAAUACAAUCAUCACCUACAAAAGCCUUAGCUUCGGUUCUGAGAACUUCUUUGUUGCCAAAGAUCUAAACCUCUCACCUUUGGUAAAGCAGCCUGCUCUAGCUAACCGGUACAACACGUUGGUGAACAGCUGCCUCAAAGUCAACAAUCUUGAUGCUCACUUUCUUAAAGGUAUGCUUGAAUACUUCCACUCUCAAAAUCAGUUCCUAAGUUUACAUCACAUCCGCAUAGCCUCCAAGAGUGGUCACCUCCAAGGAAGGUACGUUUAUGGGGUUCUCCUUAGUGGCGGAGCUACAACUUGCUGAGGGUGGUCAUAUGACCCAUAUGAAAUUGUAUCAAAAUAAAUUUUUCCUUGUAUUUUACAGAAUAGUUACUAAAAAUUUAUCUUAUUGACCCAUAUAGCAUAUGUUUAUUAUGCAUUUGACCCCUGUAAAAAACCGAGCUGGCUCCGCCACUGGUUCUCCUCAUGGCCAUCGGCCACACUGAGAAAGGGGUGAAAAUCAUCAACAAACUCACUGAUGAGCAAAGUAUUUCAGUGGUGGAAGAUUGCAUGGUAUAUUUCCACCGCUCUCUGGAACGCCCCCUUCUUCACAUGAAGGAUAUCUAUGUGAGUUCAGUUCUGAAGAUGUGGCCAGAUCUAAACUGCCAUCUUCAAGAGGGAGCGGACAACACAGUCUGCUCCAACUGUUUCCACUUCUUUUUGCUGACUAAGUUCUACAAGAUGAAGAUGGGUUUCAAUGAUCUCCUGGAUUAAAGAACAUGCAAUACCCCAAACGUUCUUAAUUAGCGUUUACACGUUCACGUUCUCCAUUACCUUUUAAUUUCUCAUUUUGCAUUUGUGGUAUACCUUAAAGAUUUAUGUUGAUCUUCAAUUUGUAACCCUUGCUUUGUUCCAGUUUCCAUUUUAAUUUUUUUACAAAAAACUUAAAAAAUAAUAGGAAAAAAAAACCUUUAUAGCUCCAACACACACUAAAACUAUAUUUUCUUCCCAUGCCAUGAAAUAUGAAUGCUUAUCACGAUCGAUCAAAAACUAUAAGUUCCUUUUAGUAUUAAAAAAAAAAAUCACUUAUGUUUUCGGAAUUUUCUUAUUAACAAAUUCCAGAUUGCUGUACAAUCAAAUGCAAAAAAAAACAUAAUUGCUUGACAAACAAGUUAAUACUCACGCAACUUUAUCUAAUAAAAAACCACACAUAUCCAACAGACUUUUCCACAUAGAAAGAAGACCUUAACCACAACACAUACAGCUAACUACGGACACUCCUAACUACUACAUACAAGAACACAAGAUUUUGAUGUUUCAAUCAAAUAAAAUAUCCGAAACAUGAUGAUUGAUGGUACUCAAUCAAAUAUACUCCAUCCGUUCCUAAAAGAUCUAUGUUUUAGAAUUUUCACAUUUUUUAAUAAAACAUAUUAAAAUUUAACUAUAAGUGCAUAAUUUUUUGUAAUUUUAUAUUUCCUAUAUUUUUAAACCAAUAAGAUUUUAAGAAAUGCAAUUAAUGUGCUUGAACUUCACAAUUUCUCAUUAUUAGUUGACAAAAAUUGCAUUGGAAAUAUAAUUUUUUUUUUUGAAACAAAUUUUUUUUCUAGAAUAUAGAUAUUUUAGGAACGGAGGGAGUAUGUAUUUAAAUAAUGAUAAAUCUUCAAACUAACGAGAGUAAGUAAAUUUUCAAAAAAAAUUGUGUUAAUAUUUAUAUUAUGAUGUUUUGAGUUGAACUCUUUUCUUAUUUAGCAAAAAAAAAAAACUCUUUUUUUUCUCUACAAAUGGAGAGUGGUUUCUUUCCACAUUAAUUUGACGGGCCACAUAAAAAGUGGAGUUGGAAGUAACUAUUAACAUAAUUUUGUUGUACUUAAUGUACUACGGAAUUCGGUUCUUUCUCCUUUACUUGAACUAGUACAGUCUUAGCCUCUACGUACGGUACAUUGAAGUCCAAAACCAUACUUUUUACUUUGUAGAGUAUCACAUGUAAAUAUCUCUAUAGCUGGAAUUUGUAAACUAUAUGAACAUACUAUAGCUGUGUACAUGACCUAGACGCCUAGUGCCAAAUAAAUAGAAUAAGAUAUGUAUAUUUAUUUGAUUAAACAGAUGAACUCAGCCCGUAUAAUUAUAAAGUUUUUUUUAUAUCAACAAAGUUAAAACAUGAAACUUGUGGAAACUCAUACUACAAUUUAAAAUGAUAUGGAAAUUAUGCUUUAUAGGAAGUAUGUUAAAGCUAAAGUUAACAACGAAAUUAAAGUAUCAUUUUAGUACUUAAGAAACAUGUACUUGUAUACAUUCGAGUUUUAUACCAACACAAACAAUGUAUACUUUUAUAUACACACUUGGAAAGGGUCGUCUAAAUAAAACUAGAUGCAUAACGUAGGUUAAAAAAUAUAGUUAUCGCAAAAACAAAGUAAAAGGUAAAGUUAAAGGGGUAAGACAUGUUCCCGAACAAAACAAAAACAAAACAAAGGCGAGAAGCUUCCAAGAAGGCAAGAAUUAUAUAAAGGUAACAAAAUGCCUAAGCCUAUAUAUAUAGAAUGCGGAUACUUAACCACAAAGCAGUGCUUUCAAAGCUGUCUUAAAGUUUGGGACACAAAAUACAAAUACAAAGUAGAGGAACAUGUAUUAUUGAAACAGCUAUCUUCCUUCUCAAUUAUAAGCAUAUCAUUCUUUUGGCUGAUUCUAAUUGCUUUUGUAUUGAUUCGUGCCUAAAAAGUUCCUUCUUUCUAACAUACAUUCGUUUUAAUUUCUUUUCCAAAAGUUUGAAUAAAGGAGUUUUAGUUUCCAUUAUUUGGUGCAUGCGUAUCGUCUUAUAAUAAGAACGGACUGAUUAUUUGGCCAACUUAUGAUCAGAGUACCUACCCUCAACUUUGCCUGGUGAAGUCAUAUAUUGGCCAAAAAUAUAGAACAUGUAACAAUGAAUAUGAAUGAUAACGAACAUGUUACAAUAUUAAUAUGUUCAUUCCAUAGGGGUGUUACUAUAUAUAUAGGAAGUAAACCAAACAAUCAUUCCACGCCUAAACGCUAAUUUUCUUAGGCAUUUGAUUUUCGAUGCGGUUAUGAUAGACGGGAAAUCACUAAGAUGGUCUUUUGUUAGCUAGAUGGUUUAGUUCUAGUAGAUUAUUUGUUUACAAUGAUUCACUAGAAUUUUGUAUCUGAUAUCACGAAACUAACAUCACUGAUCACAAGCAUAAAAGUAUUGUAUGCGGAAAGCAUUCAGUUCGUAUUUUUUGGUUUGCCAAAACAUAAACCAGAGUUUGAUAUAUAUCUUAAAUGCGUGAUAAGAAUGUAUAUAUAGAGAAAAAGGACAUAAUAAACUCUCAGAUUUAACGGAUUAUGAUUACAUUUAUUGGAAUCACAUAGAAACACGCAUACAGACGUACUACGAAAUAGCAACAAAUUUUCUUCCAAACUACUAGCUACGUACGUUUAAAGAAACUGAAGAAGAAGGUGAUGGAAUCAGCCACGAUUCUCGUGAAACCUUCUGAUGAAAUCAGUGGAUUUCCUGUUAAUAGCUGGUUCGACAACGUACCAAUUAUAGAAGUUGCCUUCACUAUCUUCACCAAACAUCUCGUCGUCUGUUCCUGCCGGGUUUGAUCCCUGUCUUCUCCUCCACCAUGCCUUGAAGCUGCCGAAGAAGCCAAACAAGAAACGCCAAGAACCCCCCAUUAUAAAAUCCUUUUAGAAAAAGAAAAACGUUAAGAGAGAGAGAGAGAGAUGUAUUUUGCUUCUAUAUGUCUAAAGAUGCAUAUAAGCAUGUGAGUGAACGUGAGGUCUGAUGGUUUCGGGUUCAAAGACACAAGGUCUCUCUUUAUAGAAGGCUAGCUAAGUUGGAAACCUAGAGGAACCAUGCACGAAACACCCCCCACCAACCAAUAAAAUACUCUUUCCAUUUCAAGUUAGUUUUUGUUAUAAACAAAUUUUUCUAACUUUUAACUUUUUUCGAAAAACGAGCCAUUAAAUACACAUAGGCAUUGGUAACAUAAAUUUUAGUAACAAAAUUUUUCAUAAAGUUGGCAUUGCAAUAUCUUAAAAACAACAUUUGUUUGUCACCGAACUAAAACGGCACACAUUUUGCAUAUGGAACCUAAAAACGUCAGGGUGUUCUCCGAGCCAAUCCAGAACCAAAGAUUAACGAAUAACUUCGGUAAUCUCGAGGUUCAGCUAGAAACCGAGCGACGGCAGAAAACGACGGCGAUGAACAGACUGAGAUGGGUCGGAGAGGGAGACAUCUGGGAGCUAGACAUGUCGACUCCAGUGACACUCGAAGCCACGGCACGAGCCGUUUCCAACGACCCUCUCCCUCUAGGUCUCUCAAGAGGAACUCGUCUCUCUCGCCCUAAGCAAGCAGAGUUCUUCCACCGCUUCAUGGCCACACCUCUCAUCCCUUCCUUCUCCCCUCUCCAUGGUGGCCUCUCCCUCCAAAAAGUCCUCACUUUCCCUUUCCCCAACAACUGGUACAGUACACUUCAUCACCAAACUUAAAAAUCUCACCUUUAAUCCUGAUUCUCUCGGAUAAUGUUGGGUUUUGUAAUGUUCCAAGGUUUGUGUCUCUUCUGGGUCAGUUCGAUGUUCAAAGAUUCGUGUCGGAGGUGAAAAAGACUGAAGCUUUUGUUCGUGGGUCAGCUUCUCGGUUAAGCACACUCGGCAAGCAUUUAAAGGAUAAGUCUUUGUACGCGUUAGGCUUCUGCUCUGAGCUGUUGUUAACACCAGAGGAUACUCUGCUUCUCACCUAUGAUACUUACAAAUGUGAUCCUAACAAGAAUCCAAGAGCUAAAGCUGUCUUCAAUCACAAGGCAAUUCCUCUCUUAUCAAAAUUUUCCCAAUGUGAUUGUAUUUUACUUAGUGAUUGCUAUUGUUUUUUUUUUUCAGUUUCCGCUUCACACUCUGACAGCAGAAGCGGUUUGGCCUGGACUGUAUGUGGAUAAAGAUGGUGAAUAUUGGGAUGUGCCGUUGUCAGUGGCUAUUGAUCUAGCUUGUCUUCCUGCUNNNNNNNNNNNNNNNNNNNNNNNNNNNNNNNNNNNNNNNNNNNNNNNNNNNNNNNNNNNNNNNNNNNNNNNNNNNNNNNNNNNNNNNNNNNNNNNNNNNNUUACAGCAUAUAGUGCAGGAAGACACCUAGUAUGGUUAUAACUUUGGAGACUAAAAUUUUCAAAAAUUGAAAGCACGAGUUUUCUGAACAAGGCUUUGUAACAAAAAUUCUUCUUCUAGAAGUAGAAAGUCGGACACCUUACUUCAAAUUCAAACCCACAAAUCUUUUUUCACCAAACCAAUCCACUAUCUCCACAAUAAAACAUGUAUAUCUGAAAACCUAUAUCAGUACUAUGCCAAAAGCGAUUAAAAUUUUUAAAUUAAAAACUCAUGUAGUAAAAAAUAAUAUAGAAUAUGCAAAAUAAUAAUAAUAUAAAUUACCAUAGAACAGCAACAUAUAAAAUUAAAUUAACAAACAAAACAUUAAUUAUAUAAAAAAUAUUUCUUUACAAAAUUAAUAAUUGAACUUUUAUUGAAAAUUAAAUAAUUAGUUUUUAUAUCAAAUAUUUAAGUCAUUUAAUGUUUCUUAUGUCAUAUUUGAAGAAAAGUAAAAUUUUAUCAAAUUAGUUUUAAAAUAUAUUAGAAAACACAUCCAAAACUAUUACCGUUAACCACUUCAAUUACUCCAAUUCAUUAGUAGUUAACAAUUAUCUAUAUUUUGUAACUUAAGAAACCCAUGUUUUUAUCAUGAAUCCAUAUUUUUCUUUAUCUUAACUACCACAUCGGUUUUGUAGUAUAAAUUCAUGUUUUUAUUAUGCCUUUGAUUUUUAAUUUUUUUUAUGUCCUAAGCAAAUGUUUCCCUUUUCUAUAACUGAGGCACGGUCCUGAUUAUAUAGAAACGAGAAUUUUCAAUUUCUCGAGAAAAUUGAUCAAUUAUCAUAUCAAAAUAAUUGCUUUUAGAACCCAAAGCUGGUAGUUCUACUGGUAAAGCAUUCUACUCAAAUAAUAGAAAUGUGAGGUUUAAAUCUUAGAAGUUGAGGAAAGGAGAUUAAACAAACGGCUCUUUUAUCUAGUCUGAAGAAAUUAUAAACUUGGACCAAAAAAAUUUUAAAUUCAAAAUAAUAAUAAUAUGAAUUGUUUUUAGGCAAAGUUAACCCUCAAAUUUAAGGUAAGGAGACAUAAAUAUUUUUAAAUAACUUAUAAUGAAAAUAUUUUUAUAGCUUAAGUAUCAUAGUAUUAUAUAUAAAUAUGUAUACUAAUCUUUUAAAAUUUGAGGUCUAAAUGAAAUGUUUCACUAUGUUAUAUCUAUGACCAGCCCUGCUUUAAGGAGAGCACUUUUUCCAUCUAACUCAAAAUAUUAUUAAUUAUUUAAUUUAUUUUUGUGUCCAAAAUAUAUCUUUUUCUGGUUGGUAAUUUUUUUGUAUAUAGUUGAGUUUUACUCAUUCAAUAGCCAAGUUUCUAAAGGAAUUAAUCGGUUGGAAAGUUGUUUGGCACACUGUAUUUCUAUCAGAACACCAUGUCUAGGAUAAGUUAUUUUUAUGUUUUGUGAAGCCACCGCAUGCGCCGCAUAUCCAAGUUAAAAUAAUAAUAUAAUUAUUUCUUUGAAAGGUACAUCUCGGCCAAAAAGAAGUAAUCAUGCAAGGAAGAAAAACACGUUAUUCUUUGACAAAAAAAGAAAAAGAAAAACACGUUAUUGUGGAACGAACUCGUGAACGCAUAUACUCUCCGAGUUACUCUCAACGUUUCCUUAUGUAAGCCACACGAAUAAGAACCCUUUCAUUUUCAACUUUAAUAAUAACAAAAAAAAAUCAAAGAAAAUUCUGCUGCAUUAUCAAAGUAAGCUUCUCCAUUUUACAUGAUUUAGGGUUUAUAUGUCUGCAUUUGUUUUAUCGAUUGGCCACGUGAAUAUCUCAAAUUGUGUGUUUAAAAUUACGGUAGAGUGGAACUGCAUCGUGAAUUCCCCUAAAUAUUAUACUGACAGGUCAACAAAAUAUACAUCUAUCAAAGAAACUAUAGUUUGACCUCAUUUACAAAAAAAAAACUAUAGUUUGACCUUGAAAUAAAAAUACUAAUAAUUUUAUCCAGAAAAAUGCAAAUAUUACUAGUAGUAUAUUGCUUAUUAAACAUAAUAUAUUUUAUCCGUCUAUUGGACAUUUAAAAAAAAAUUGUUAUAGAAGAUGACUUUACUCAACCUAAGAAGACUUACAAGUCCUAGACAUCAAACUUGAAAAUUAAUUGAGUGUACAUAACUACAACUUACAAUGUAACUCAUAUAAUUACGGGUCAAAAAUAGAAAUUAACGCGUCUCAUCUCUCAUUUCGAUGGUUGACGAAAAUUAUUAAUUGAUGAGUAUUUAGAAUGCCUAGCUGCUACAGUGGAAAUACACAGAGACAACUUGCAGUCUUAAACAAGAAAAUAAUAUACUGAUUUUAUACUAUAAACUAAAAAUGCAGACGAUUUCUUCAAUGGAAAAAGCUUUAUACAUUUUAAUUUUGGUUUAAAGAAAAGCUAUAUAUAUAUUCAUAUGGUUACAUACUCAAAAUUAAUGAUUGAUCGAAUAUAAUUAGUUAGGACGAUAUAUGAUAUGGAUACGAUCAAAAUAAUAAUAAUGAUGAUAUGGAUACGACCACGUUGUUUAAAGUCUUCUCUUUGAACUUUUCCUUCCUCCACUACAAAGCCACAAACCAAUCCGAACCAGUUACCGACAUUGACCAUUGACUCUCCCCUAAAACUAGCGAAGAAGGAGAAAAAGGACACUCGAUGAAACAAACGGCUUAUCGUAGAAACCGGUGAGAAAGUGUAAAUUUAGAGCCGGAUUCAUCUUUUACUUUUUGAUUGGCUGUGAUGGGAUCCAUGCACAUAUACACAACUCUUAUUUUUUGGAUUAAAUGGUGAUAAAUGGUAGAAAAUUAAAUAUUGUAUAGCUGUAAGAGUUAAACAGUGGUAUCAUUUAGUUAAAAUCUGUCUAAAUAAAAAAUAAAUAUUAGUAGAGGUUGCUUUUAUCAACGGUUUGAUGAAAAAAUUGCCAAUGUUUUUACACUUAAAUUUUAGGACUAUAAUCUCAUAAAAUAUGAAUUAUUAUUCAAUCUAUAAAUUAAUAAAAGUGUACAUCAAACUCUUAAGAUAAUGAUUAAAUACAAUAAAUCAUCAUAAAAUGGUAUAAUCACACAUGAAUCCUUAUAAUAUUGGUUGCAAAUUUAUUUAUUAACAAUAAAUUUAUACUAAUUUAUAAGAAAAAUAAUAAAUGAGUGUUAAUAUUUAUCAUUAAUCAUAUCCCUAAUUCCUUUUAUUUAUUUUUGCUAUCCAACGAAUUAAAAUACAAACUACUAUUUUUUGUUGUUCAACACUUGUAAUAAACUUUCCUUUUUUUGUUCAAACGUAAUAAAGUUUCCAAAACUUGCGAUAACAUAUCUUCUCUCUCCCCCCGGUUAUAAAUAAACCGGAUAAGUGCACAGAACAAAGCAACACGAUAGCCAAGAAAGCAUCAUCUCUCUCUCUCUCUCCAACUUUCCACAAUGCUCACGACACGACCAACAUUUGUCUCUGUCGGUUUCUUCUUCCUCUUUCUCUCUCUACCUCUCUCCACUCUCUCUCAACCCUCUAUGUCCUCAGUCUACGACUCCUUCCUCAAAUGCCUCUCGGAGAAGACAAAAACGCCACAAUCCCAAAUCGCCAAAAUCGUCUUCUCUCAGAGCAAUCCUUCUUACACCUCCGUCCUCCGCGCUUACAUCCGCAAUGCGAGAUUCAACAAAUCCUCCACUCCCAAACCGACCAUCAUCAUCACUCCUCUCUCCGAGAGCCACGUCAGCGCCGCCGUCCUCUGCUCGAAGCCGUUGGAUUUCGUCUUCAAGAUCCGAAGCGGCGGCCACGACUACGACGGUCUCUCGUACAUCUCCGACAAACCGUUUUUCAUCCUCGACCUGUCGAACCUCCGCGACGUCUCCGUCGAUAUCGCCGGGCAAACGGCUUGGAUCUCCGCCGGAGCCACUCUCGGCGAGGUUUAUUACCAUAUCUGGGAGAAAAGCAAGGUCCUUGGAUUCCCUGCCGGAGUUUGUCCGACGGUUGGUGUCGGAGGUCACUUGAGCGGCGCCGGGUACGGUAACAUGCUGAGGAAGUUCGGAUUGACUGCCGAUCACUUCAUCGACGCGAAGAUGGUCGACGUAAACGGCGCCGUUUUGGACCGGAAAGCGAUGGGGGAAGAUCUUUUCUGGGCUAUCUCCGGCGGCGGAGGAGGAAGCUUCGGCGUCGUUUUGGGUUACAAGGUCAAGCUUGUUCCGGUGCCAGCGACCGUGACGGUGUUCCGGGUGGAGCAGUUAAUGGCCGCCGGAGCGGUGGACAUGGUUCACAAGUGGCAGUUCGUUGGUCCGAAAACCGACAAGAAUCUGUUCAUGAGGAUGCUGAUCCAACCGGUGACGAGGAACAAGGUGAAGACGAUUAGAGCCACUGUGGUGGCUCUCUACUUAGGAAAAGCAGACGACGUCGUUUCGCUUCUUAGUAAAGAGCUUCCUGAGCUAGCUCUAAAGAAAGAGAACUGUACGGAGAUGACUUGGUUCCAGUCUGCUCUAUGGUGGGACAAUCGCGUCAACGCGACUCAGACCGAUCCUAAAGUGUUUCUCGAUCGGAAUCUCGACUCCUCCAGCCCCGGGAAGAGGAAGUCAGAUUACGUCGAGACCGAGAUUCCAAGAAGCGGGAUCGUGUCUCUGUUCAAUAAGAUGAUUGAGUUAGGGAAGAUCGGGCUCGUUUUCAACCCUUACGGUGGAAGAAUGGCGGAGAUAGCGGAAGACGCGACACCGUUCCCACACAGGAACAUGCUUUUCAAGAUUCAGUACUCUGUGAACUGGAAAGAAUCGUCUCCGGAGUUGGAGAAGGGUUACUUGAACCAAGCCAAAGUGCUUCACAGUUUCAUGACGGGUUUUGUGAGCAAGAAUCCUAGAGGUGCUUACUUGAACUACCGUGAUGUCGAUAUCGGGGUGAAUGAUCAUGGGGAGGAUAGUUAUAAGGAAGGAGAGGUGUAUGGAAGGAUGUAUUUUGGUAAAAACUUUGAUCGGUUAGUGAAGAUCAAAACCGCGGUGGAUCCGGGGAAUUUCUUCAGGAAUGAACAGAGUAUACCUACCUUGCCAAGUAAGGCAAAUUAAGAUAUAUAUUGUUAAUCAUUUGAUAUAAAGAUUGGUUUUUACUUUUAAUGUAAUGCUUUGGUGAAGCAGUAUUGAAUGUACGGUUUUGGAUAUUGUAUAUUGACUAUUGAAUAGUUUCUAUGUUUCAUGGAACUAUAAGCUUGCCUAGAUUGCUUGUGUAUGAGAGAGAUUCAGAGAACUAAUAAGUCAAAGUUUCUGGUAUUGAAAGUUAGUUACCUGCUUUUGAAACUCAUGGAGAAAAUAGUGGGUGUUUACUGUAUUAAGUGUUUGGUUUGGAGUAGUUAACGGUGAAUCUGGACCGUGUUCUUCUUACAUGCAUUUUUGUGUCAUGAAUGACCUAAGUGUUGACUUUUAUACUCGAUUUGGUCACAGUUGCGAAGAGAACAGGGGUGCCUGAGCAGGGGACGGCGAAACGGUGGUCAGGGGCCGGAGGAGCCACGGUAGUUGCAUCGGUGCUUUUACACGUCAUCUAAAGAUUUUUGUUGUUGUUGUUGUUAUGAAUCAUUGACCAGUGGUAUCUUUUUCAUAAGAUCAAUAGAGCAUCACUUCUGAAGUGACAGCUUUAAAAUGGACAGAGCAUUCAGUGAAGUGUUAGUUAACCAUGUUUAGAUCUUGUACUAAUUCUUAUCGUGAUAUAAUUGCGAUCACUUCAAAAUGUUAAAUUCUAAUUUUUACAGUAACUGAAGUAUAUAAAAACAUUAAAAAUGUUCAUCGUUUUUAGGAAGUGUAUAGACUUGUGUAUAUACAAUUUAUACAUGAGUGGCUACUGGUAUGCUGCACAAGUUUUUCUUUUCUUCAUGAGUUUCAUGCGUAUUAGCUAUUAGCACAUAAGAUUUCACAAUUUGAAAAUGUAAGUUGGUAUAUAUUUUUCUGCAUUUUAAUUUAAAUAGUGUAUAGAAGUUUAAUCUUACCAAUAAAAAUAAAAAUUUGUUAAUACUGUAGAUUUUAUUAUUUGCUUACCAAUAUUUUAAUACAAAUUUGACUUAACUAAACAUAAUUUUUUUUAAAAAAAUAUUUAUUUUAAAUAUUAUUUAAGAUUAUAUAUGUAUAUAUUUAAAAUUAUAAUCUUAGAUAGUUUUUCUAUCUAUUUAUUUUGGUUAAAUAUAUCAAAUCAAGUUGUAUAAGUUAAUAAAGUUGAUAUAAAAAUUGUAUAAUUAUCAAAAAUUAAAACUAAAUAGUAUUUAUAAAAUUGGUAUAUAUGUAAGAAACUAAUGAUUUUUUAACUAAAAUUGUAUAAUUAUAAAAAUAGAAUUAAAUAAUAUUUCGAAAAUUUUAGUGUUAUAUUUGAAUAAAUUUAUUUUAGUGAUGAUGUAUUUGUAGUUACCAUAUUCUACAAAUUUUACCAAAAUAUAAAUCAACAUUUAAUGUAAUGUAUGAGUUAUUACAAUAUUUUAAAAUGAUUACCAAAAAUAUAAAUUAACAUUAAAUGUAAUUGUUCAUGUCAUAUUUAACCAUAAUCCAUGUUAUCAAUUUUAGUAGUUAUGCCAUAUUUUUGUGAAAAUGAUCGUAAAGAAAACAUAUGUCAAAUCAGUUCUUAAAUAAUGUAUAAGAGAUGUCACCAUAAGCCAUGUCAUCAACUUUAUUAGUCAUAUCAUUUUUUUAUAAAAAUGAUUGUAGAAAAGACAUGUGUUAUGUCACUUUUUAAAUAAUGUCUAAGGGAUAAAUAAUGUUUAAGGGAUGAUUGCGAUCACUUGAAAAUGUUAAAAUUAUGAUUUCAAAAAUAACUCAAGGGUAUAAAACAUUAAAAAUAUUCUCCGUUUUUUAGAAAGUGUAUAGACUUGUGUAUAUACUUCGGUUAUUUAUCGGUUCGGUUUGGGUUUGGUUCGUUUAAUUUGGUUCUAUAAUUUUUCUAACCAAAGUAAACCAUAAUUAGUUUGGUUUGGAUCGGUUUCGGUUCGGUUUUUAUUCGGUUUGGUUUGUGUUUCAGUUCGGUUCAGUUGGAUUCCCCUAGUUUAAUUCUUUUAAGAAAAAUCAUGUUUUAAAACAUAAACACAUGGUCAUGAAAUCAUCAUGUUGGUGACUAUGAAAAACUAAAUUCAAAAUAAAAUUGAAACAUACAAAAAACUUUUUAAGAAAACAAAAAAACAUUUAUAAGAACAUAAUCAAAUCAAAGUUAACUAUUGUACAAUAAAUAGAAAAUAAAGAAACAUUGUUAACAAUGCCUCUUGAAAAUAAAUAUGUAAACUAAAUCUAAUAUAAAACUGACAAAAAACAUGAACAAACCACCAAAAUUUUAUUAGAAAACAAUCAAACAAAAGUUAACUAAAGUAAAAUAUAAAAUUAAAAUUAAACAAUAUCGUUAAUAAAGUUAACAAUGACUUUAGUCUUAGGAUUUUAGUAUAUUGUAUAUUGUUUAAUUCAAAUAAUAACAAAAGCACAUUGGUUGUGAGUUCGGUUUAAUUUAGUUGGGUUCGGAUCGGUUUCAGUUCAGUUGGUUUGGGUUGGAAAAAUCUUAAACCUAACUGUUUGAUACUAGACUUUGGUUCGGUUUGGAUCCACUUUGGUUCGGUUGGUUCGGUUCGUUCGAUUCGGUUUUUUCGCCCACCCCUAAUAUACAUGAGUGGCUACGGGUAUGUCCCAAGUUUUUCUUUUCGGUAUGUCCCAAGUUUUUCUUUUCUUCACAAGUCAUCAUCAUGCAAAAUGAGAUUCAUGCGUAUAUUAGGCUAUUAGCACAUACGAUUUCACAAUUUGAAAAUGAAAGCCUAUAUUUUCUGCAAAUCAAACAAAGCUUUUAUUGAAGGACCCUUUAUUCAAAAUAUGGACUAACGUACAGUUUAUGAAGAAAAAGAGAAUGAAAAUGAAACAAUAGUUCGGUUUCAGAACAAAGCUUUUAUUGAAGGACCCUUUAUUCAACAAUACAAUAACUUAUAGGAUCAAAGGGCUAAAAGAGAGGUAAGCUUGUAGGGAAACGAACUUGCAUCCAUUGCUUCUCAUACGUAACCAAAUGGGUCCAACCUAUCUCCUCCAGCAAACCCAGUUUCAUUUCGUACAGUUUCUUACUGGCUGUCUCGUUCUCGUUUUGGAUCAUCUC
rnacentral:lncRNA from 1 species